rnacentral:lncRNA from 1 species
CGAGAAGACGCGAGAGGAAGGGAGGAGGUGAGCCACCGGAAGCGGAGACGUGAGCACUCGACCAACCCCGUCGAUCCGGCUGCGGCGCGGCGUGCUAGAUCGCUACCGACCAUGGUGGUGGAGGAGAUCGCCGAGGGGGUGAAGAACCUAACCGUCACCGGAGAUGCGGCGGCUUCAGGCGGAGAGGGGCAGAGGAGGGGCGGCGGCGGCAGCAGCAACCGCAUCCAGGUGUCCAACACCAAAAAACCCCUCUUCUUCUACGUCAACCUCGCCAAGGUACGGCUGACCUUCUCUCCCUACGCGCCGCAUCUUUCCGUGAUACUCCUGCCCACCCGCCGCUUCCAGAUUCUGGCUGAUUUGGUUACUUCGGUCCGUGCAGAGGUAUAUGCAACAGCACGGCGAUGUAGAGCUAUCCGCUCUUGGGAUGGGUGCGUCCCUCCUUCGCCCUUCUUUCUAACCCUUUUUUUGCACAUAUUUAUUACUGGUGAAGUUAAUUUAGGCAUUGUCGCUUGACAUUGAUGCCUCUAUCCGCGAAUUUGGUUUAUGUUAUUAAGUACGCCGAUAAAUAUGAUGUAAAGACGCAGAAUGCGUCGGCGCGGCGCGUGUUCUUUUCUGUACGUUUCUCAAUGCUGGAUCUGUGUUAGUUAUUAUUGCUAAAACCCUAGCUUUUAUGGCAGUUAGAGUCCCUUUGCUAGGGCUUACAGAAGGCUCUGGCUUUGGCUUCUGAAGAAACCCUACCAAACGGGGUAAAAAGAAAACCGGUUUCUCCCCUGAAACCACCAAGGAACCGGAGCCCAAAAUAUUAACUUGCACCAGCUCCUCUCAAAAAUACUCUACGAAACCCUUUUGUCAAAUAUCUUUCUACAAAGUGUUCUGGCUCUACCAGAGAAGCUACUCCAGGAGAGGAGCUAAAUCUGAAGCCAUUUUAGGACCUGGAGCCCUGCUAAACUUGCUCCUAGUGUUCCUAGGCGGCAUUUGCCUUGUGAGUUGUGACACGCAGAGCACAGCUUAGAAUUUGGUCAUGCAACUUGCCAGAUUUAUUGUCCGAGGAAAAACUUACCAAGUUUGAGUCAAGUGCUAUGCAAUGCAUUGUUAUUAUUACAUGGCUAUCAUGCUCUGGAUGACCACAGACAAGCAGCUACUUCCACUUGGGGUUCGCCUGAGAACCAUGGUUUUCAAGGUGUCGCCUAGGCGCCUAGACACUCAAAAAUCAUGGCAUGGGCGUCCCUGUUCCCUAAAUGAAAAUGAAAAAAAAAACAGAAAGAGACCGGGAGGGGGGUGGAAGGGAAACCAAUGUUACCAACCAACAAGCCCCAGCAGCUGCCAAUCCCUGAUAGCUCUGGCUUGUAGAACUCGCGCUUGUCAAUUGAGGCACGAUAGAUCUCGACCUGGACAGAAGCUCAGUUGAUCUGAGAGCACACGACUCAAUGAGGGCCCGAGAAGAAGCAGGGAGGAGGAGCAGAGGAGUUGCUGGCAGCAUCAUGCAAGGAGAUUAAGGAAGGAGUUCUGGAAACGUAUAGGCUAUAGGCAAGUUGGGGGAUGGACGGAUGGUUAUAUAGGGUGGCUAGUGGGCUGGGGCAGCCCCUUAAGUCUCCUGCCCUCUUUCUCCUUUUUCUUUGUUUUUCCUUCCUUCAUGCUGCUGGCUUCCUGUUUCUCAGAAUGGUAUACAUCACCUUGCGAUCGUGUAGGUGUCACCUUAGGCGAUUAGAAGGUGGUCCAUCACCAUGUCUUGCCUUAUUGCCUUAAGAACCAUGUUGAACACUGUUUGGGGUUCCGGAAUUUAGUUAUAUGAAUUUUUGACUUGCAAUCUCCUGUAUUCAAAGUAUUCAUUAGAGAUGCAGGAAAGGAAAGAUAAUCAUCCGUUGCUGAUCUUCAUGUUGUUACAGAAAGAUUAUCAUCUGUCGUAUGAAUUUUUGACUUGCAAUCUCAUGCCUUAUUACGGAAAGUUCUCUUGCAUUUUAAGUAGAUUGCUGACUCUUCAUGUUGUUAUAGCAUCUCCAAGAGCGAUCAUAAAUUUGGUCCCCUAUUUCUUCAUGUAGGCUAAACAUUUAUCUCUUCUAAAUCUGUCACUUCGACAGCAGUUCCCAUUUAUCUUAAUGCCCUAAACUUUAAACAUGACACGUAAGCAAUAUGGACGAAAAAACAUGGAAGGCUGAGAUACCCCAUUUUUCGGGGGUGGAAGAGAGGUUUUUUAUAAUGCAACUAAACAAAGGAGUUCAUUUAGGGUGUCUGUUGAACGGUUAGCCUUAAAUUUAAGUAUAGUAGUUUGGAUAGGUGUACAGGGUAAUCUUGGAGAUGCUCUUAGUCAGGGUAUUCUGAUAUUUUUUUUUAUUGGAUACAUAACUUAAGCUCAAUUAACAUCUUUAUAUGUGAUUUAUUUGAUGCAUCAAUACUACUUUUUCGUUAAAACAUACAAUGAUACAAAAGCUUUCCAUUUCAAAUUUCUGCAUCAGUGUAUUGUUUGAGGCACACUAACCAAGCUUUAUUUUGUUUCCAGCCAUAGCAACAGUUGUGACCGUGGCAGAAAUUCUGAAGAACAAUGGAUUUGCUGUUGAAAAGAGUGAGACUUCAGGGCUUUGUUGUCUUGUAGAUUAUGCCUAAUCUAUAUUAUUAUAUUUGCCGCUCUGAAUCAUCCCUUUGUGUCUUAAACCUACAUAGAAAUUAGGACCUCUACUGUUGAAAUAAACGACGAAUCAAGAGGGCGUCCAUUCCAAAAGGCCAAGGUCAGAAAUACUAUACCUUUAAUUGAGUGUACUUAAGCUAUUCAUUGUGUUUGUCAGUUUGGUCAUUCUAUCUUUAACUGUAUGCAAUUCGUCUUUUACUGAGAAUUAAACUGACAUGAACCUCUCCCUCAGAUUGAGAUAAUCUUGGGAAAGAGCGACAAAUUUGAUGAGCUGAUGGCCGCUGCUGCAGAAGAGAGGGGCGAAGUGGAAGAUGGUGAAGAGCAGGCUUGAAAACAGUACCGAUGACAAGCUGCUGCUGCUGUGCUCUGUUAGUGUUGUUUAAUUUAGUUUAAUACCGUGUGCAUGAGAUAUGGCACGCGUUCUUGCUCAACUACAUCACCAUGGCAAUGUCUGCAAAUCCAUGGAUUGAUGGAUGGAUGUUGGUUGUUUCUUAACAUUCUGGACAUGUUGUUCAUUUGUUUCUUUGGCUAUGUAUGUUUUAGCAGUCCAGCGUUCCCCUUACAAAAUAUGGCGUGCUUUGUUGACUACACAGACCGCUGUUCCUUUCCUGAAUUAUUGUCUGCAAAGAUUAGAGAUAAUCAAUGGGUAACUAAUACCCAAUGGAUAAAAACUCUAUUAGGGCUAGUUUGGAACCUUAUUUUUCUAAGGGCUAGUUUGGCAGCAACGUGGGAAAAUCCUAGGGAAGAUAUCCACCAACGGGAUUUUAGAUGCCACUAAAUUUUCUGGGUGGAUUUUUCCUUUUGGAUGUAUUUUCUCGGCCACUGUUUGGGAACCAAGGGAUAAAAUAUCCAUCUUGAGCAAAAACACUAUACUAUUAUAUUGAAUGAGAACUUUAUCCAUCAUCAGAAAAUGGUUCAUCCAUAUAUAUGUGAUGCUAUAAACAAUACUUUAAAAAAUCAGGAGAAAAUCAAACAAAGUAAACUGAAGCAUAGUAAAUUGGUUCAUCCAUCAUCACAUCACACUUUAUCUGUCAUCAUAAUAGUUUGUCAAGCAAAUCGAAGUAGUAAAAGACAGUAUAAGCAUCAUCGUCAGCAAACUGAAGCAUCAACACAAACUAAAGCCACUAUCAACAAAAUGUUUGUAGCAAAACACUGCUUUUCAUGAGUCAUGUGCCAGAUAGCAAACUAAAGCCACUGUCAACAAAAGAUGCCCUCAAAUUUGUUCCUUCAGGUAGAUAUGGUAGAGGCAGCGACAGGAGAUGGAAAGAGUACUGCAAGGAAGCAUAGUGUUAAAACAAACAUGCAACAAAUCAAUUAGAAGUUAGUAUGCAAAAAAUCUUGUUAACCGACAAUUAGGUAUGCCAUAAUUUGAAAUAAAGAUGCUUGAAAGAACAUACCAAAUUUUCUCAUAUCAUUUAUGCAGGCCAUGCAUCACUCCCACGAAGCAACCUACAUUUAUAAAAUGACAUUAUAUGCUUGUAGUAUACAAUAUUGCAUGCUUAGUAGAUUCAAGUUAUGGCAUACCUAAUUUUGCGCUUGAGCCAAAUUUCUCUAACAUCAUGCUCUGUUGUUGUUAAGAAAAUCUCAGUUUUAUCGCAGAUACGAAAAGCUCCAAAGCAUAUGAUUUGUGCAUGGCUGUUAAUCCAUCCAUUCCUUUCAAUUCAGCCUGACACUUGCUAAUAGAAAAUUGAUCCUCUUGCCUCUUAUGUUCUUUAAGAGUUUCAAGUGUUUCUGUAUUUUGGAUCUUUUUAAACUCUACAUAACUUUCAAGAGCUAAUCCAACAUGGCUUUGCUUACGCUUUCUCCCACUGCCACCUUCUCUCUGGCUUGAUUCUUGAUUAGAUGGGACAAAUUGAGCUUCGGUGGGUUCAUUAGUAUUGACUGGGACAGAUUGAGCAUUAGAAGAUAGAUUGAAGACACUUGUGGUUUCUUGUCCAUCCAAAUCAAGUGAAUUAGUACUCAAGGGAUUGAGAUUUUGUCCAGACACACUCCUGGAUGGAGCUGAAGGUGGAGGAAGAUCAACAAAGGUUGAUGUGAAAUUUAACUCUCCGGUAGCCACACUACCUAUACAAAAUGUAGCAGAACUACUGAUCAAUAAAUUAAGAACAAAAUGCUAUUGGUUUGGUAUUGUCGGGGACUGUAAUUAGGGGUACCCCCAAUGCACCUUAAUCCGGCUGAAAAACAUAUUCAGAACAAACCAUAAACGGCUGAUAAAGCGCAGGCCUCGUCUACCAAGGGACGCGACCUCAUCCGAGCCCAGCCUCGGGCAAGGACGGUAGUCCCGGACGGAUUCACGUCUCGACCGAGGGUCCCCUCAGUCAGCAGACGCACCCUUGGCUCGCCCGAAGCCCAGCGCGAGCAGACUUUGUCGUGCAGCGACCUCGCCCAAAUCGCCUUACCAACCGACCGUAUCGCAUGCGCAUUUAAUGCAGGGAUCGCCUGACACCUUAUCCUGACACACGUGCCUCAGUCGGCAAGGUCGAAGUGACCGCAGUCACUUCGCCCCCUUCACUGACCGUUCUGACAGGAAAACAGCGCUGUUCACCCCACUCCGACAACUGCGCCAGCCACCAGGGAAAGACUGACAACAGCAAGUCACGACCUCCCCUGAGUCCGGCCUCGGGCGCAACAGGGAGCUCCGCCUCGCCCGACCCUGGGCCUCGGCCUUAGCCUCGGCCUCGGGAGAAGGACUCCGCCUCGCCCGACCCUGGGUCUCGGCCUCAACCUCGGCCUCGGGAGAAGGUCUCCGCCUCGCUCGACCCUGGGCCUCGGCCUCAGCCUCAGCCUCGGAGGAGUCACCGCCUCGCCCGACCUCGGCCCCGUAUCAACUACGCUGCUGGGGACCCAUCAUUACCCUACCCCCAGCUAGCCGCCUCAGGCUACGAAGGAACAAGACCGGUGUCUCAUCUAAGUUACUCCAGUAACAGGUAAUGAUGGUUCCCCGCAUGCGCCCAUGACGUCGGGUGCUCUCAAACCCCCUACGGAAGCAAGGCAACGUCAGCAAGAUCCAUGCCGCACCGCCAGCAAUGCUUCUAUAGGGCACAAGGCACUUCUCUGACGGCCACGUUGGUACAUCUACAGGGCUCAAGGCACUUCUCCGACGGCCACGUUAUUACCUGUACAAGGCUUAAGGCACUUCCCUGCCAGCCACAUUAGCACAUAGCUACACCCCAUUGUACAACUGGGCAUCUCCUUGUAUUUAUAAAAGGGGAUGUCCAGGGCCUUCCUAAGGCACGUUGACACACGUCGAUGGGAGGGGGAGAGACGAACGCGCGACGUACGAACACACAGACGCGCGACGCAGACGAGCGGAGGCAGGCAGAGUUGGAGAGACACGGUAGAGGCAACCUCAGACAGCUCGCCUCAAGGCCAAACCCUCUCUUACUCUCUCUCUCUCUCUCGUUCUCGCUCUCCCGCAACGCUUGUAACCCCUACUACGAGCACCCCGGUGCAAGAUAACAUAAGCCCUAUUUCGCUCUUGUGUUCCAUCUUGCAUCAACCCAUCUGGGCAGGGACACGCAGCAACAAAUUCACUAGUCAGUCCGGUUGAGGGUCCCCCGGGUCCGAAACACCGACAGUUGGCGCGCCAGGUAGGGGUCCGCUGCGUGUUAAUGAAUACUUUCCCGUUGAGUUCCAGAUGGGUAGCUUUCAGUAGCCUCUUCAGCCCGGGACGGUGCUCCGCUUUAGGAGUCUCGAGUUCAUGUCCCUCGACGGCAGCUACGACAUGGUACUCCUCCCCUCGCAGCAUGGCAACAACGAUGGUCGUCGGCUCGCCCGGCGAAGGCGAACUCGACGACGGCUUCCUCCCGUGGUGGAAGAGGAACACCCGGGUUUGCCCUGUAACCCUCCUCGCUGGAGGAGGAGGAGACGGGGCAACCGUGGCCAAGCAGGAGGUGUUACCUCGUCGGCUGUCGGGCCAGAGCGAGUCGACGACGCCGGCACCCCUGCGGGGGACAUGUCAGGUGUCGUCCUCGCACCUGAGACAACGACGGGCAUCGCUUCCCAGCAAUGUGCCAACCCCAAGUGGACUGAUGACGCCAGCACCCUCACGGAGGAUUUGUUGGGCGUUAGCCUUGUACCCGAGAUGACGGUGCAUUCCGUUCCCGACGCGACUUCGCCACCGUCCAUCAACCAAGAGGUACCAUCCGUUUUUCACCCUGUUCCCUUUAAAUUCAGUUUCGAUCCGCCAAGCGACCCCCCUUCGAUGAGCGCUUUCGCUAGGGUAUAUCCUGACCUACUGGGGUACCAUAUAUGGUCCUCUUGGGACUGACUGACGACCGUCUCAACCUCCGGACCCGCGGGUUCCGAGGAAGAGGACGACCCCGAUGUCAGUUGGGAUUUCUCCGGACUUCGUGAUCCCAGUGCCAUGCGCGACUUCAUGUCCGCAUGUGACCACUGCCUCUCCGGUUGCUCUGAUGAUGGUCACAGCCUUGACGACGAGGGUUGCGGCCCAACUCGCGAGUGCUACCACAUCGAUCAGGAAGAUCACGACGGAGAAAACCACCUUGGUAUGCCAGGAAGUGACGGCGCCCUUGCACCUGUGUCUCGCGUUGAGAUCCCGCGGGAGCUAGCUGUGGUCCAAGUCCCCACGGAGGGUUAGGACACACAACUUGAGCAACUCCGCGAGAUGCAGGCCAAGCUCGACGAAGAAGCGGGGCAACUUGUGCAGCUCCGGCAAAACAUCGAGCAGGGGUGGACAGGCCAGGCACUCGCCGGGGGAGCACGUCAUUGGGCCCAGGACGUCCAGCGCCGCAUUGUUGACGAUGCCAGGGCAAUGCCGUCCUCGGCCUUCAACGGGGCCGGCCAGAGCCUAGCCGCAGCUGCAAUGUUGCUUCGGACAAUGCCGGAGCCAUCCACCACCGAAGGGUGACGUAUCCAGAGCGAGCUCAAGGGCCUCCUGGAAGACGUCGCUGUCCGACAAGCCGAGAGCUCUGCCUCCCGAAGGCGAGGAGACCCCUCGGAGCACCGCGCAGCGCCCUCCCGACACAUGUGGGAGGCCUCAGUCCACACCGAGCGCACACGGGACGGGACGCCUGCGACCCCGGAUCGCCUCGGCGACAAUCAGCGCCAUCACGACCGUCGAGCCCGCCUCGAGGAAAAGGUGCGCCGAGGCUACCACCCCAGGAGCGGGGGACGUUACGAUAGCGAGGAGGAUCGAAGUCCCUCGCCCGAGCCACCAGGUCCGCGAGUCUUCAGCCGGGCCAUAGGACGAGCGCCGUUCCCGGCCCGGUUCCGAACCCCGACUACCAUCACCAAAUACUUAGGGGAAACAUGGCCGGAGUUGUGGCUCGCGGAUUACCGGCUGGCGUGCCAGUUGGGAGGGGUGGACGACGACAACCUUAUCAUCCGCAACCUCCCCCUUUUCCUCUCUGAUGCUGCCCGGGCCUGGCUGGAGCAUCUGCCUCCUGCGCAGAUCUCCGACUAGGACGACCUGGUCAAGGCUUUCGCUGGAAAUUUCCAGGGUACGUAUGUGCGCCCUGGGAACUCAUGGGAUCUCUGAAGUUGCCGCCAGCAGCCCGGGGAAUCCCUGCGAGAGUACAUCCGGUGGUUUUCAAAGCAGCGCACCGAGUUGCCCAACAUCACCGACUCGGAUGUCAUCGGGGCUUUCCUCGCCGGCACCACUUGCCGAGACCUGGUGAGCAAACUAGGACGCAAGACACCUACCAAGGCGAGCGAAUUGAUGGACAUCGCCACCAAGUUCGCCUCUGGUCAGGAGGCGGUCGAAGCCAUCUUCUGGAAAGACAAGCAGCCUCAGAAAGGGCAGAAGGAAGACGCCCCCGAGGUGUCCGCCCAGCGUGGCGCGAAGAAGAAGGCCAAGAAGAAGGCGCAAGCGAAGCGCAACACCGUCAACACGGAUCUCGUCGCUGCUGCCGAACGCAGGAACCCUCAGAAGCCUCCCGGAGGGGCCAACGUGUUCAAAAAGAUGCUCAAGGAGUCGUGCCCCUAUCACCGGGGUCCCGUCAAUCACACCCUUGAAGAGUGCGACAUGCUCCGGCGCUACUUCAACAAGGCUGGACCCUCGGCAGAAGGUGGCAAAGACCAAGGCAACAACCAGGGAGGCGACAAGGAAGAGGAGUUCCCGGAGGUCCACAACUGCUUCAUGAUCUACGGUGGAUAGGUGGCGAACGCCUCGGCUCGGCACCGCAAGCAGGAGCGCCGAGAAGUCUGCUCGGUGAAGGUAGUGGCGCCGGUCUACCUAGACUGGUCCGACAAGUCUAUCACCUUCGACCAAGGCGACCACCCUGACUUCGUGCCGAGCCCAGGAAGGUACCCGCUCGUCGUCGACCCGAUCAUCGGCAACGUUAGGCUCUCCAAGGUCCUCACGGACGGAGGCAGCAGCCUCAACAUCAUCUACGCCGAGACCCUAGAGCUCUUGGGGGUUGAUCGGUCCGAGAUCCGGGUUGGUGCAGCACCCUUCCACGGGGUUGCACCCGGAAAGCGUAUCCUGCCCCUCGGACAGGUUGACUUGCCCAUCUGCUUCGGAACUCCCACCAACUUCCGAAACGAAACCCUCACCUUCGAGGUAGUUGGGUUCCGAGGGACCUAUCACGCGGUGCUGGGAAGACCGUGCUACGCCAAGUUCAUGGCCAUCCCCAACUACACCUACCUCAAGCUCAAGAUGCCUGGCCCCAAGGGAGUCAUCACCGUCGGGCCCACGUACCGCCAAGCUUACGAGUGCGACGUGGAAUGCGUGGAGUAUGCCGAGGCCCUCGCCGAGUCCGAAGCCCUCAUCACCGACUUGGAUUGCCUCUCCAAAGAGGCGCCCGACACGAAGCGGCACGCCGACAACUUCGAGCCGGCCGAGGCGGUCAAGUCUGUCUCUCUCGACCCCAGCAACGACACCGGCAAGAAAGUCAGGAUCGGCUUCGAGCUCGACCCCAAAUAGGAAGUAGUGCUCGUCGACUUUCUCCAUGCAAACGCCUAAGUUUUUGCGUGGAGUCCCUCAGACAUGUCAGGCAUACCGAGGGAUGUCGCCGAGCACUCACUGGACAUCCGAGCUGGAGCCCGACCCGUGAAGCAGCACCUGCACCGUUUUGAUGAAGAAAAGCGCGGAGCCAUAGGCGAGGAGGUCCACAAGCUAAUGGCUGCAGGGUUCAUCAAAGAGGUAUUCCAUCCCGAAUGGUUAGCUAACCCUGUUCUUGUAAAGAAAAAAGGUGGGAAGUGGAGGAUGUGCGUAGACUACACUGGUCUAAACAAAGCAUGUCCAAAGGUUCCCUACCCUAUGCCCUGCAUCGAUCAAAUUGUGGACUCCACCGCUGGGUGUGAAACCCUGAAAGGGAAAUGUGCCCUUGGGCCAUUUCUAUAAGAUUUAGGUGAUUAAGUGCUCCACACAAAAAUGCUUUGAGUAAUAUUUGUGUCAAAGACUCAAGAAGUGCAAAUCAAGAUUAAAGGUAUGUUUCUGGACUUAGUACAUUGUUUUGAAUACUAAUGUAUCAUGUCUAAGUGCUAGAAACAGGAAAAAUUGUUUUGGAGAAAAGUUGGCUAUGUACAGCCAAAAGGCUGCUCGGUCUGGGUGCACCAGACUGUCCGGUGGUGCACCGGACAGUGUCUGGUGGUGCACUAGACAGUGAUCGGUGUGCCAGGACCAGUCCUGAUGAACAACCUACUCUCGGGUCUCGACGACGGCGUACGACUAUAAAUCACUGGACUGUCCGGUGGUGCACCGGACUGUCCGGUGAGUCGUCUGCGGCGAAGUCGCCGCUCUCGGGAAACAGUCAACAGCGUACGGUUAAAAAUCAUCGGACUAUCCGGUGGUGCACCGGACUGUCCAGUGAGCCAAUGGUCGGCCGCGCCAACGGUCGGCCGCGCAAUCCGCGCGUGAAGCGUGGGCAGCCAACGGUCGGUAGGGGGGCACCGGACUGUCCGGUGUGCACUGGACAGUGUCCGGUGCGCCAACGACUCCAUUUCUGCAAUGGUCGGCUGCGCCAAUUUAGGAAAGCAAUCUGCACCGGACAUUGAACAGUGUGUGUCCGGUGGUGCACCGGACUGUCCGGUGCGCCACCCGACAGAAGGCAAGAAUUGCCUUCCUGGAUUGCUUCCAACGGCUCCUAGCUGCCUUUGGGCUAUAAAAGGCACCCCUAGGCGCAUGAAGGAGUACAUCAAGCACACUUUGAACGUUCUAAGACCCCCACACUCCAUCUUCACACAUUCGAUUGACAUUCUUAGUGAUUUGAGCUCCGUUCUAGUGGUGAACUUGUUGCAUUUCAAUUGAGCUCAAGUCUUGGCUUGUGUGUGUGUGCGUAUUGCUGGGAUUUGUGUGUGUUGCUUCCCUCCCUUACUCUGAUGCUUUCACAUUGAUAUUUGUUGUAAGGGCGAGAUGCUCCAACUUGUGGAGAUUCCUCGCAAACGGGAAAAGUGAUAAGAAAAAGGAACACCGUGGUAUUCAAGUUGAUCAUUGGAUCACUUGAAAGGGGUUGAGUGCAACCCUCGUCCAUUGGGACGCCACAACGUGGAGGUAGACAAGUGUUGUACUUGUUGAACCACGGGAUAACUCACGUGUCUCUUGUGAUUGCUUUUUGUGUGAUUGUUGGUAUUCGCAAGAGCUCGAUUUAUAGUCACUUGGAAUUAUCUCUCUAACACUCAACCAAGUUUUGUGGCUAUAAGUUUUAAGUUUUUACACGAUCACCUAUUCACCCCCCUCUAGGUGCUCUCAAUUGGUAUCAGAGCCAUUCUCUUCAAGGGACUAAUCGCCCGAAGGGAUGGAUCCUAAGGGAAAGGGGAUGGUGAUCAACGACAAGGAGAAGGAGUCCUUCCUCAAUGAGCCAAAAUACGACAAGCCCACUGACUCGGGCUCAAGUCACAAGAAGGAUGGGAAGAAGAAGAGGCGCAUCAAGAAGAUAGUCUACUACGACAACGACGAAUCCUCUUCUUCCCAAAGAGACGAUGACUACGACGAGAAAAAGAAAACGAUCAACUCAAACUUUUCUUUUGAUUAUUCUCGUAUUCCGCAUAAUUCUAAUGCUCAUUUGCUUUCCAUUCCUCUUGGUAAACCUCCACACUUUGAUGGAGAGGACUACGGAUUUUGGAGUCACAAAAUGCGUAGCCAUUUGUUCUCUCUUCAUCCAAGUAUAUGGGAGAUAGUAGAGAAUGGAAUGCAAUUUGAUAGUACGGAUAAUCCCAUGUUUAUCAAUGAACAAAUUCACAAAAAUGCACAAGCUACCACUGUUCUUUUAGCAUCCUUGUGCAGGGAAGAGUACCAUAAGGUGAGUGACUUGGAUAACGCCAAGCAGAUUUGGGACACCCUCAAGAUCUCGCAUGAGGGGAACGACGUUACUAUGAUCACCAAGAUGGAGUUGGUGGAGGGCAAACUGGGAAGGUUCGCAAUGAUCAGGGGGAGGAGCCAACUCAAACGUACAACAGGCUCAAGACCCUGGUCAACAAAAUAAGGAGCUAUGGAAGCACGAGAUGGACGGACCACGACGUCGUCCAGCUUAUGCUAAGGUCCUUUACUGUCCUUGAUCCUCAUCUUGUAAACUCUAUUCGUGAAAAAUCCUAGGUAUACCAAGAUGAUGCCUGAGGAAAUACUUGGGAAGUUUGUAAGCGGGCGAAUGAUGAUCAAGGAGGCGAGAUAUGUUGAUGAGGCGCUAAAUGGCCCAAUGCCGAUCCACGAGCCUCAAACCGUUGCUCUCAAAGCAACAAGUAGCAGGGAGGCGCUACCUAUCAAGGUGGCGCAAGUUGAGGCGGCCGGGCUUAACGAGGAAGAAAUGACCCUCAUCAUCAAGCGCUUCAAAACGGCGCUAAAAGGUUGCAAGGAGCAUCCCAACAAGAGCAAGAUGAAGGGAAAGCGCUCCUGCUUCAAGUGUGGUAAGUAUGGUCCUUUUAUAGCAAAUUGUCCCGACAAUACUAAUGACCAGGAACAAGAGAAAAGCGGGAAGAAGGAAAAGAAGAAGGCCUACAAGAAGGCGAAGGGCGAGGCACACCUCGGCAAAGAGUGGGACUCAGAUUGUUCGUCGUCCGACUCCGACGACGAAGGACUCGCUGCCUCGGCCUUCAACAAGUCAUCGCUCUUCCCCAACGAGCGCCAUACUUGUCUAAUGGCAAAGGAAAAGAAGGUAAACACUAGAGAAACUCCUAAGUACUCUACUUCUAGUGAUGAGGACUCUAGUGAUGAUGAAAUUGACUACACUAGCUUGUUCAAAGGAUUAGAUAGAGCCAAGGUAGAAAAGAUCAAUGAGCUGAUUGAUGCAUUGAAUGAAAAAGAUAGACUGCUAGAGAGGCAAGAAGACAUCUUGUAUGAGGAACAUGACAAAUUUGUUAAUGUUCAAAAGUCUCUUGCCUUAGAGAUUAAAAGGAAUGAAUUAUUAUCUUCUGAAUUAUCUAUUUGCAAUGAAUCUAUUUCUAGCCUGAAGAUUUUGAAUGAUGAUUUAAAUGCUAAGCUAGAAGUAGCAAAUAAAUCUAGUUCUUGUGUAGAGCAUGUUGUGAUUUGCAAUAGGUGUAAGGAUCUUAAUGUUGAUGCUUGUAGUGAACAUUUAAUUUCUAUUUCUAAAUUAAAUGAUGAAGUAGCUAGUCUUAAUGCCCAACUUAAGACUAGCAAAAAUGAUUUUGAUAAACUAAAAUUUGCAAGGGAUGCCUACACUGUUGGUAAACAUCCCUCAAUUAAGGAUGGGCUUGGCUUUCGAAGGGAAGCGAAGAACUUAACAAGUCAAAAGGCUCCCAUUCCCAACAAGGAGAAAGGGAAGGCCCCUAUGGCUAGUAGGAGUUAAAAGAAUCAUGCUUUCAUGUAUCAUGAUAGAAAAAAUGCUAGGAAUUUUCAUUAUAGUAGGAGUUAUAAUGCUUUUGACUCACAUGCCAUGAUUGCUUCAAGUUCAAACUUUAAUGGUAGAUCUAGGAGGAAUUUUGUGUCUCAUGCUCCUAGGAAAGUGUAUAAUGGAUCUACCACUGUUUUUCAUGCCUGCAACACUGAUUUUGUACUUUCAUGUAAAAAUAAGAAAGUGGUUGCUAAGAAAUUGGGGGCAAAAUGCAAGGGAAAUAAAACUUGCAUUUGGGUCCCUAAGGCUAUUGUAACUAACCUUGUAGGACCCAAAAAGAGUUGGGUACCUAAAACCCAAGCCUAAUUUGCCUUGCAGGUUUAUGCAUCCGGGGGCUCAAGCUGGAUUAUCGACAGCGGAUGCACAAACCACAUGACGGGGGAGAAGAAGAUGUUCACCUCCUACGUCAAGAACAAAGAUUCCCAAGACUCAAUCAUAUUCGGUGACAGGAAUCAAGGCAAGGUUAAAGGACUAGGAAAGAUAGCUAUUUCAUCCGAGCAUUCCAUUUCUAAUGUGUUUUUAGUAGAAUCGCUCGGGUAUAACUUGUUGUCCGUUAGUCAAUUAUGUAAUAUGGGUUACAAUUGCUUAUUUACAAAUGUAGAUGUGUCUGUCUUUAGAAGGAGUGAUGGUUCAUUAGCCUUUAAGGGUGUACUAGACGGCAAACUCUAUUUAGUUGAUUUUUCGAAGGAGGAGGCCGGUCUAGAUGCAUGUUUAAUUGCUAAGACUAGCAUGGGCUGGCUGUGGCAUCGCCGUCUAGCACAUGUUGGGAUGAAGAACCUUCACAAACUUCUGAAGGGAGAACAUGUGUUAGGUCUAACAAAUGUGUAUUUCGAAAAAGAUAGACCUUGUGCAGCUUGUCAAGCAGGUAAACAGGUGGGAAGCGCUCAUCACAACAAGAAUGUGAUGACUACAUCAAGACCUCUGGAGCUACUGCAUAUGGACCUCUUCGAACCCGUCGCCUACCUUAGCAUCGGGAGAAGUAAGUAUGGUCUUGUUGUUGUUGAUGAUUUUUCCCGCUUGACUUGGGUAUUCUUUUUGUAGGAUAAAUCAGAAACCCAAGGGACCCUCAGGCGCUUUCUAAGGCGAGCUCAAAACGAAUUUGAGCUCAAGGUGAAAAAGAUUAGAAGCGACAACGGGUCCGAGUUCAAGAACCUGCAAGUGGAGGAGUUUCUUGAGGAGGAAGGAAUCAAGCACGAGUUCUCCGAUCCCUACACACCACAGCAAAACGGUGUGGUAGAGAGGAAGAACAGGACACUUAUAGACAUGGCAAGGACGAUGCUUGGAGAAUUCAAGACGCCCGAGCGGUUUUGGUCGGAAGCUGUGAACACAGCUUGCCACGCCAUAAACUGGGUCUACCUUCAUCGCCUCCUCAAGAAGACGUCGUACGAACUACUAACCGGUAACAAACCCAACGUUUCAUAUUUUUGAGUUUUUGGGAGUAAAUGCUACAUUCUAGUGAAGAAAGGUAGGAAUUCAAAAUUUGCUCCCAAAGCUGUAGAAGGGUUUUUGUUAGGUUAUGACUCAAAUACAAAGGCGUAUAGAGUCUUCAACAAAUCAUCGGGUUUGGUUGAAGUCUCUAGCGACGUUGUAUUUGAUGAAACUAAUGGCUCUCCGAGAGAGCAAGUUGAUCUUGAUGAUGUAGAUGAAGAUGAUGGUCCAAUGGACGCGAUUCGCACCAUGACAAUUGGAGAUGUGCGACCACAGGAACACCAAGAGCAAGAUCAACCUUCUUCCUCAACCAUGGUGCAUCCCCCAACUCAAGAUGAUGAACAGGUUCCUCAAGAAGAGGCGUGUGAUCAAGGGGGAGCACAAGAUAUCCAAGAUGAGGAGGAAGAAGCACCACGGGCCCCUCCAACUCAAGUUCGAGUGACGAUUCAAAGGAAUCAUCCCGCCGACCAGAUAUUGGGUGAUAUCAGCAAGGGAGUAACCACUCGCUCUAGAUUAGCUAAUUUUUGUGAGCAUUACUCUUUUGUCUCUUCUAUUGAGCCUUUCAGGGUAGAAGAGGCCUUGCUAGAUCCGGACUGGGUGUUGGCCAUGCAGGAAGAGCUCAACAACUUCAAGCGAAAUGAAGUUUGGACACUGAUGCCAUGUCCCAAGCAAAACAUUGUGGAAACCAAGUGGGUGUUCCACAACAAACAGGACGAGCAUGGGGUGGUGACAAGGAACAAGGCUCGACUUGUGGCAAAAGGUAAUGCCCAAGUCGCAGGUUCGGACUUUGAGGAGACUUUUGCUCCUGUGGCUAGGCUAGAAUUGAUUCGUAUUUUGUUAGCCUAUGCCGCUCACCAUUCUUUCAGGUUGUUUCAAAUGGACGUGAAGAGCGCUUUCCUCAACGGGCCAAUCAAGGAGGAGGUAUACGUGGAGCAACCCCCUGGCUUUGAGGAUGAACGGUACCCCGACCACGUGUGUAAGCUCUCUAAGGCGAUCUAUGGACUUAAGCAAGCCCCAAGAGCAUGGUAUGAAUGCCUUAGAGAUUUUUUAAUUGCUAACGAUUUUAAGGUUGGGAAAGCCGAUCCAACUCUUUUUACUAAGACUUGUGAUGGUGAUCUUUUUGUGUGCCAAAUUUAUGUUGAUGACAUAAUAUUUGGUUCUACUAACCAAAAGUCUUGUGAAGAGUUUAGCAGGGUGAUGACUCAGAAAUUCGAGAUGUCGAUGAUGGGCAAGUUGAACUACUUCCUUGGGUUCCAAGUGAAGCAACUCAAGGACGACACCUUCAUCUCUCAAACAAAGUACACGCAAGACUUGCUCAAGCGGUUUGGGAUGAAGGACGCCAAGCCCGCAAAGACUCCAAUGGGAACCGACGGACAUGUCGACCUCAACAAAGGAGGUAAGUCCGUCGAUCAAAAGGCAUACCGGUCUAUGAUAGGGUCUUUACAUUAUUUAUGUGCUAGUAGACCGGAUAUUAUGCUUAGCAUAUGCAUGUGUGCUAGAUUUCAAUCCGAUCCAAGGGAGUGUCACCUUGUGGCCGUUAAGCGAAUUCAUAGAUAUUUAGUUGCUACGCCUUGCUUCGGGAUCUGGUAUCCAAAGGGGUAUAUCUUUGACUUAAUUGGAUACUCAGACUCUGACUAUGCUGGAUGUAAGGUUGAUAGGAAGAGUACAUCAGGGACGUGCCAAUUCCUAGGAAGGUCCCUGGUGUCCUGGAGUUCUAAGAAACAAACUUCCGUUGCCCUAUCCACCGCUGAAGCCGAGUAUGUUGCAGCAGGACAGUGUUGCGCACAACUACUUUGGAUGAGGCAAACCCUCCGGAACUUUGGCUACAAUCUGAGCAAAGUCCCACUCCUAUGUGACAAUGAGAGUGCAAUCCGCAUGGCGGACAAUCGUGUUGAACACAGCCGCACGAAGCACAUAGACAUCCGACAUCACUUUUUGAGAGACCACCAGCAAAAGGGAGAUAUCGAAGUGUUUUAUGUUAGCACCGAGAACCAGUUAGCCGAUAUCUUUACCAAGCCUUUAGAUGAGAAGACCUUUUGCAGGCUGCGUAGUGAGCUAAAUGUCUUAGAUUCGCGUAACUUGGAUUGAUAUAGAGCAUACAUGUGUUUUAUGCCUUUGAUCAUGUUCCAUUAUGCAUUUUAUUGCUUAUUUAUGGUGCUCAAGUUGUGCAAGGGAUCCCCGGACCUCACAAGUCUAUGUGUGAAUGAUGCACAUACUUAGGGGGAGAAAUGCUAUAACUUGACCCUUUGAGACUAACCGUGUGCUUGAGUUUUCUUAAUUUAGUCUCAAAGGAGGAUUGAAAUGGAAAAGGUGAACUUGGACCAUGCAAGACUUCCACUGCACUCCGAUGAGAGGGUAAUUUACUCCAAGUUCAUCUUCGUGCUCUUAUUGCCUUUCUACUCUUAAUUGAAGAUUUUGGUGAGGCAAUGAGGUUUAAGGGCCAAAAAUGAUCCCGUUUUGGUGCUUGAUGCCAAAGGGGGAGAAAUUAAGGCCAAAGCAAGAAAUGGAUCAGCUACCACUUGAGAAUUUUGAAAAUGGUAGAGUUAGAGCUUUUGUUUUAUCAAAAUAUUCUUAUGGUCUCUUAUUGUCAAAAGUUGGUCUGUUGUGGGGGAAUGUUUGAUUAUGGGAAAAGGGGGAGUUUUUGAAUCUUUGAUCAAUUUCUCUUGGAAUACCUCUCUCUAUGCCUCAACAAGUGAAUUUGACUUAGAGAUAGGAAUUUGAGUUUGAUUUGCAAAAACAAACCAAGUGGUGGCAAAGAAUGAUCUAAAUAUGUCAAAUUUGAAUCAAAAACAAAUUUUUGUUCUCAUUUGCAUUGAUGUUGCACUUCUUUAGUUGCUUUUUGUUGUGUUGGCAUAAAUCACCAAAAAGGGGGAGAUUGAGAGGGAAAUGUGCCCUUGGGCCAUUUCUAUAAGAUUUUGGUGAUUAAGUGCUCCACACAAAAAUGCUUUGAGUAAUAUUUGUGUCAAAGACUCAAGAAGUGCAAAUCAAGAUUAAAGGUAUGUUUCCGGACUUAGUACAUUGUUUUGAAGACUAAUGUAUCAUGUCUAAGUGCUAGAAACAGGAAAAAUCGUUUUGGAGAAAAGUUAGCUAUGUACAGCCAAAAGGCUGCUCGGUCUAGGUGCACCGAACAGUGUCCGGUGUGCCAGGACCAGUCCCGAUGAACAGCCUACUCUCGGGUCUCGAUGGCGGCGUACGGCUAUAAAUCACCGGACUGUUCGGUGGUGCACCGGACUGUCCGGUGAGUCGUCUGCGAUGAAGUCGCCGCUCUCGGGAAACAGUCAACAGCGUACGACUAAAAAUCACUGGACUGUUCGGUGGUGCACCGGACUGUCCGGUGAGCCAACGGUCGGCCGCGCAAUCCGCGCUGCAGCGUGGGCGCGCCAACGGUCGGCAGGGGGGCACCGGACUGUCCGGUGUGCACCGGACAAUGUUCGGUGCGGCAACGGCUCCAUUUCUGCAACGGUUGGCUGCGCCAAUUUAGGAAAGCAAUAUGCACCGGACAUUGAACAGUGGGUGUCCGGUGGUGCACCGGACUGUCCGGUGCGCCACCCGACAGAAGGCAAUAAUUGCCUUCCUAGAUUGCUUCCAACGACUCCUAGCUGCCUUGGGGCUAUAAAAGGGACCCCUAGGCGCAUGAAAGAGUACAUCAAGCAUACUUUGAACAUUCUAAGACUCCCACACUCCAUCUUCACACAUUCGAUUGACAUUCUUAGUGAUUUGAGCUCCGUUCUAGUGGUGAACUUGUUGCAUUUCAAUUGAGCUCAAGUCUUGGCUUGUGUGUGUGUGCGUAUUGCUGGGAUUUGUGUGUGUUGCUUCCCUCCCUUACUCUGGUGCUUUCACAUUGAUAUUUGUUGUAAGGGCGAGAGGCUCCAACUUGUGGAGAUUCCUCGCAAACGGGAAAAGUGAUAAGAAAAAGGAACACCGUGGUAUUCAAGUUGAUCAUUGGAUCACUUGAAAGGGGUUGAGUGCAACCCUCGUCCAUUGGGACGCCACAACGUGGAGGUAGACAAGUGUUGCACUUGUUGAACCACGGGAUAACUCACGUGUCUCUUGUGAUUGCUUUUUGUGUGAUUGUUGGUAUUCGCAAGAGCUCGAUUUAUAGUCACUUGGAAUUAUCUCUCUAACACUUAACCAAGUUUUGUGGCUAUAAGUUUUAAGUUUUUACAGGAUCACCUAUUCACCCCCCCCUCUAGGUGCUCUCAAACCCUGUCAUUCCUCGACGCCUAUUCAGGCUAUCACCAAAUCAAGAUGAAAGAAUCCGACCAGCUCGCAACUUCUUUUAUCACACCUUUUGGCAUGUAUUGUUAUACUACUAUGCCAUUUGGCUUGAGGAAUGCAGGUGCAACCUACCAGAGGUGCAUGAACCAUGUGUUCGGAGAACACAUCGGCAGGACGGUCGAGGCUUACGUUGAUGACAUCGUCGUCAAAACAAGGAAAGCCUCCGACCUCCUCUCUGACCUUGAGGUAACAUUCAGUUGCCUAAAAGCGAAGAGCGUAAAACUCAAUCCUGAGAAGUGUGUCUUCGGAGCCCCCUGAGGCAUGCUCUUAGGGUUCAUCGUCUCCGAACGAGGCAUCGAAGCCAACCCAGAGAAAAUCACGACCAUCACCAACAUGGGGCCAAUCAAAGAUUUGAAAGGAGUACAAAGGGUCAUGGGAUGCCUUGCGGCUCUGAGCCGCUUCAUCUCGCGCCUCUGCGAGAAGGGAUUGCCCUUGUACCGCCUCUUAAGGAAGGCCGAGCGCUUCACUUGGACCCCUGAUGCCGAGGAAGCCCUCGGAAACUUAAAGGCGCUCCUUACAAAUGCGCCCAUCUUGGUGCCCCAGCUGCGGAAGAAGCCCUCUUGAUUUACGUCGCCGCAACCACUCAGGUGGUCAGCGCUGCGGUCGUAGUCGAGAGACGAGAAGAAGGGCACGCACUACUCGUCCAGUGGCCAGUCUACUUCAUCAGCGAAGUGCUAUCCGAGACCAAAGUCCGCUACCCGCAAAUCCAGAAGCUGCUCUACACAGUGAUUCUGACACGGCGGAAGCGGCGACACUACUUCGAGUCUCAUCCGGUUACUGUGGUGUCAUCUUUCCCCCUGGGAGAAAUCAUCCAGAGAUGAGAGGCCUCGAGUAGGAUAGCGAAAUGGGCAGUGGAACUCAUGGGCGAAACACUUUCAUUUGCCCCUCGGAAGGCCAUAAAAUCCCAAGUCUUGGCCGACUUCCUGGCUGAAUGGACUGACACCCAGUUGCCGAUGGCUCCAAUACAGCCCGAACUUUGGACCAUGUACUUCAAUGGGUCGCUUAUGAAAACAGGAGCAGGUGCUGGCUUGCUCUUCGUUUCACCCCUCGGGAAACAUGUGCGCUACGUACUGCGCCUCCAUUUUCCGGCGUCAAACAACAUGGCCGAGUACGAGGCCUUGGUUAAUGGCCUACACAUCACCGUCGAGCUAGGGGUUCGGCGCCUCGACGCUCGUGGCGACUCGCAGCUCGUCAUUGACCAGGUCAUGAAGAACUCCCACAACCGCGACCAAAAAAUGGAGGCCAACUGCGACGAAGUUUGGCGCUUGGAAGAUAAGUUCUACGGGCUGGAACUCAACCAUGUUGCUCGACGGUACAACGAAACCACAGAUGAGCUGGCGAAAAUAGCCUCGGGGCGAACGACGGUUCCCCCGGACGUCUUCUCCAAGGAUAUAUAUCAGCCAUCCGUCAAAAUGGACGACGCGCCCGAGCCUGAGGAGGCCUCGGCCCGGCCCGAGGUACCCUUGGCCGCCGAGGGUGAGGCCCUGCGCAUUGAGGGGGAGCGGAAUAGGGUCACACCGGUUCCAAACUGGCAGACCUCGUACCAGGAAUAUCUCCUCCGAGGAGAGCUGCCCCUCGACAAGGCCGAAGCUCAGCACGCCAAGUCGUUCGUUUUACUGGGUGAUGAAAAGGAGCUGUACCACCGCAGCCCCUCGGGCAUUCUCCAACGAUGCAUAUCCAUUGCCCAAGGACAAGAGCUGUUACAAGAAAUACACUCGGGGGCUUGUGGUCACCAUGCAGCACCUCGAGCCCUCGUGGGAAACGCUUUCCGACAAAGUUUCUACUGGCCGACCGCGGUGGCCGACGCCACUAGGAUUGUACACUCCUGCCGAGGGUCUCAAUUCUACGCGAGACAGACGCACCUGCUUCAAGCCCUACAGUAAAUACCCAUCACUUGGUCGUUUGUCGUGUGGGGUCUGGACCUCGUCGGUCCCUUGCAGAAGGCACCCGGGGGCUUCUCGCACCUGCUGGUCGCCAUCGACAAAUUCUCCAAGUGGAUCGAAGUCCGACCCUUAACCAGCAUCAGGUCCGAGCAGGCGGUGGUGUUCUUCACAAAUAUCAUCCAUCGCUUUGGGGUCCCAAACUCAAUCAUCACCGACAAUGGCACACAGUUCACUAGGAAAAAGUUCCUAGACUUCUGCGAGGACCACCACAUCCGUGUGGACUGGGCUGCCGUAGCGCACCCAAUGACAAAUGGGCAGGUGGAACGCGCCAAUGGUAUGAUUUUGCAGGUACUAAAGCCGAGGAUCUACAAUGAGCUCAACAAGUUCGGCAAGCGGUGGAUAAAAGAGCUACCCUCUGUGGUUUGGAGUCUGAGGACGACGCCGAGCUGGGCCACGGGCUUCACGCCGUUUUUCCUAGUCUAUGGGGCCGAGGCUAUCUUACCCACGGACUUGGAAUACGGUUCACUGAGGACAAAGGCUUACAACGACCAAAGCAACCAGACCAGUCGAGAGGAUUCAUUGGACCAGCUGGAAGAGGCUCGGAACGUGGCCAUACUACACUCGGCGCGGUAUCUACAGUCCCUGCGAUGCUACCACGCCCGAAGGAUUCGGCCCCGACACUUCCAAGUGGGAGACUUGGUACUUCAGCUGCGACAAGACACCCGAGGGCGCCACAAACUUACCCCUCCCUGGGAAAGGCCCUUCAUCAUCGCCAAGAUUUUGAAGCCCAGGACAUACAAGCUGGCCAACGACCAAGGCGAGGUCUACAACAACGCUUGGAACAUCGAACAACUACGUUGCUUUUACCCUUAAAAUGUUUUAAUUCGUUCAUGUAUCUCGCUUUCUUUACAUGCAUAAAUAAAGUCUAACCAUCAAGGAAAGAUCGGCCUUGCCUCGGCAAAGCCCGACCCUCCCUCGGGGGCUAGAAGGGGGAACCCCCUUUGCGUCAAAUUUUUCCUCGGAAAAGUCUUUUGCCAGAACGUCUUUCGUGCAUUUCGACUGCGUCAAUAACAGAAUCCUAAAGACGAGCAAGACAGACCGUAAGCGGCAAGGCCGACCGAGCCGAGGGACUCCUAUGCCUCCGGGAUACGGAUACCUCACUCAUCAUCUUCCGCGAAAAGGUAGCUCACGCUCGGAUAAGCGAUUCUGUUACCGAACAAGUCCUAACUCACGAAACAAGCGGAAAGAAAACGUAGCUUUAUAAUCCGACAAUAAUGUUUAGGCCUCAGCGGCCGCAAAAAACAUACGCAUACUUCAAGCAAACUGUUCCUGCUGGCUCAGACAUCGACAGGGGGAGGAGCAGCACGCUCGGCGUCAUCUCCACCCUCGGCAGAAUCUGGCCUGGUCUCAGACGGCGACUCGGGCGGAAGGAUCUCCACCUCAAAGGAGGAAGCCAACGCCGCACUUGGGCCCUCGACAGCCGCGUCAAGCCUCUGGACCUCGGCUAAGGCAGCCUCCUCUUUGUCGGGUAAGCAGUACCCCUCGCUGACCCGCUCCAGAUCCACGUUGUAGUGGGAAGCGAGCACGGCGAAGGCCCGCCUAACGCCGUGGUGCAGUGCCCCACGGAGUCUAUUGCGCACAUGGCCGCCCAAGGCCACAGAUGACUCUGGGGGGAGCUACCCGAGGGGACACCAUCGAGGCCAAAGGCCUGGCAGAAAGCCGAGACAGCCUCGGACAGGGCCACACGCUCGGCCUCCUUCCGCUCAGCCGCCUCGGCAAGCGCCUUGCAGUUCUUGAUGGACUCGUUAAGAGCCGUCUCGAACCCUGCAGGAAGCAGGGCAACAUUCUUCAGACGCAAGGAGAAGAAUGGAGACAAAAACAAAGUCACGGAGCGGGCAAAACAUACCCUCCGCCCGGGCACACUACUGUGAGGCCAUGGCUCGGGUAGACCCGACGACCACGGCCAGACCCUCCGCAAGGGUCCCGGCCCGAGCGGUCGCCUCGGGUCUAGAAAGGGGGGAACCCCCUCUGCGUCAAACUUUCCUCAGAAAAGUUUCCCAUCAAAACGACUUUCGUGCCUUUCGACUGCGUCGAUAACGGAAUCCUAAUGAUGAGCGAGAGAGACCUUGAACGGCAAGGCCGACCGAGCCGAGGGACUCCUACGCCUCUGGGAUACGGAUACCUCACUCGUCACCUUCCGCGAAGGGCAGCUCACGCUCGGAUAAGUGAUUCUGCUACCGACGAACAAGUCCUAAUGCUCGAAACAAGAGGAAAGAAGCAUGGCUUUAUACCCAAAUGUUCAGGCCUCAGCAGCCACAAAGAACAAACACACGUGCUUGGGGUAACAAUUGUACCUAGACUUCGACGUCGGCAGCGCCCUCGACGGUUUUCCCGACCUACGGCAGAUGUCUUAGUACUUAAAACUAUUACAUCUUGCCCUCAAUAAGUUACCAUUACAAACGGGACUCCGAGUCCAUUCCCGCAGGAAUGAACAACCUCCACACCAGAAGGCCUGCGGGAUAACGAGCUCCAAGCGGCCCGCCAGCGACCACCGCACCAGCAGCGCGACAACGACCUCCGCCUCGGGCGGCUAGACAGCAGCAGCGAUGGCCUCAGGGCAAACACUACUGUUGAAAGGCCCUCGUUCACGUCCCCUCACGAGGGACGAGAACCAGCCAUUAAAGCCAAAGAGCCGGAGGUCCGGAGCGCAGGUGGCACUAACGGUCUCGUCGGUGGAGGCGACCGCUGCGGUGGGAAGCCUCACCAGCGGCGGCCACCACUUCAGCAUUGGUGGCAGCAGCCACCUACACACGACAUGACCAUCGCCCAGGUGGAGGACGGACAGCUACACCCUGACCAGGCAGCAGCAGUUCGCCUUCCCCCGCAUGGCUGGAGGACGCCUCCUCCGCAGGGCUGGAGGAUGCCCUUCUCCCCCGAAUGCUGGAGGAAGAAGAGGGUCACCGGCCCACGCGGGAGGCAGGACCCCACUCGACGCGCCCUCCUCCUCAGCCCAGAUGAUGAACAUCCUUGAAGCUGAGGGCGGGGCAGAGGCCACGGCCCGACUCUCUAUUCCCCGCCACGAGGCCUACGGUCAUCAUCCUGGGUUACCGCCGGUGGGGGAAUGCAGCCGGGCUGCAUGAUGAGAAUCCUUGAAGCCGAGCGACGACUGAAGAGCACCAACCCCCACGAGGUCGCGCUUCUCAAACAGCAGCAAAAAGAAGGCAACACAGGUGCACCCCAUCUGGGGGCUCAAAAGGCGAAAAGGCGCGAUGGGUGCGAGGAGUGUGAAGGCAUGGCUACCGCCCAGGGGGUCGAUCCCUUUUUAAAGGCAGAUCUCCUCACUCGCACCCCAAGCGUCACGGGCAAAGUCUCCACCGACGUGCUCUAGGGUUCCCACCCCACGACACGGGGGCUGGGUCCCACACGUCAUGCGAGCUGACCCGAAACGCGAAGAAGGAAAACCGCCGCAUGCGAAGCAUGUAACUGCCCUGCGGUUAUAAGCGUUCCAUCAUCCUCGCCGAAACCAGCGGUCGAAAGGGCGAGCCGCCAUGCAGGGAGCAUGCAACCGCACCAUGGUUGUGCACCCUUUCGGCUUCGUCGCAUCCGGUGGUCCAGCACGAAGGCCUGGUCCCACAUGUCAUGUAACCGGCGCGCCGGUCACUGCGUGCAAGGAAACCGCACCGCCGCUUACGCCAAUGCUGCGUCUUCUCGACUGCGGAACUAGCGCAGCGGCUCAAGGCAGCCCUACGCGUGACCCAACAGUGCCCAUUAAGUGCAGUGAUCAUGGGUCACUCAGCCGCGGAGAUAGGCACGACAGUCGAUAUGAUCAGAGGCGGGCCGGCAGUAAUUGCAGCAACAGGCGUGCAGAAGCAGCGAUCCAAUCACCUACAAGUUUGCACCCUCUCCCACAGCAUAAAAAUGAUGCACUCGUGUUCUGCUCCUCAAACGGCUCGCGCACGCGCAACAGACGCCCCGCGAAUCGCCCGUCCCGUCGCAUUAACUCCUUGCAGGGCAAGCGACACCUCCGGCAGGCGAAGCGGGCGCCGUUUCGUCUCCGUCAUGAUAACCACGUCAUAAAAGGUGUGCCACCUUAUUUAAAUUUAUAUCCUUUUCCUUUUCCUCUCUCUCUCUCUCUUGCCACAGGGACCGGGAAAGGGGAUAUUGCGAAAAGGAUCCUUCUCGGCGAAGGAAACGGGCCCCGAGCCCUCCUACUGAUCAGGGGUUCGAAGGUUGCGCCCUUCGGGGUUCGGCAACCGCCCCAGAGCACUCGGGCUCUGAGCCCUUUACUGAUCAGGGGUUCGAAGGCUGGCCCCUCGGAAGGGUUCGACAGCCGCCCCAGAGCACGUAGAGUCAGGGAUGACCCUGGGUACUGUAACGCCCUGAAUUUGGGGGUAGAUUUUUUUCUUCUUUUCUCUCACCAAAUUCGGGCGUUACUCUCUUUUCUCUUCCUGUUUCGCUCCUUCUUCCUAAUUUCAAACCAGUAUAGUGACAGGUGUCCGUGUCGUGUAUGAACAAAACCUAAGUGUCAUGGGUGUUGCAUCACGCCGAAGCACAUUUCCUUGUCUGAUGUUGCGUGUUCGUCUCGUUCCGUCUCGGUUUCGGUUCGCGAUUGGAGCCCGUUUGAGGGUCGUCCGUGUCGUAGGUUUUGAUCCGCGAAGUGGCUCGGCCCAACCCAACCCAACCCAACUCAGCCCAGCCCGGCCCAGUCCGGCCCGGCUCGGCCCUGCGCGCCCCUGGCGCCCCACACCCCCCAUGCGCCCCCUCCUCUCCUCCCUCUCUCAUUUGGAUUUCCCGCGUAGCAACCUCCCUCUCCCUCUUCCACCUCUCUCUCCCCGUGGUGCCCUAGGUUUUGGAGACGGUGAUCGCCGGAGUUGGAUCCCGAGGUGAGCUCCCCUCCCCUCCCUUCUCCUCUCUCUCUCCCUCUCCCUCCUCUUCUCCCCCUGGGCGCGCCCUCUCUUCCUCCCCUGCGCGCGCGCCCCUGCCCUCCCUGCUCGCCGGCGGCGCGGCCCCGCCCCCCUGCUCGCGCGGCCCCCGCCCCCUCCCCUGCCCGCGCGGCGCCGCCCCCGCACCCUGCUCACGCGGCGGUGCCCCCGCCCCUCCCCUGCCCGCGGCACGCGGUGUGACACCCCAGGUGUCUAUUUCGGGUUAUGUCGAAAGAUUUAUCCUAAUCUCGGAUGCUCAGUGAAAAUUUCUAUUUCUCGAUCGUGCCUAUCUCUGUUUAUCAGGCUUUCUCUUGGAAGUUCACCGAAUUCAGAGUUAAUUGAUCGGGAAAACAACCAAUUUUGGAGCGUGUUAAAACUUUUAUUUCUCGGAACUAAUGCAGACUCGAAGAUCAUUCUCGAAUCAUAAAUCUCAUCUGAAGCUCUUUAAAUCAAACUCUCGACGACUAUUAUUUGAUCUGAGCCCGAGUCUAAUUUUUUUCGAACCAUUGAUCUAUGUUCGACUAUUUUAUUCGGAUCCAUACUCUCAAACAGAAUACUCAAUAUGUCGUCCUCUAAUCAUUUUUAUCCGAUUCGGCCAAUUAUCUUAUGUCCGAACCAAAUUCACAACCCGCAUCGACAGUGCUUUUAAAAAUGUCACGAUUCGCCUUCUUCGACUAAAAAUCCAAAGCCAAUCAAAAGUUUGAGAAAAAUAUUUGUUUCUAAAAUAGUGCGUGAGAAAAUUUCAAAGCAGAAUCUCCAAUGUGUUGCCCUCAAAUAAAUUCUUAUCCGACUCGGCUUAAUACCUCUGUGUUCGAUCCGAAUUCAAAAAUAAACAUCGGCGAAGAUUUUUAAAUGUCGCAAUUUGUCUCUUUCAAUCAUAGAUCCAAAAGCUAGUCAGUCUCAAGUCAUUUUGAUUUCCUAAUCGUACGCGGACGAAUUUUCCGAGCGACACUGAAAAAUUAAAUUCUUGGCCUAACUAUUUUUUUUGUUCUCUUUCCUCAUACUCUCGUUUGUCAGACGCCGGUUCUCUCUGUUCUCCACAUCGGCAAAUCCCGCGGGAGAUUUUUCUCCCUUUAAAUAGUUUACUUAGCCUAGAAGGAACCCCUUGCUUCUCCUCUAAGCAACAUAUUUUGCUUCUCAUCUAAGCAACCUUUGCUUCAUUCCUAAGCAACCUUUGCUUCUCUUGUAAGCAACCACUUGCUUCACUCCUAAGCAAGCAAACCAGCCCCUUUCCUCUUCUAUAAAUCCCACGCCACCUCCCCAACCAGCCACUUCCUCUCCCUCUCCCCACGCCACUCUCCCUACUCCCUUCCUCCCUCUCUCUCUAUCUCUCUCUCUCUAGCUCCCCAUGCAGCUGGCGACCAAGCCCUCCCAUGCUCCUCCCUCACCUUGGAAGCUCUCCCAUGGCGUCUCCCCCUCCUCUACGGCAGCAAGGUGUAGGUGAGCUCCGGGUCAAGAACUUGUGUGCUGAAAUUUCAGAAUCUUGCACUUUCUUCUAAAAUCUAUAACUUGAGUUUGAAAGCUCCUAAAAUAGUAAGACUUGUUUUGUUAGCUUUCAUAUGGAAUGUCCUACCUAUUAGAUCUAUAAUAUGACCUGUUUUAGUAGACGUUUUUGUCUGUGCAAAUUAAAUCUUAAAGAGAGGUUUAGAGAAUAAACGAACUUGCUUCUCUCCAUAGUUUUCAUUAAAAAAAUCCAAAAAUGAUCAAACUUGUUUUGUUAGUUAGAUGUUGUCAUACUCCAUCUAAGAAAAAUAUAAAACUUAUAUGUUGUUCACUGUUUUCUUGGUGUGUUAAUUAAAACAAGUUAAAUAGAGAAAAGAAGAUGUAUUUGCUUGUUAUUUUUGGAUCUGUAGCUCUAGUGCUCCAAAUGGGUUGAGAUUUUUACAGUAGACUCUUGGUGUGAUGUUUGGUGACGGGUAAAAAUUUCAUGAAUUGUUGUGCAUGUAUGAUUAGGUUAGUGAUUUAACUUGUUUAAUGCACCUUAAGUAGUUUUAAAUGAUUUAAAAAUAAUGUAUAGAUGCAAAAAUGAAAAAUGGCGUUCCGCUGUUCUUGCAUGAUACUAUAGUAGCCUGAGAAAACUUAAUAUGGUUAUGCAUCCACAGAAAAUAAUUAGUUUUAGAUUUAACUUGCUCUCACAAGCUUUAUUGCAUUAACAAUUUGUUAUUUUUGUAUUAAAUAAAAUAGAAAACCUGCGCAUGUGAAAUUUAUACAUUGGUCAUGAUUUGUUAUUACCUAUGUCUCAAAAAAAAAAUCUCAGCCCCAAAUUAGAUAGUUUCAUAUGGUGCUAAAAUGACACACGUUUUAUAAUAAUAGGAAGAAUUAGAGACAAAUUAGAAGUAAGCAAACCAUGCAUGUUGGAAUGGUUUAUGUCAUGCAAUAAGAAUUGAAAUGUGAAGAAUGGAUAGGGUAUUUAAGAAAUGUUAGCCAAUAGGUUCGGUCAAGCAUGGUAGAGGUUGAAUCAAUUAUGUUGUAGAAUUGAUGCUCAACAUAAUAGACCCCCUAAAAUGUGCUAUUUUAGGUGACUUGUGUGCUAACCAAUUUAAGUUGAGCAAUGGUUAAGAAAAGAUGAUUAAUCUGCUCCAACCCAUGUUUUUGAGUUACAAUGUCUAAAAUGGUUUGCUAAGUUUAUAUUGUGUUAGCCAAAUCAUGUUAAGUAGGAGUCGAUUGCGUUAAGUGAUUGUUAUAUACAUAUUGUGUCUCGGAUUGUGAUGAUAAUGGGUUAGUCAACUUGUUAGAUGACUUGAUUAAGCUCAUAAUCACGGUAAAUUGCUUGUUGUGGUCUAAAUGUGUAUGGUUACAGUCGCGGGUAAAAAAUAGUAGUGCUCAUGUGAUGUCUAAUUUAAAACGCAAAUUGUUGGGUGAUUAUCGUGGAGAAUGUGUUGUUAGUUGGUUGUAGUAAUUUUAGUGCACUAAAUGACUUGAAUAAAAUUUGCAAGUCGACUUGUUGGUUCUAAUUGAUUGUCGUAACUCGAAUAAAUAGUAAAGCGUUAGAGUAAUUCAAGUCUCUCGAACGCCGCGAUUCUUGAAUUAUAUAGGAGCUAAAAUUUAUUGAUUGCUGUUUUGGACUGCACGCACUGUUGUAGUUGUGUUGUAUGCUUGAUGAACUAAAUUGUGUUUUCUGUAGAUAUGUGCUAUAGAAAAGUGGUAGAUAACUUUAUUAUCUUGCUGGUGUUAAAAUUUGACAGCCAUAGGUCUGACAGUUUAGGAGUUAUGCUGUUCACAAAUUCAGUAACUGAAUCUGUCCAAAUUCUAUACAGAUUUUAGAAACUGCAUUGUUUGCUCAAUUUAAUGUUGCAAUCUGUUCAUGGUCGUUAUAAGAAAGUUGUAGUUGCUUUUCUGAUCUUGCUUGUGUUAAAAUUUCACAACCACAUGCCUGAUAGUUUAAGAGUUAUGAAUUUUACAAACUGCUUGCUGUGUUCUGUCCACCGUCAGGACAGAUUUCGAAAACUGUGUUGUUUGAUUUAGUUAAACAUUGAAUCACUUCUUGGUGAUUAUAAAAGUUAUGUGGUGCAAUUGCCAAGCUUUCCAAAAAGUCUUGGAUCACUAUUUUUGGUGGUCUGAAGAUUAAGUUAUGGAUGUUUAAAGUCUGAAGACUGAAUCUGUCCAGUUCUGGACAGCACAGCCUUCAUAGUGUAUUUCACCCUAGAUACAUGUUAAACCAGCCAGUGAUGUUUAUAAAUAAUUUGUAGAACAUUUAAUUAGCUUUCCAGAAAGUCUAAAAUCACUUUGUUUGGAUGUCUGAAUCUUCAGUUGUGAAUUUUUGAAGUUGCAAGCCUGAAUCUGUCCAAAUCUGGACAGAGCUGUUGUGUUUGCACAAUUCGACCUUGCUAAGUGUUUAAUCAGGUUGUGAUGACAAUACCAAAGUUGUAGAGCACUUUUUAAGCUUUCCAGAAAGUCCUAGCUUGAUAUUUUUGGACUAACAAUUGAAGAGUUAUGAUUAAAACAAGCAACUGCUGUAUUGCUGUCCAAAAAUUCUGCUAGUGCUCAUUUGAUUGUUAGUUCACCCGUUUGGCUAAAAAUGUUUGGUUAGCACUUAAAUAAAUGUAGACUUGCCAUGACUAAGCUUAAUAUUGCCUAAGUGUCCUGUUUUAUAUGUUUCUUCUCUACUUGAUUGUGAUAUAGGAGUUCAUAGACAUGAAUGCCUAGGUCCUAUUUAAACUUACGUUGUGUUGGUUGCUCUUGUACGGUCAAUAGAAGAACAAAUGAACGAUUAAGGUGAGCGUAGUAAAUGUGUGUACUUGUGAUGUCGUGGUCAUGUUGCGUAAAUAAAUAAAAUGUUGUCAUCUUUUUAAUGGUGUUAAUGUUGAACGCCGACGACGUGUAGAUAACUAAAGCUAACAUGUAGUUAUCUAUGGUGUCUUCCACUUUAAUGUUUAGUUCGCCACUGUGUCUUUGUAUAUCUUGUGCUAUUUUUGUGCUACUUUCAUUAUAUUCAUACAUAUGCAUCUUGCACCUCAUAUAGGACCGAGAGAUGAUGAUCGAGCUAGUGAUGUGGUGCCAACCACAAGAUGCAGUCGGUGGACGACCCAAGGAAGGAUGGACUUAACCAGUGGAUGCUCGCCAAGCGAGUACCUCCCCAGCAAACACUCUCUAAGUGUUAAAUUAAAGGCAAGCCCCGGUUUUAUGCAUAACCGUUAUAUAUGCUAUUUUACUGCACUUAAUGUUUGUAGGCUUGUACUGUGCACUUAAGUGUAGGAGUUGACUGGAACCUUAGUUGCAUGAACUCAGGAUUCCUAUUGAGAUGAAUACUAGUAUGCUAGGUCGAGUAGCUGCUUUAUUAAAUAGGGAUCUCGAUAGAAGUCGAGUGAUUUUUCUAGCACUCGCGCGAGGUCAGGACAUUGAUUGUACCCACUUUCAUAUCAUACUGAUGUUGGUCUGUGGACACGGAUCCAUGGGGAUGCAUGGUCUACGAGAUGAAAUUGGAAUAAGGAUUAACGUGCGGAUACCUGUGUCAAGCGUUUGAAUGUACUAAACAUAUGCCGAGAAAUAUGGUAAAUCGGCAAGCCUAGUACCUGAGUGAACCUGGCAGUGGACAUAUCCCCUCACGCGUCCUGAGACGAGGUCUCCCAUUCCGGUUAUGGUGGGUACAAGUGCGGUCACUGCACGAUGGCCAGUCGGGGUCAGUGAGGCAUUGUACGCCAAGGCGGUGAGCCCUGAUCUGCUGACGGGGAAUCGAUGGGGACGGUUGAUGUGUGUGGGGACGGAGUGCCCCUACAUGUCGUGUGUUUAGGUUUACCUUGCAAGGAUAAAAACUCGAUUCGAAUCGUCUGCUUCUCGCAGCUAAUGAGACUGCUUGAUCCAUUGUACUGCAUUGAGUAAUAAGUGGAAAUGAGGUGACUGAGAAAAGAUGUUGAUUGGUAAAAAUGUUUGAUACCAUGUAUGAUUAGCUAGGUACACAUCUAGUCUAAAGGAUUCUACUAAAACUUGAAAAGCUAAAACUUGUUUUUAGACUUAGCUAGUGCUUUUGGCAAACCAACCCCCUCAGCCAAAUAGCUGCAUGUCUAGAGGUAGAGGAGUAGACUCCUCACACCGGGUAAGUCUAGCUGAGUAUUAGUAUACCCAGCCUUGCUUGUGGCACAAUUUUUGCAGGUACUCCUUAGGAUGAUUGGUUGAUGGUGCGACUUGGCCUUCAUCCCUGCCACCGGGAUAGAUGGUCGAGUGGGUUACUGCUUCCGCAGGAGAGGACCAGGAGGAGUAGUGUGGCCAGGCUUCGCCAUGUUACUCGGUUCUUCUCCGUUAGUUAUUUCCGCUGCAUCAAAAUUUAUGGUUAUUAUUUCUGAAACUCCGAUAAUGCAAUCACUAUUGAUACUUAUUAAAUUUGUGGUAUUAUGCUUUAUUGUCUUUCUCUGUGCCUCACCUUCGAGUGAGCUAGUGGUAUUCGAUCCUGGAUAAGUGGCUUUAUCGGACUAGAUCCGAGGGACUGACGGGUUAUUCCUGUUUAAGUGUGUUGCUGCCCUUAAGGGUGCGACUUGGGCACUUAAGCUGGAAUAAUUCGGGCGGUUCCGCCACAGCUGAUAUCGGAGCGAAUACCAUCACAGAGAAGUCAAUAAGUCAUGAUUACCAACCUUUUCUAAAAGUAAAACUUGCUAGAAACCCAGGUUGGAUAGAUCGUCAGGACGAUCAGGAUAGACUUAGGACGUGAAGCCUUAGGAAAUAGAUGGGUAGCUAGGUGGCUAGUUAUUUAGGCCAUAAAGGCUACUACUACUAUUAUGAAGGAUGUUAUAGCAAGCAUCCGAAAAAUUAGUUAGGUCUGAGAAGACGACUAGAAUGAGCAUGCAUGCAUCAUGAUUGUCGCAUAAUUGUCUCUUGUGCACUAACAUGCUUCUCUCACCUAUAUUCCAAUAAUAAGAACUUGUGAAUUGUUGGGGACCUUCGGCGUCCGAAGGUCCUCAAAAACAGAAUUUAACAGUAUUUCUGUAGUACAAUAUGUGAACAGGUACCCUCAGACUAAAAUCGGCAUUGCAGCAGACCGGAAUAAUACGAAGCUUGAUACAGAGCCGAAGGUGUUGAGCAGGAAAGCUUCGGCGUAACGGCAGAGAGUGAAACCGACUUAAAGAUGAAAAGGCUAUUCAGACCUCAAUAGAUUACUAUAGAGUUAUUGUCAGAUGUAAAGGGCAUGAAUGUAAUUUUGUAAGGGCUGUGUCCCGUGUCUAUAAAUAGGUGAACAGUAUCCCCGUACUGUUCACGCUGACUUGGCAUUCGCUUUUUGCGUCACGCUUGUACAAUCAUUUCCUUCCGAUUGAAGGUACACCUGUUGUUCAAUAAUAUUUUUGUUUAUACUCAAUAAUAAUAAAUGAUUGUUCAUGUUUUCCUUUACAUUCUUCAUAUUUCGUCCUUCGUCAUUAUUUGAUUAAUUUAUGAAGGUAUGUCCUUCAUAACCUUCAUCCGCAAGUCAUUAUGUCCUAAGGGAAAUAGUGCUUCGGAGGACGAAGGGCAUUAACGAUUAAUACUUUCUAUGUUGCCUUGUUCUUAAACUCUUAGCACUUGAGAACAAGUCCCCAACAUUGGCGCCCACCUCCGGUGAACUCACUUACAUUUCUUGAGCUUUUCAACAUCUUCGGCAAGCAUCACCUUCGUCAUGCCGCCGAAGAAGGCUUCAGCACCAGGGGCUAGCACGCUGCAGCCGUUGGACCCCAAUCAAGAUGUCCUUUCUCUUAGAGAGGCACGAAGCCAGAAGAGGAAGGCUGCCAGUCCAACACCUCCAGAGGAUGAUCUAGAUCAGGAGAUUCAAAAUCUGGAAAUCCUUCAGCAGCAGGUUCAACGCAAGAAGGAAAAAAUGGCCAGGGUAGCUGAAUUGCAGAGGCAGAUAGACGAAGCCUCUGAAGAAGUUCGUCAUCUUGCUCAGGACGAGCAACAUCGAAGGCCUCAGCAUCAAGACCUUCAUCAGGACGGUUUUCCCAACGAAGAUGAUUGGUAUGAUAAUUUUCAUCAUGGGAAUUUUGUUUUUGAUGAUGCUUCUCCUCUGUCCGCUGAGCUGCAGGCUACACCUUGGCCCCCGUCCUACAAGCCGCCUCAGCUCCCCGUAUUUGAUGGCCACUCAGACCCGAAGCAGUUUUUGAUGAGCUACGAAGCAACAGUGUCUUCGUAUGGUGGCAAUGCUUCAGUCAUGGCCAAAUCUUUCGUUAUGGCUGUCAGAAGUGUUGCUCAAACCUGGUAUUCCUCCCUUCGGCCAGGAACGAUCACUUCAUGGCAGAAACUGAAGGAUUUGUUGUUAACCAGCUUUCAAGGAUUUCAGACGAAGCCGGUCACUGCUCAGGCUUUGUUCCAGUGCACUCAGGACCACGAAGAAUACCUUCAGGCAUAUGUCCGAAGGUUCUUGCGUCUGAGGGCACAGGCACCAACGGUGCCCAAUGAAAUUGUCAUCGAGGCCAUGAUCAAGGGGCUUCGGCCAGGUCCGUCAGCUCAGUACUUCGCCAGGAAGCCUCCUCAAACUUUGGAGAAGCUUCUCCAGAAAAUGGAUGAAUACAUUCGGGCUGACAAUGAUUUUCGCCAAAGAAGGGAGGAGGCUUUCAGGUUUUCUGAAAUGACCAGGGGCUUCGGAGGAAGGUUUUAUCCGAGGCAUGUGAGAUCAAUUCACAAUUCUACACAAAAUGAUGACAGAGGAAGCCAACAGCAAAGGCCACAAUGCUCCUCACAGGCUUCUGGACAACAGCAAAGCUCCUUCCGGCCACCAGCUCCAAGAGGCAGAGGCGCCAGGGGCUUCGGAGGAAGAUUUGGCGAUCAACCGAGAAAAAUCUUUUGCUUAUUCUGCGGUGAGAACAAAGGCCAUACUACCAGGAUGUGCCAUGUUACUAUACAGAAGCAAAAGGAAAUAGCUGGAGCAGCAGCACAACAAGCCCAGCCGAAGCAGGUCAUGCAUACAGCUUCGUAUCAUUCGCCCUACAUCCCAGAAUAUGUAGGCAAUCAUCCUGCAGUCUCUGCUGCUUCGGCAAGUCAGCCUUCAGCUUCCUGGCAACAGCCUCCGCCUCCACCUCCGUUGCAACAAGGCCAGCAGCCAGAAGGGAGCCAAUAUGCUCCACAUCAAAGGGACUUCAGAGAACAGUCCGAAGCUCGCACGGUCAACAGCACCGUGCCAGAGUCAAAGCACAUCUAUUGACAAAUAUCCUACCUUAAUAGCAAUCUUUUUCAUUCAGUUUUAUUUUCUGUAAUAAAGGACAUUGUUUAGGUUUCAUGUAAUUAGUUUCGUUGAUUCCUACAAGAAAAAUAUGUUUUCUUCACAGGUUUGUGAUAAUAAAAAGGACCUUCGGACUAUCGAAAAUCCUUCGAAGCAACAAAAAGUCGUUCUAAGGAACGCAGAGUAAGUCUGACGAAGUCACAAAAAGUCGUUCCGAAGGGAGCGCAGUGUAAGUUUUCUGCUCCAAAGUCGUUCCAAAAGGAAUGCAGAGCAUACAGCGAAAAGUCAACGCUGAUACCGCCUAAGUAAAAGGCGAAGAAGCUCCAAAGACGUUCCUAAGGGAAUGCAGAGCUUAUACCGCCUAAGUAAAAGGCGAAGAAGCUCCAAAGACGUUCCUAAGGGAAUGCAGAGCUUAUACCGCCUAAGUAAAAGGCGAAGAAGCUCCAAAGACGUUCCUAAGGGAAUGCAGAGCUUACAGCAAAGAAUCAGUGCUAAUACAAAAAUGUUGUGUGGGGAUAUGUGUGUAUCUUUCGGAACAAAUGUCAUCUACGUAACAUAACAUCAUCACAUCAUUUUGCAUAGCAUAAGCAUCAUACAUCAUGUUGCAUAUGGCACAAGAAGGGGACACAAUAUUGAUCUUCGGAAGUAUGAUUUGAAAGAGUGAAAAUCGUGGUCACAAGGAGACACAAUCUUCAUCUUCGGAGUAUAGCUUCGGAGAAUUUUUUCACGAAGCUUGGAUAUUCUUCGUCUAAGCACUAUGGACAUUGAUGUGAUACAUAAAAAAUUUUUUCUUCACGAAGCAUGAAAAGAAGGGAAGGUGUUUUUUCGUCGAAGACUCAAAAAUGGUACGUGUUUAAAGUUUCAUGCAUCGUAAAGAAUUGAAUCAUAAAACAAGUAUAUUACAUACAGGAUUACAGAAUAUUACACAAAUCAUAUAUCAAAUGUUUUUUGCAAUAGCACUUAGUCUUCCCUAAGUACUAUCUCUGCAGCUUCGUUCAGCAGUCGAUCGACAACCUGAUCCAUGAUAGCUUCGGCCAUCUUUCUAAUUUCGUCGUCAUCUUUAGGCUGAGGGCCCGAAGAUGCUUUAGUAGGAUCUGAGUGAGGACGGGAUACUAUUACAUCACUAUUACAGAUCGCGAACGAACUAUAAAAUUAAAAGUUAUAACGCGAUGAAAACUAUUCGUUAGUACCUAUUUGCCCUUCGGGCUCUGCGUUUUUCUCAGCAGCCUCGGCUACUUUUCUAGCCUCAUGAAUCCCUUUCUCGCUUUUCUGAAUGAUUUCUUGGGCCAUUUCUCUACCACCGUUGUCCCAGAUGUCGGUGAAAAAUUUUCCCCCAACCGCGCUAGCUUCGGCUGAAGGAUCUUUUAUAUCUUCAGUGGACAAGGUGGCUUCGGACUGCGAUAAAAUCUUUACAUGUUCACAUCCUUUCCCCUCCAAAAUGGUGGCAAUCCCUCUGGCACCAGAAAAAGCGCAGAUGUCCCCGCGACUAUUUAAAAUUUCUUCAAAGGCCUCCGCCUCAUGAUUGAUCCAUUCCAGGGGACCUUCGGGGUUACCUCUUAUAAAGUUUUCUUCUUGCGAAAAUGCGCCAACGCUGGCGAAGCUAGUUUUUAUUUUCUUGACACACUCUAUAGAUUUGUCGAAGCAUUUCUUCUUGGCUGACCGAAGCUCUUUAACAGUUUCUUCUAAAUGAUUUGCCCAUUGGUCGCUGAGUUCUCGCCUUGUUUCUUCAAGUAUGCAUUCCUCUUUAGCUCUGGCUAAUUGUUUACGAAGGUUUUCAAUUUCACGCUUCUGAGCUUCGGCCUGACCUUUGAAAAUAGCUUCGUCUUCUUUUAUUUUAUUUAUUAAGGAAUGCAAUAUUUUGUCUUUUUCGAGACCUUCGUUCCUCAGUUCAAUUACUUCGGAACGAAGGUUGCUCAGGGCUAUAGUACAUCCUUCGUCCUCAGCAUCUUUCUGUGCUCUGAGGGCAUUGCUGAGUAUCAGGCCCUGCAGACAGGAAUAUGUCUGUGUCAAUAGUUUUAAACAAACGAAAAAUUUUGAACUCAACAAAAAUAUAAGAAUUCCAUUUGUCGCACCUUUAAACUGUUGUAAGCUAGGCUGUCAGCCAGAUCGUUCUUUGACAGCACCGAAAGUCCGUCUUCUAAAGUUGGGAAUCCGAAGCUUCUGCUCAUCUCCCGACAGACAGAAAUUUCCUUGCUGUCAGGGAGGCAAUACAAGAAAUCUUCUUCUCCACUGCCAUUAAAUAUCAACGCCCCCUUUGGAUAUUUCAAUUUUUGGGCAUAGUGUUGGGCCUCUUGUUCUUCUUUUUCUGAUAAUUUUUUCCCCGAAGCAUGACGAAAAAUAUAAUCACGAAUUUUGGGGGAUGCUUCGGGGGUAACAACACCAGUUCCUUCAGCAAAAGUUGGCUUUGUUAUUUUUUCUGCCUCACUUUCCAAGGUUUUUGCCUUUGUGGGCUCUGAGGGCCCAGCUUCGGCUUCAAUUUCUUGCUCUGGAGCUGCAGAACCAGAAAUUUCAGCUGUUGUUUCAAAAGUAACGGCAGCCUUCUUCGGAGGUGUGCUCGAAGAUAUGAUCGUUUCCAGUACAUCUAGCACAUUAGCCAUUCUUUUUCUCUUCGGAGUUGCAGCUGGCACUUUUUCAUUUUUUGAUGUCCCAAUAAUUGCUGAAGGACUCAAGAUUUCUGAUGUUUUAGAGUCCUCGGUUGCUUCCUUUACCUCUUCCAUUUUUUCUGUGAAUGGCGCUUCGGCCUUCUCUUUCGUUUCUGGUAGCAAAAUUUUUGAUUGCUCCAAUUUUGUCUUCGUUGGUACUUCGGCUGUUUCUGCGACUUCUGGCAGCAGGGUUGGCUCGGCUGGUUUUUCAGCUUCGGUGGCCGAAGAAGUCUCUCCGGUAAACUCAGGCACCGAAGCUGGUUCAAUAUAACGCGGCCGAUGCGUAAGAACCUUUAUCUUCUUCCUUUUCGGUUCUGGCUCGCUAGGAGCAGCUGCAGUUUCUUCUUUUGCAGAGGUUGUAUUUUUUCUCUUCUGCCUUCGAAUGGGGUAGCGAUAGUCAGGGUAGACAAACCCGAUGGCAUCAAAUACCCGAUUCAGCCUUUUCUUUUUUCGGCCUCCGAAGGCUGCUGACAUUGCAGUAUCUUCGGCCUUCGAGUAGGUCCCAAGCAGCUCAUCACUUAAAUUGUCAAUGCUUUUCAACCACUCAUCAUCUGGCUCAAUAAAUUUAUCUCCAAAUUUAAAAGUGUACUUAAACCUGACAAGUCCACCUUCGUCGGCCUCUUUAAUGGUUUCUUGCGGCAUUUCCCAUUUCUCCGCAAGCGGCCACACCCGGAAGGCAAUAUGUUCUUGUACUAAAUCUCUUGUUCCAAUAAAAGAGCAGAUGACGCCGAAGGCCCUCUGGCAUUCUUCGGCAGCUUCAUUCAUUUCCACCUUCGGCCUCCGAAGGCCGAAACUUUGCCAAAUAGGACGCAUAAUUAUACCUUUGAUAUCUUCUCGUGCUGAUAGGUCAUUCUUCACAUAAAACCAUUCUGUCAUCCAAUCCCCGGGCCAUCUCUUCCGAAAGGUUGGUACGGGACAGCUUGCCCCGGACCGAGAGACGAAACUGUAGCAGCCAAAGUUAUUGUGGUACUGUUCUUUGCCCCAAGGCUUUGUUUCAUAUAACAAUUCAUGUAUAUUACAGAAGCUUCUUGCGUCAGGCUUCAGACCUUGGCUUCUCGUGGCCCACACGAAGAUAUUUAGCCUUAUAAUAGCCUCUGGAGUAAGUUGAUGAAGAUAGACUUCGAAGAUUUUCAACACCUCCACGACGAAGCUGCUCAAGGGGAAUCGCAAUCCGGCUUUCAAAAAGCUUCGGUACACCACAACUUCAUUUUCUUCAGGGUGUGGACAAGUCUUUUCCCCUUCGUCCGCCCUCACAAUGGACAGAUCCCGGAAAUACCUUCCUCUCAUAUUAACAAGAUGAUUCUCUUUGAUAGUUGAUUUACCAUAAACUGAAUGGCUUGGUCGCCAGGGGCGAUCUUCGGAGUCUUCGCCACCGCUGUCCACAUCAUAACUUUCACUGUCACCAGUAUCUUCAGACAGCCCUUCCAGAAUUUCCCUGGUGAUCUUUUCUGUGUUGGUCUUCGACAUUGCUAUAAGAAACCCUAAGUUCUUCUCUUCAUCAAGACUCAGCUUCAUCUCAGCAGCAGCCUUCUUAGCAGCUUCAGACAUCUUCGGAAACACUAAAAAACUGUUUUCAAAGCCGAAGCUUCAAAGCUAAAAGCUCAGCAGAUCACAGUGCACAAGAGCUAAAAAAUGAGUGAGCAGGAGUGGUUGGCCAGAAAGCGUGCAAAAUAAGUUUGCGGUAUGGCCGUAUUUAUACGCUUGAUGCGUUGAAAGUUGAAAGACCCCACUUGUCAUUGAAUGUUGCUAUUCUAGCAAAGGGAAGGUGUUUUUUCGGACCUUCGGCAUAAAGCCUUCGUUCAUAUCGCAAUCUGAAUUUAUUAUUUCAAACAAAUUAAUAUUGCGAGGGGCUACUGUUGGGGACCUUCGGCGUCCGAAGGUCCUCAAAAACAGAAUUUAACAGUAUUUCUGUAGUACAAUAUGUGAACAGGUACCCUCAGACUAAAAUCGGCAUUGCAGCAGACCGGAAUAAUACGAAGCUUGAUACAGAGCCGAAGGUGUUGAGCAGGAAAGCUUCGGCGUAACGGCAGAGAGUGAAACCGACUUAAAGAUGAAAAGGCUAUUCAGACCUCAAUAGAUUACUAUAGAGUUAUUGUCAGAUGUAAAGGGCAUGAAUGUAAUUUUGUAAGGGCUGUGUCCCGUGUCUAUAAAUAGGUGAACAGUAUCCCCGUACUGUUCACGCUGACUUGGCAUUCGCUUUUUGCGUCACGCUUGUACAAUCAUUUCCUUCCGAUUGAAGGUACACCUGUUGUUCAAUAAUAUUUUUGUUUAUACUCAAUAAUAAUAAAUGAUUGUUCAUGUUUUCCUUUACAUUCUUCAUAUUUCGUCCUUCGUCAUUAUUUGAUUAAUUUAUGAAGGUAUGUCCUUCAUAACCUUCGUCCGCAAGUCAUUAUGUCCUAAGGGAAAUAGUGCUUCGGGGGACGAAGGGCAUUAACGAUUAAUACUUUCUAUGUUGCCUUGUUCUUAAACUCUUAGCACUUGAGAACAAGUCCCCAACAUGAAUAAUGUGAUGUACUGCUAUGUUAGAAGUGCCUUGUCCUGUGUUGUUAUGAUAGUCUUGAUUAGGUUGUGUUAUGUGUUCUCUUUGCCAUGCUGCCUAGGAGGUACGGUAACUAUUUAAUACAUUUUGCCUCUAACCAAUAAAAAUUGUUGCAUGUUUUGCCUAUAAAAGACCCCCCACUUUAACCAGCCUAGUGGUUAGCAAGUGAAACCUCUAAAAAAAAUUUCAUUCUUGUGUUGGUGUUUUCUAACCCUUGUGUGUUUUACCCUGAAGUUGCACCUGCACAACUUGUAGACCCCCAUAGCUUAACUGCUAGCCAAACCGAAACUUCCUUGUGCACGUGGUUAUGUCAAAAAAACAUCGUUUGGUGUCUAGUUGCGCAAACCAUGACCAAGCCAUGUUUCUUUCCAUAGAUCCUGCCCCAAAUCUUCAUAACCUUUCUGGUACUCAUCCUAAGCAAUCUCAUGCGACUACCUCUCUUUUCACCUGGAUUUGGUAAUCCUUUUUCUUGUGAAUCAUGUUGGAAUUAUCAUCCGAAUCUCAGGAUUCCCUAUUGAUUCUGCCCCGUUAUCUAGUUAUCUGCUAUAAACCGUUCUCAAGUGUCGGAUGUUGAUCUGCUUAAAUCUCUCAUUUUUGGUCAGUCUCAUGCCCCCUUCUCCGAGGAUCAUGACGCUUGUUUUAUCAACUUAUCUCUAAACGGCAUAUCCAUGUGGAUUAAUGGAUGUUGUUGUUAUCUUUGGAUCUCUCCUGUCUCUAAAAGCUCAUUAGUCAUGAUCUCUUGAGUGCUUCAUUCUCGUAUCCCAUCUCGUACUAAUCUCUGGCCUGGUACUCUCCGUAUUGAUCAUAAAAUAGUUCUCUGAGUCGAAGAAAAUUCUCAAGUGAUGUUCUUUUGCCAAUAAUCUCUGCUUCAACUUUAGUCUCAUUUUCUGAGCCAUAUUCUCAUGGGCUCCAUCUAAUUGUGUCAUGUAGAUUUAUCGUUGGUUGCGUUUGGUAAUGGUAUUAUGACUAAACGACUGAUGGUGCCGCGACGAAACUGAGAGCCUCCUGUGGGCACGCACACAUGGUUGAGCUACUCGGCACGCGCUGGUAUCACGGUUAAUAGUUGUGAUCCAUUACGAGACUAUACUGAUGUGCCAUCAUUUGUGGACACUCUCAGAAUGAUCGCUGCAUUUUGUCUCGAUAUGUCGCGAUAUUCUAACCAAAUCUGUCUCCAGUAUCUUGUCAGAUACCCUCUCAUGAAUUUGCAUCUAUCUUCAGUCUGGGAGUUACAUGCUUCUCCACCCUUAAAUAUCCUCAUUCGAAUCUCGGGACGAGAUUCUUUUUAAGGGGGGAAGGCUGUGACACCCCAGGUGUCUAUUUCGGGUUAUGUCGAAAGAUUUAUCCUAAUCUCGGAUGCUCAGUGAAAAUUUCUAUUUCUCGAUCGUGCCUAUCUCUGUUUAUCAGGCUUUCUCUUGGAAGUUCACCGAAUUCAGAGUUAAUUGAUCGGGAAAACAACCAAUUUUGGAGCGUGUUAAAACUUUUAUUUCUCGGAACUAAUGCAGACUCGAAGAUCAUUCUCGAAUCAUAAAUCUCAUCUGAAGCUCUUUAAAUCAAACUCUCGACGACUAUUAUUUGAUCUGAGCCCGAGUCUAAUUUUUUCGAACCAUUGAUCUAUGUUCGACUAUUUUAUUCGGAUCCAUACUCUCAAACAGAAUACUCAAUAUGUCGUCCUCUAAUCAUUUUUAUCCGAUUCGGCCAAUUAUCUUAUGUCCGAACCAAAUUCACAACCCGCAUCGACAGUGCUUUUAAAAAUGUCACGAUUCGCCUUCUUCGACUAAAAAUCCAAAGCCAAUCAAAAGUUUGAGAAAAAUAUUUGUUUCUAAAAUAGUGCGUGAGAAAAUUUCAAAGCAGAAUCUCCAAUGUGUUGCCCUCAAAUAAAUUCUUAUCCGACUCGGCUUAAUACCUCUGUGUUCGAUCCGAAUUCAAAAAUAAACAUCGGCGAAGAUUUUUAAAUGUCGCAAUUUGUCUCUUUCAAUCAUAGAUCCAAAAGCUAGUCAGUCUCAAGUCAUUUUGAUUUCCUAAUCGUACGCGGACGAAUUUUCCGAGCGACACUGAAAAAUUAAAUUCUUGGCCUAACUAUUUUUUUUGUUCUCUUUCCUCAUACUCUCGUUUGUCAGACGCCGGUUCUCUCUGUUCUCCACAUCGGCAAAUCCCGCGGGAGAUUUUUCUCCCUUUAAAUAGUUUACUUAGCCUAGAAGGAACCCCUUGCUUCUCCUCUAAGCAACAUAUUUUGCUUCUCAUCUAAGCAACCUUUGCUUCAUUCCUAAGCAACCUUUGCUUCUCUUGUAAGCAACCACUUGCUUCACUCCUAAGCAAGCAAACCAGCUCCUUUCCUCUUCUAUAAAUCCCACGCCACCUCCCCAACCAGCCACUUCCUCUCCCUCUCCCCACGCCACUCUCCCUACUCCCUUCCUCCCUCUCUCUCUAUCUCUCUCUCUCUAGCUCCCCAUGCAGCUGGCGACCAAGCCCUCCCAUGCUCCUCCCUCACCUUGGAAGCUCUCCCAUGGCGUCUCCCCCUCCUCUACGGCAGCAAGGUGUAGGUGAGCUCCGGGUCAAGAACUUGUGUGCUGAAAUUUCAGAAUCUUGCACUUUCUUCUAAAAUCUAUAACUUGAGUUUGAAAGCUCCUAAAAUAGUAAGACUUGUUUUGUUAGCUUUCAUAUGGAAUGUCCUACCUAUUAGAUCUAUAAUAUGACCUGUUUUAGUAGACGUUUUUGUCUGUGCAAAUUAAAUCUUAAAGAGAGGUUUAGAGAAUAAACGAACUUGCUUCUCUCCAUAGUUUUCAUUAUAAAAAUCCAAAAAUGAUCAAACUUGUUUUGUUAGUUAGAUGUUGUCAUACUCCAUCUAAGAAAAAUAUAAAACUUAUAUGUUGUUCACUGUUUUCUUGGUGUGUUAAUUAAAACAAGUUAAAUAGAGAAAAGAAGAUGUAUUUGCUUGUUAUUUUUGGAUCUGUAGCUCUAGUGCUCCAAAUGGGUUGAGAUUUUUACAGUAGACUCUUGGUGUGAUGUUUGGUGACGGGUAAAAAUUUCAUGAAUUGUUGUGCAUGUAUGAUUAGGUUAGUGAUUUAACUUGUUUAAUGCACCUUAAGUAGUUUUAAAUGAUUUAAAAAUAAUGUAUAGAUGCAAAAAUGAAAAAUGGCGUUCCGCUGUUCUUGCAUGAUACUAUAGUAGCCUGAGAAAACUUAAUAUGGUUAUGCAUCCACAGAAAAUAAUUAGUUUUAGAUUUAACUUGCUCUCACAAGCUUUAUUGCAUUAACAAUUUGUUAUUUUUGUAUUAAAUAAAAUAGAAAACCUGCGCAUGUGAAAUUUAUACAUUGGUCAUGAUUUGUUAUUACCUAUGUCUCAAAAAAAAAUCCCAGCCCCAAAUUAGAUAGUUUCAUAUGGUGCUAAAAUGACACACGUUUUAUAAUAAUAGGAAGAAUUAGAGACAAAUUAGAAGUAAGCAAACCAUGCAUGUUGGAAUGGUUUAUGUCAUGCAAUAAGAAUUGAAAUGUGAAGAAUGGAUAGGGUAUUUAAGAAAUGUUAGCCAAUAGGUUCGGUCAAGCAUGGUAGAGGUUGAAUCAAUUAUGUUGUAGAAUUGAUGCUCAACAUAAUAGACCCCCUAAAAUGUGCUAUUUUAGGUGACUUGUGUGCUAACCAAUUUAAGUUGAGCAAUGGUUAAGAAAAGAUGAUUAAUCUGCUCCAACCCAUGUUUUUGAGUUACAAUGUCUAAAAUGGUUUGCUAAGUUUAUAUUGUGUUAGCCAAAUCAUGUUAAGUAGGAGUCGAUUGCGUUAAGUGAUUGUUAUAUACAUAUUGUGUCUCGGAUUGUGAUGAUAAUGGGUUAGUCAACUUGUUAGAUGACUUGAUUAAGCUCAUAAUCACGGUAAAUUGCUUGUUGUGGUCUAAAUGUGUAUGGUUACAGUCGCGGGUAAAAAAUAGUAGUGCUCAUGUGAUGUCUAAUUUAAAACGCAAAUUGUUGGGUGAUUAUCGUGGAGAAUGUGUUGUUAGUUGGUUGUAGUAAUUUUAGUGCACUAAAUGACUUGAAUAAAAUUUGCAAGUCGACUUGUUGGUUCUAAUUGAUUGUCGUAACUCGAAUAAAUAGUAAAGCGUUAGAGUAAUUCAAGUCUCUCGAACGCCGCGAUUCUUGAAUUAUAUAGGAGCUAAAAUUUAUUGAUUGCUGUUUUGGACUGCACGCACUGUUGUAGUUGUGUUGUAUGCUUGAUGAACUAAAUUGUGUUUUCUGUAGAUAUGUGCUAUAGAAAAGUGGUAGAUAACUUUAUUAUCUUGCUGGUGUUAAAAUUUGACAGCCAUAGGUCUGACAGUUUAGGAGUUAUGUUGUUCACAAAUUCAGUAACUGAAUCUGUCCAAAUUCUAUACAGAUUUUAGAAACUGCAUUGUUUGCUCAAUUUAAUGUUGCAAUCUGUUCAUGGUCGUUAUAAGAAAGUUGUAGUUGCUUUUCUGAUCUUGCUUGUGUUAAAAUUUCACAACCACAUGCCUGAUAGUUUAAGAGUUAUGAAUUUUACAAACUGCUUGCUGUGUUCUGUCCACCGUCAGGACAGAUUUCGAAAACUGUGUUGUUUGAUUUAGUUAAACAUUGAAUCACUUCUUGGUGAUUAUAAAAGUUAUGUGGUGCAAUUGCCAAGCUUUCCAAAAAGUCUUGGAUCACUAUUUUUGGUGGUCUGAAGAUUAAGUUAUGGAUGUUUAAAGUCUGAAGACUGAAUCUGUCCAGUUCUGGACAGCACAGCCUUCAUAGUGUAUUUCACCCUAGAUACAUGUUAAACCAGCCAGUGAUGUUUAUAAAUAAUUUGUAGAACAUUUAAUUAGCUUUCCAGAAAGUCUAAAAUCACUUUGUUUGGAUGUCUGAAUCUUCAGUUGUGAAUUUUUGAAGUUGCAAGCCUGAAUCUGUCCAAAUCUGGACAGAGCUGUUGUGUUUGCACAAUUCGACCUUGCUAAGUGUUUAAUCAGGUUGUGAUGACAAUACCAAAGUUGUAGAGCACUUUUUAAGCUUUCCAGAAAGUCCUAGCUUGAUAUUUUUGGACUAACAAUUGAAGAGUUAUGAUUAAAACAAGCAACUGCUGUAUUGCUGUCCAAAAAUUCUGCUAGUGCUCAUUUGAUUGUUAGUUCACCCGUUUGGCUAAAAAUGUUUGGUUAGCACUUAAAUAAAUGUAGACUUGCCAUGACUAAGCUUAAUAUUGCCUAAGUGUCCUGUUUUAUAUGUUUCUUCUCUACUUGAUUGUGAUAUAGGAGUUCAUAGACAUGAAUGCCUAGGUCCUAUUUAAACUUACGUUGUGUUGGUUGCUCUUGUACGGUCAAUAGAAGAACAAAUGAACGAUUAAGGUGAGCGUAGUAAAUGUGUGUACUUGUGAUGUCGUGGUCAUGUUGCGUAAAUAAAUAAAAUGUUGUCAUCUUUUUAAUGGUGUUAAUGUUGAACGCCGACGACGUGUAGAUAACUAAAGCUAACAUGUAGUUAUCUAUGGUGUCUUCCACUUUAAUGUUUAGUUCGCCACUGUGUCUUUGUAUAUCUUGUGCUAUUUUUGUGCUACUUUCAUUAUAUUCAUACAUAUGCAUCUUGCACCUCAUAUAGGACCGAGAGAUGAUGAUCGAGCUAGUGAUGUGGUGCCAACCACAAGAUGCAGUCGGUGGACGACCCAAGGAAGGAUGGACUUAACCAGUGGAUGCUCGCCAAGCGAGUACCUCCCCAGCAAACACUCUCUAAGUGUUAAAUUAAAGGCAAGCCCCGGUUUUAUGCAUAACCGUUAUAUAUGCUAUUUUACUGCACUUAAUGUUUGUAGGCUUGUACUGUGCACUUAAGUGUAGGAGUUGACUGGAACCUUAGUUGCAUGAACUCAGGAUUCCUAUUGAGAUGAAUACUAGUAUGCUAGGUCGAGUAGCUGCUUUAUUAAAUAGGGAUCUCGAUAGAAGUCGAGUGAUUUUUCUAGCACUCGCGCGAGGUCAGGACAUUGAUUGUACCCACUUUCAUAUCAUACUGAUGUUGGUCUGUGGACACGGAUCCAUGGGGAUGCGUGGUCUACGAGAUGAAAUUGGAAUAAGGAUUAACGUGCGGAUACCUGUGUCAAGCGUUUGAAUGUACUAAACAUAUGCCGAGAAAUAUGGUAAAUCGGCAAGCCUAGUACCUGAGUGAACCUGGCAGUGGACAUAUCCCCUCACGCGUCCUGAGACGAGGUCUCCCAUUCCGGUUAUGGUGGGUACAAGUGCGGUCACUGCACGAUGGCCAGUCGGGGUCAGUGAGGCAUUGUACGCCAAGGCGGUGAGCCCUGAUCUGCUGACGGGGAAUCGAUGGGGACGGUUGAUGUGUGUGGGGACGGAGUGCCCCUACAUGUCGUGUGUUUAGGUUUACCUUGCAAGGAUAAAAACUCGAUUCGAAUCGUCUGCUUCUCGCAGCUAAUGAGACUGCUUGAUCCAUUGUACUGCAUUGAGUAAUAAGUGGAAAUGAGGUGACUGAGAAAAGAUGUUGAUUGGUAAAAAUGUUUGAUACCAUGUAUGAUUAGCUAGGUACACAUCUAGUCUAAAGGAUUCUACUAAAACUUGAAAAGCUAAAACUUGUUUUUAGACUUAGCUAGUGCUUUUGGCAAACCAACCCCCUCAGCCAAACAGCUGCAUGUCUAGAGGUAGAGGAGUAGACUCCUCACACCGGGUAAGUCUAGCUGAGUAUUAGUAUACUCAGCCUUGCUUGUGGCACAAUUUUUGCAGGUACUCCUUAGGAUGAUUGGUUGAUGGUGCGACUUGGCCUUCAUCCCUGCCACCGGGAUAGAUGGUCGAGUGGGUUACUGCUUCCGCAGGAGAGGACCAGGAGGAGUAGUGUGGCCAGGCUUCGCCAUGUUACUCGGUUCUUCUCCGUUAGUUAUUUCCGCUGCAUCAAAAUUUAUGGUUAUUAUUUCUGAAACUCCGAUAAUGCAAUCACUAUUGAUACUUAUUAAAUUUGUGGUAUUAUGCUUUAUUGUCUUUCUCUGUGCCUCAUCUUCGAGUGAGCUAGUGGUAUUCGAUCCUGGAUAAGUGGCUUUAUCGGACUAGAUCCGAGGGACUGACGGGUUAUUCCUGUUUAAGUGUGUUGCUGCCCUUAAGGGUGCGACUUGGGCACUUAAGCUGGAAUAAUUCGGGCGGUUCCGCCACACGCGGCCCCCGCCCCUCCCCUGCCCGCGCGGCGGCGCCCCCACCCCUCCCUUGCCCGCGGCGGCGCGGCCCCGCCUCCCCUACUCACGCGCAGCGCGGCCCCCGAUGCGGCCCGGCACAGCUCCCGGCGCGGCGGCCUUGCCCCUGGCGCGGCGUCCUCAGCCCCUGCGCGCGGCCUCGGCCCCCUGCGCGCGGCAUUUGGCCCUGGCGCGGCCUCGGCCCCCUGCGCGCGGCGUCUCGGCCCUCGGCGUGGCUCGCGUGGCCUUGGCGUGGCCUCGCGCUCCCCCGUUUACCCCUAACGCGUUCCCGCGUGCGCAACCCCACGCGCGCGGUGAUUAUUCUUGGUUUUUAGUUAGUUUAAAACUCCGUUAGUUAGCGUGCUGUGUCGCGCGCUUCGUCGCGCGACGAAUUUAUCUAAUUUCAGAUUCUAUGAAUGUGUUGCGUCGUGCGCUUCGUCGCGCAACGAUCCAUUUUAAUUUCAGGUUGUUUAAUGUGUAACGUCGCGCGUGUAUUCAUGCGACGUUCCACUUUAGACUCAGUUCAGUUGACGUAUGCCGUCGUGCGUUUCGUCGCGUGAAGCUUAACGUCUCUUUAUAAUUUAUGCAAAGUGUCUCGUUGUGCGCUCGGUCGCGCGACGAGUCGUUGAUUUCCUUAAUUCAAUUUAAAGUGCUAUGUCGCGCGUCUCGCCACGCGACGAUCCUUUUAAUUUAUCUUCAUCUGCUUAUAAUCAUUAGACAUGAAACAUGACUUUACUUUAUGCUAAACGUAGUGUCUACAUUAAUGCCUUUCAAUUGAGCGAGUGGUUUAAUUCAUAAUAAUGUAACGUGAUCGUUUCUCGACUGUCUUUUCCUCUUUCUCUCUUAACCGUAAUUGCGAGCCCGCGUGGAACGUCUGUUUACUUACUGCAUUCUAUUGUAUGGUGUACUGUUCUUUUGUAUUAAAUAUGUGGAUGUAUGUAUAUUUGCGCUCGCAUAGAGAACGAUCCGGUCGGAGAGCCCAAAGAACUCGCAGGAGAAGCCUCUGAGCAGUAGUCGGUUGGUGGAGGCAAGUGUCCCUUGACCUAUCUCUGUCCUAUACAUUCUUUAAUUCACCUCUCGCAUUACACAUUUAUACCUAAGGAUUGACUAGCUUUUGUUGUCCAUGUCCUUGUUUACCUAUUUGGGUCGGAUUAUUAUUGCUUAGUCUUAUGCUAUUGCUCAACUCUAAUCAAGGAACAUGAUGAGAAUUAUCAAUGAUACGUUGUUUUCCCCUCUUUUAUUAUGAUGUUAUACUUGUGACCUUCAAGGGGGCUUGAGCGGUUUCUCGAGUGCCUCUCCGUAAGGACCUGUUCGUUGGAUGACCGCCCGGGAAAACAGUGCAACCAUGAGGGUGGAGUGGGACGCCCUUAGCUGAAUAAUUAGAGGAACCGGGGUGUAGUUCGCUUAGCCGUUGUGCCGUCAAUGGGGCUCGGUGUAUGCGGCUCGCUCUGCCAAGGUUGAUUUGUCCCUUGGGGAGGAGUGCGGUACAUUUAGGAAACCUAACGGGCGGCUACAGCCCCGGAGAAUCUUUGUAAAGGCUACGUAGUGAUAUCCUGCUGGGUCACCUUGGUAGUGAUCAAUGGAGAGUCAUGAUCUCUGGGCAGAAAGGGAAAUCACAGCUUGUGGGUAAAGUGCACAACCUCUGUAGAGUGUUUGAAAACUGAUAUAUCAGCUGUGCUCGCGGUUAUGAGCAGCCAAGGGAGCUCCAGUGAUUAGUGGUACUUGAUCAGAGAUGUUCGCAUUGCAGGUGGCAAUGAGAUUGUUGGUUUUGGUAUUGACUCUGAUAAUGGUGAGUGGUACUCUUUCCGUUUGGAAAGGAGUACGUUUGGGUUAAUAACGUGGGCUGAAUCUAAAACUUGGCUUCCUCUACUAGCAAUAAUAAUAAUCUGACCAACUAAAAGCAACUGCUUGACUUAACCCCACAUAAAGCUAGUCCACUACAGCCAAACAUGAUACUUGCUGAGUAUGUUGAUGUGUACUCGCCCUUGCUCUACACACAAACCCCCCUAGGUUGUCCGCAUUGCAACCACUGCUCAGGAGAAGAUGAAGCCGUGAAAGGAGACUUCCAGGAGUUCCAAGAAUACGACGAGUUCUAGGCGUGGGUUAGCGGCAACCCCCAGUCGGCUGCCUGUGAAGGCCGCUUUUAUCUACGUUUCGUUUUCGCACUUUGAUUUAUUGUAAAGACUAUGUGGAUGUCUCAGACAUAUGAUGUAACCGACUAUUAUUUCCCUUUUAAUACUAUUUGAGCACUGUGUGAUGAUGUCCAUGUUAUGUAACUGCUGUGUACGUGAAUUGCUGAUCCUGGCACGUACAUGGUUCGCAUUCGGUUUGCCUUCUAAAACCGGGUGUGACAUAGGUGGUAUCAAAGUCGUGCUGACUGUAGGACCGCUAACCUAGAGUAAAAUGGUCGUUCUAAGGAUUAUAGACCUCUGUCCUUGCCUUGACUUUGGUAUCCCUUCAAAAGUUGGUCAUAUCGACCAAACCUAUGUUCUACUAUAUAUCAUACCUUGCUGAAAAUUGUGUUUUAUUCUAAUCCUUCGUUUAUUUAUGGUUCAUUACUUGCUGGUCAUACUAGUUCUGUUCUCACUCCUUUGCUUGCGGUGUCUUUUGUAGAUGGCUCGUCUUAGACACACCGCACGGAAGUCUGUCAUCCCCUUCUUACCCUCUCAUCUCACGGAGCGUCCGCUUCGCCGUCCCGUGGCCGGUCAGUCCAGUCACUUGGAGAGGCUGCACCACCGCCUGCAUGAGGAGCAGGAGCGUCGACGACAGGAGCAGGAGCAGCAGGGCUCUUCUUUCUCGCUCCAGCAGGAGAUAGAGUCUGUGAGGAGCUGCUCCCCUGUGCUUCCCCUGGAGGCGCCCCCUGCACCACCACUGGACGCGCCAGCCCCUGGAGUAGCUGCUGGAGGAGACCCAGACGACGGAGGUGGCGACAACAGCUCAAGCCACGACACCGACUUUUCUGCUGACCAGGAGCCGGAAGGAUGGGUUGCUCGACCCAUCACUCGCGACGCUGCUCGCGGGUGUCACUUCCACGAUGCGCUCGACACCCUGCUACGUCGGGCACUUGACCGGCAUACUUGGUCUAUCGAGUAUCGCUGUGUGGUCUUCCAGCAUAGUCGCGGGGUCUACCCGGACCGCUGGGAGGCGACCUGCUUGGUGCGUCGUCCGGAGAACAGUCUCUAGGGUGCUGAGGUCUGCUCAGAGCACUAUUCCAUCUCUAAGCGGGACUCAGCUGAGGCAGCCAUGCAAGAUGCCGCACGGCGUGCGCUUUCGCACUACUGUUUAGUGCUCGGUGGGGUAGCUGAUGGUCUCAACAUGAAGUACUACCCCCGCCGUCCAUCUGGCAGCACAGGAGGCGUGAUUGUCUCACCUGUCGGUGAGGACAAUCCUAGGUUGAGCAGCACAGUCAACCUAGCCGCCAUGCUAAACACGGAGCUGGACCAUGCAUUAGACGAGCUGAGUAGGGCUCGUGCUGAGAUCGCCCAGCUGCGGGCUGAGCGCGCGGAGCGUCGUCACCUGGAUGAUGGUUCCCCCGCUCCCAUAAGGACUCAGCACCCGUACCGCUCACCUCGGCGUGGACACCAGUCUUAUGGCAACACCGACUGCAAGACCAAGAUAAAUUUAGAACCAUAGAUCGUUAGAGCCGGAUCUUGUAAUUAAUACAAAAUAUAUACAUAGAAGCUACAAUCUUAGCAUUAGUCUCGCUUUUAGUUAGUCUUAGUUAGACAGGGUAGUUUGCUAUAUCCUGUGCAUUUAUGUUUGUCAUGAUGAAUUAUGUUUGAUUUGGAUCAUUGUAAUGACUGUCACCAGGAUGUGGGUAUCCCCUGCAUUUUGGUUUACCUGUUAUAUGUUAAUGGAGUUAGCUAUUUAGUUGGGAAGCCUUUUAUUCCACUUUCCUCUUUAUCUGAGAAGCUGUGUUGGUCUGUGUUGGAGAUCAGUGAAGAUGCUCAUCUGUUCAGUGUUGUUGAAGAAUUCUAUGCUCUUUUCUUAUGCUGCAAGAUUUGCAAGGUCAGUUCUGAUGUGUGGUUGCGUUCUGCAGAUGUCAGAAAACAGGCGCAGAGGAGGAAGGCAUGCUCAGCAGGAUGAGGCACCCCAGCAGCAGCAGCUGCCGCCCCCACCCCCGAUGUCGAUCGAGCAGAUGUUCCUGAUGCAGACUCAGGCAGUUCAAGCCAUCGGUCAGACUCUGGCCACCAUUCAGCAGCAGCAGCAGCCACCACCUCAGCCUCAGAUGCCUCAGAUGCCUAGAGACAAGCGUGCUGAAUUCAUGAGAGGUCAUCCCCCAACGUUUGCUCAUUCUUCUGACCCCAUGGAUGCUGAAGACUGGCUGCGCACAGUGGAGCGGGAGUUGCAUACCGCUCAGUGCAAUGACAGGGAGAAAGUCCUGUAUGGUCCCCGUCUAUUGAGAGGAGCAGCUCAGUCAUGGUGGGAGUCUUAUCUCGCCACCCAUGCCAACCCCGACACCAUCACCUGGGAAGAGUUCAGAGGUAGCUUUCGUCAGUACCAUGUUCCUGCAGGUCUGAUGACAGUGAAGAAGGAGGAGUUCCUGGCCCUCAAGCAAGGGUCAUCGUCUGUCAGUGAGUACCGGGACAGGUUUCUGCAGUUGUCUCGCUAUGCUCCUGAAGAUGUCAACACCUACGCCAAGCGACAGUAUCGUUUCCUGAGAGGCUUGGUUGACCCUCUGCAAUAUCAACUGAUGAAUCAUACCUUCCCGACAUUUCAGCACCUGAUUGACAGAGCAAUUAUGACAGAGAGGAAGCGUAAGGAGAUGGAGGAUCGAAAGCACAAGAUCAGUGGACCCUAGCCUGGAAGCAGCAAUCGUCCUCGUUUCUCAAGCAAUCAACCUCAGCAGUUCAGGCAGAACCAGUGUCCACCUCAGUAGCAGCAGUAGUUCCAAAGGCAGUAUCCUUAGCACCAGUAUCAGAAUCAUCAGAACAAUUAGUCAGGAGGAGGUCAGUUCCAGAGGCAGAAUCAGCAGGCACCUCACCUUCCUGCCCCAGCAAGCCAGUAGAACAGUCAGGCAGCACCAGCUCAUGUUGGAAACAGAGCAUGUUUCCACUGUGGAGAGCAGGGCCAUUGGGUGAUGCAAUGUCCGAAGAAGGCAGCCCAGCAGCAAUCAGGCCCCAAUGCCCCAGCAAAGCAGAAUGUGUCUCAGCCUGGAGCAGGCAACCGCUCUCAGCCACGUUAUAAUCAUGGGAGACUGAACCACUUGGAGGCUGAAGCAGUUCAGGAGACCCCCGACAUGAUAGUAGGUAUGUUCCUAGUUGACUCCCAUAUUGCAGAAGUGUUAUUUGAUACUGGAGCAACGCAUUCUUUCAUUACUGCAUCAUGGGUAGAAGCACAUAAUCUUCCAAUUACUACCAUGUCAACCCCCAUUCAAAUUGACUCAGCCGGUGGUAGAAUUCGAGCCGAUAGCAUUUGUUUGAAUGUAAGUGUGGAAAUAAGGGGGAUAGUGUUUCCCGCUAACCUUAUAGUAAUGGGUACUCAGGGAAUAGAUGUCAUCCUAGGGAUGAAUUGGCUAGAUAAGUAUUAGGCAGUUAUCAGUUGUGAUAAGAGGACAAUCAAGUUGGUGUCCCCACUAGGAGAGGAAGUGGUGACAGAGUUAGUCCCGCCUGAACCGAAGAAAGGAAGUUGUUAUCAGAUGGCUGUCGAUAGCAGUGAAGCAGACCCAAUUGAGAGUAUCAAGGUUGUGUCUGAGUUUCCAGAUGUGUUUCCAAAGGACUUGCCAGGUAUGCCACCAGAGCGGAAAGUUGAAUUUGCCAUAGAGCUUCUUCCUGGAACCGCCCCCAUCUUUAAGAGAGCUUACAGAGUAUCAGGACCAGAGUUAGUUGAACUUAAGAAGCAGAUCGAUGAGUUGUCAGAGAAAGGUUACAUCCGGCCAAGCACCUCGCCUUGGGCCGCCCCUGUCCUAUUUGUGGAAAAGAAAGAUGGCACCAGAAGGAUGUGUAUCGAUUAUCGAGCUCUAAAUGAGGUCACAAUCAAGAACAAGUACCCUUUGCCCAGAAUAGAAGAUCUAUUCGACCAGUUGAGAGGAGCCAGUGUGUUCUCCAAGAUAGAUCUGAGGUCGGGUUAUCAUCAGCUCAGGAUUCGACCUUCAGACAUUCCGAAGACGACAUUCAUUACCAAGUAUGGGUUGUAUGAGUUCACUGUGAUGUCUUUCGGUCUAACCAAUGCACCGGCCUUCUUUAUGAACUUGAUGAACAGUGUAUUCAUGGAUUAUCUUGAUAAGUUUGUGGUGGUAUUCAUUGAUGACAUUCUGAUUUACUCUCAAAGCGAAGAAGAGCAUGCAAGUCAUUUGAGGAUGGUAUUGCAGAGAUUGCGAGAGCACCAGCUGUAUGCAAAGUUGAGGAAGUGCGAGUUCUGGAUCAUUGAAGUCCUGUUCUUGGGUCACAUAAUCAACAAAGAAGGAUUGGCUGUGGAUCCGAAGAAAGUGGCAGACAUUCUAAACUAGAAAGCGCCAACAGAUGCUCGAGGGAUCAAGAGCUUCAUUGGAAUGGCCUGAUAUUAUCGGCGAUUCAUUGAAGGGUUUUCGAAGAUUGCGAAACCAAUGACAGUGUUGCUAGGCAACAAGGUCGAGUUCAAGUGGACCCAGAAAUGUCAAGAGGCCUUCGAAGCGCUGAAAGAGAAGUUGACUACGACACCUGUCUUAGUCUUGCCUGAUGUGCACAAGCCCUUCUUGGUGUAUUGCGAUGCUUGUUACACUGGUUUGGGAUGUGUGUUGAUGCAAGAGGGAAGAGUUGUGGCUUACUCGUCCCGACAGCUGAAGGUUCAUGAGCAGAAUUACCCAAUCCAUGACCUAGAGUUGGCAGCAGUGGUUCACGCACUGAAGACAUGGAGGCACUAUCUGUAUGGACAGAAAUGUGAUGUUUACACAGACCACAAGAGUCUGAAGUACAUAUUCACUCAGUCAGAGCUGAAUAUGAGGCAAAGAAGAUGGUUAGAGUUGAUCAAAGACUAUGAGUUGGAGAUUCACUACCAUCUAGGCAAAGCGAAUGUAGUGGCAGAUGCUCUGAGCAGGAAGAGUCAAGUCAAUCUGAUGGUCGCUCGUCCGAUGCCCUAUGAGUUGGCCAAGGAGUUUGACAGGUUGAGUGUCGGAUUUCUGAAUAAUUCGCGAGGAGUCACAAUUGAGUUGGAACCUACCUUGGAGCGGGAAAUCAAAGAAGCGCAGAAGAAUGAUGAGAAGAUCAGUGAGAUUCGGCGACUGAUUCUGGACGGCAGAGGCAAAGAUUUUCGGGAAGGUGCAGAAGGGGUGAUAUGGUUCAAAGACCGCUUGUGUGUUCCCAAUGUCCAGUCUAUUCGGGAGUUGAUUCUCAAGGAAGCUCAUGAGACAGCCUAUUCGAUUCACCCUGGCAGUGAGAAGAUGUAUCAGGAUCUGAAGAAGAAAUUCUGGUGGUACGGAAUGAAAAGGGAAAUCGCAGAGCAUGUGGCCAUGUGUGAUAGUUGUCGACGGAUCAAGGCAGAGCACCAGAGACCAGCUGGAUUGUUGCAACCGCUGCAAAUUCCUCAGUGGAAAUGGGAUGAAAUCGGUAUGGACUUCAUAGUCGGAUUGCCUCGCACUCGAGCUGGCUACGAUUCCAUUUGGGUAGUGGUGGACCGCUUGACCAAGUCAGCCCACUUCAUACCCGUCAAGACCAACUACAGCAGUGCAGUAUUGGCAGAAUUGUACAUGUCUCGGAUCGUUUGUCUUCACGGUGUGCCAAAGAAGAUAGUGUCAGACAGAGGAACGCAGUUCACCUCUCAUUUCUGGCAGCAGUUGCAUGAAGCCUUGGGCACACAUCUGAAUUUCAGUUCAGCUUAUCAUCCGCAGACAGAUGGUCAGACUAAAAGAACCAAUCAAAUCCUUGAAGACAUGUUGAGAGCCUGUGCGUUGCAAGACCAGUCCGGAUGGGACAAGAAGUUGCCUUAUGCAGAGUUCUCCUAUAACAAUAGUUAUCAGACCAGCUUGAAGAUGUCACCAUUUCAGGCGCUCUAUGGGAGGAGUUGUAGAACUCCGUUGCAAUGGGAUCAGCCUAGAGAAAAGCAAGUGUUCGGGCCAGACGUUUUGCUUGAAGCUGAAGAGAACAUCAAGAUGGUUCGAAAGAAUUUGAAGAUAGCGCAAUCAAGGCAGCGAAGUUAUGCAGAUACAAGAAGAAGAGAGCUGAGUUUCGAAGUUGGAGACUUUGUCUAUCUGAAAGUGUCACCGAUCAGAGGAGUCAGAAGAUUCGGAGUCAAAGGCAAGCUAGCACCCCGCUACAUCGGUCCGUAUCAAAUCCUCGCAAGGCGUGGAGAAGUGGCCUAUCAGCUCAGUUUGCCAGAAGGCUUGUCCGCAGUGCAUGACGUCUUUCAUGUGUCUCAGUUGAAGAAAUGUUUGUGUGUGCCAGAAGAGCAGUUGCCAGUGGAAGGUCUGGAGGUCCAGGAGGACUUGACCUACACAGAGAAACCAGCGCAGAUCCUUGAAACCGUAGACAGAGUCACCCGAAGGAAGACCAUCAGAAUGUGCAAAGUCAGAUGGAGUCAUCACUCUAAGGAAGAAGCAACCUGGGAGCGUGAAGAUGAUCUGAUGGCUAAAUACCCUGAGCUCUUUGCUAGCAAACCCUGAAUCUCGAGGGCGAGAUUCUUUUAAGGGGGAUAGGUUUGUAACGCCCUGAAUUUGGGGGUAGAAUUUUUUCUUCUUUUCUCUCACCAAAUUCGGGCGUUACUCUCUUUUCUCUUCCUGUUUUGCUCCUUCUUCCUAAUUUCAAACCAGUAUAGUGACAGGUGUCUGUGUCGUGUAUGAACAAAACCUAAGUGUCAUGGGUGUUGCAUCAUGCCGAAGCACAUUUCCUUGUCUGAUGUUGCGUGUUCGUCUCGUUCUGUCUCGGUUUUUGGUUCGCGAUUGGAGCCCGUUUGAGGGUCGUGCGUGUCGUAGGUUUCGAUCCACGAAGUGGCUCGGCCCAACCCAACCCAACCCAACCCAACCCAACCCAACUCAGCCCAGCCCGAUCCGGCCCGGCCCGGCCCUGCGCGCCCCUGGCGUCCCACACCCCCCAUGCGCCCCCUCCUCUCCUCCCUCUCUCAUUUGGAUUUCCCGCGCAGCAACCUCCCUCUCCCUCUUCCACCUCUCUCUCCCUGUGGUGCCCUAGGUUUUGGAGACGGUGAUCGCCGGAGUUGGAUCCCGAGGUGAGCUCCCCUCCCCUCCCUUCUCCUCUCUCUCUCUCCCUCUCCCUCCUCUUCUCCCCCUGCGCGCGCGCCCCUGCCCUCCCUGCUUGCCGGCGGUGCGGCCCCGCCCCCUGCUCACGCGGCACGCGCGGCCCCCGCCCCCUCCCAUGCCCGCGCGGUGCGCCCCCGCCCUCCCCUGCUCGCGCGUGGCGCAGCCCCCGCCCCCUGCUCGCGCGACGGCGCCCCCACCCCUCCCCUGCCCGCGCGGCGCGCCCCCGCCCUCCCCUGCUCGCGCGCAACGCGGCCCCCGCCCCUGCUCGCGCGGCGGCGCCCCCGCCCCUCCCCUGCCCGCGGCGACGCGGCCCCUGGCGCGGCGCGACCCGGCGCAGCCCCCGGCGCGGCGUCCUCGGCCCCUGCGCGCGGCCUCGGCCCCCUGCGCGCGGCAUUCGGCCCCGGCGCGGCCUCGGCCCCCUGCGCGCGGCGUCCCGGCUCUCGGCGUGGCUCGCGUGGCCUUGGCGUGGCCUCGCGCUCCCCCGUUUACUCCUAACGCGUUCCCGCGUGCGCAACCCCACGCGCGCGGUGAUUAUUCUUGGUUUUUAGUUAGUUUCAAACUCCAUUAGUUAGCGUGCUGUGUCGCGCGCUUCAUCGCGCGACGAAUUUAUCUAAUUUCAUAUUCUAUGAAUGUGUUGCGUCGUGCGCUUCGUCGCGUGACGAUCCAUUUUAAUUUCAGGUUGUUUAAUGUGUAACGUCGCGCGUGUAUUCAUGCGACGUUCCACUUUAGACUCAGUUCAGUUGACGUAUGCCGUCGUGCAUUUCGUCGCGCGAAGCUUAACGUCUCUUUAUAAUUUAUGCAAAGUGUCUCGUUGUGCGCUCGGUCGCGCGACGAGUCGUUGAUUUCCUUAAUUCAAUUUAAGGUGCUAUGUCGCGCGUCUCGCCGCGCGACGAUCCUUUUAAUUUAUCUUCAUCUGCUUAUAAUGAUUAGACAUGAAACAUGACUUUACUUUAUGCUAAACGUAGUGUCUACAUUAAUGCCUUUCAAUUGAGCGAGUGGUUUAAUUCAUAAUAAUGUAACGUGAUCGUUUCUCGACUGUCUUUUCCUCUUUCUCUCUUAACCGUAAUUGCAAGCCCGCGUGGAACGUCUGUUUACUUACUGCAUUCUAUUGUAUGGUGUACUGUUCUUUUGUAUUAAAUAUGUGGAUGUAUGUAUGUUUGCGCUCGCAUAGAGAACGAUCCGGUCGGAGAGCCCAAAGAACUCGCAGGAGAAGCCCCUGAGCAGCAGUCGGUUGGUGGAGGCAAGUGUCCCUUGACCUAUCUCUGUCCUAUACAUUCUUUAAUUCACCUCCCGCAUUACACAUUUAUACCUAAGGAUUGACUAGCUUUUGUUGUCCAUGUCCUUGUUUACCUAUUUGGGUCGGAUUAUUAUUGCUUAGUCUUAUGCUAUUGCUCAACUCUAAUCAAUGAACAUGAUGAGAAUUAUCAAUGAUACGCUGUUUUCCCCUCUUUUAUUAUGAUGUUAUACUUGUGACCUUCAAGGGGGCUCGAGCGGUUUCUCGAGUGCCUCUCCGUAAGGACCUGUUCGUUGGAUGACCGCCCGGGAAAACAGUGCAACCAUGAGGGUGGAGUGGGACGCCCUUAGCUGAAUAAUUAGAGGAACCGGGGUGUAGUUCGCUGUAACACUAUGAAAGUCAUUAAAUAAAAAUAAUACCUUUAGUUAAUAAUGGUAUUUAUGAUAAUAAAUUUUCCAUUGAAGUGUUUGUUAUUUAUUUCAUUCGGAAUGAUUUUUGAUUGCUCAUAAGUAAUUUUGAAUAUUGAAUAUCAUUUCUUCUUAAAUUAAAAUUCACAUAAAUAGUAUAAUAAAUAUUAGUCCAAGAAUGAAUAUUUUAUUUAUAACUUUGGUUUAAUUAUUAUAAAUUUUAUGGAUAUUUAAAAGCUUAUUUUAAAUUAGAAAAGAAUUAGAAAAUAAAAAAAAACAAAACAAAACCUAACUAACCCUAACCUAAACCUUGGCCCAUUAGGCCCAAAACACUCCCAGCCGUCACUCUCCCUCAGGCCGCCGCCGCCCCUGGUAGCCGCCGUCUCUCCCUGCUCCUCUCUCCCAACCGACUCUCUUCCAUUCCUCUCUCUCCCCUCGUUCUCUCUCCCAGGCGCGCUGCCGACCGACCCGCUCCAGCCGUCGAGCCACAGGCGCGACGCCCGCAGCCGCUGGACCGCGCCCGAGCAGCCCCGCCGAGGAGCCGAGCCCCAUGCCGCCUGACGCCCGUGACGCACAGGCCGAAGCCCGACCGCGCCGUGCCGUGCGAGCCGAGCGCCCUGCACGCCGGCCGGACCCGAAGCCGCGCCCGCCAGGAACCCGACGCGAAGCCCGACCAGUCGAGCGCCGCGCCCCUGCCACGUCCCUUCCCCGACCGCGCCCAGCUGCUCGCCGCGUCACCGACCGCAACUCCGACCCGAGCCGAGAACGGACGCCAGGAAGUCCGCCCGCGCGACGACCGUGCCAUGAAGCCGAGCCUUCCGUUCCUCUGCGUUAAGGAAUUUUACUGCGUCCGUUAAUCCCUCCCCAUUACUCUCCAUGAAAGAAACCGGUGACCAUUCAUGGCCGCCAUGAAGCAUACCGACGACCUCUGCUCUCCCUCCCUCUCUCUAUAAAACCCCAACCGAGCCCUCUCCUUCUGCCUGCCCAAGCCUCUUCCCUUCUUCUCUCUUGCAACGCCGCCUCGCCAGAACAGUCUGCCGUCGACCGCGCAGCUCGCCCAAGCCACCAGACGUUCGCUCCCGUGCCACGCGGCCAGGCCAGCGUGGUCGAGUUCUGUUGCCAGAGCUCGCCCGCGCAGCACCCGUCGACCAUGCCCAUGCCGCCGCUCUGCUCACGCGCACCCGCUGUUGAGCCCUGCUCGCGUCGUGCCCAGCUCGCUGUCGUGAAGCUCGUCGCCGGACCGUCCGCAUCCGUACGCCGUUCGCCAUCCCUGGAGCCUCGCCGGAGUUCGUACUCACCGUUCGCGUCCCUCGGCCGGAGCUCCGUCCGAACGCUCACCAACGAUCGCGUCGUUCCCUGCCCGUCGAACCCCGCUCGUCGAUGUUCAUCCCUGCGCAUGAACGAAAUCACAAGGUUGAAGACAAUCCUGAAAUAUUUAUUUUCUAAAUCAUGUUUUGAAUUUAUUGUGAAUUACUGUUGUAAUAUUGAGAUGAUGCGAUUUGGCGAAUCACGUGGAUGAUUUUAGAGAUGCGAUAUAUACGUGUAGCCACACGUUUAGCCAAAAUCGAACCCUGCGACAAUACUUUGAAGAUACGUAUGAUUUAUAAUUUAAAAAACAUGAACACAGUCACUAUUCGCUACUUUAGUGAUUUUCAUACUAGAAAUGUUUACGGAUUUGUUUUCACUUUUGUGGGUGGAGCGAUAAUUGUUAGUAGUAUGUUAAGUAUAAACUUAUUUGCAUAAAGAAAUAGAAGAAAUACUAGGCCACGUAUUUUCGGUCAAAUAAGGAUAUAGUUUACUAUUCAUAAUAAAUGAAUUCAUAAGUAUGGCACUUAAGUACUUAGAAUUAGUAUGAUAUUUAUUUAUGUCAUAAUAACCAUGAAUAGGUUAUUAAAAGUCCCAUUUAGUAAUUUACAAUUAAUUCUUAGUAUAUUAAUGUUAGAAGAAUUAAAUAAACAAUUUUUAGUUAUAUGUAUAAAUUCUAUUUAGAAAAGAAAGGAGAAAACUGAAAUAGUAGAAUUUAUAAUAGUGUUAAAAUGACUUAACUAGGCACUUAUACUUUCCUAAUAAAGAAAAUGAUAAUAUGUUGAUAAAUAUAGGUUUCUUACUAAAGAAGUAGAGAAUUUGUUUCUAACUGUAAAAUGACCUUUUUAAAAGAUAUCAUAUUUAACAAGGUUCGUUAUAAAUGUUUAAGUAUAACCGUAUUAAAUAGAAGCUUAAAAGAAUAUAUAAAUCGUUUGUUUUUUACUAGAAGAUAAAUAUAUGUCCCAUUAAUAAAUUAUUUCUUAAUUAAAAGAUAACUAAGGUCAUUGCUUUUAUAAACUAAAAUAAUAGUUAAUAACAUACCAAUGAAUAUAAUAUUCAUUUUAAAUAUUUAGGUCAUAUGUUUCUAAACUAAAUGUAAAGAUAAAUAAUAGAGUAAUUAUGUCCUCUCAUAACCUAGUUAAUUAGAUUUAUAUUGGUUUACAACGGGUUAUAUAGGCUUAAGUAAUCAUUUAAUUAAAAUUAGUUCACAUUAUUUAUAUAUGUGUCACUUAGUUUUUCCUAAAGAAUAAACUAAGGAAAUUAGUGUUCAUGUUCUUUAAUAAUAAUGUUAGUUUGUAUAUUGUUUUGUAUAUGGCUUUCUUAAUAAAAUAUAGGACAUGUACUUUAUAAUAAAAAUAAAAUAUAACUGUUUGUUUAUUGUCUUUUACAUAAAAGUUCAUUAAAGCAUAUAUCAUAACUUUCCAUAAAUAGGUGUUUAAUAAUAAUAAUCUUUUCACAUAAAACCUAUUUAGACUUAUAUCUUAAUUUGUCGUAAGUGAAGGUUUAACAAUGAUUUAUAAUAUGUUCCAUAAUGCUUCUAAAAUUAAUAACGUGUUUUGUAGGCCAUUAACCUUAGAUAUAUAAUAUUUAUCUUUUCUAAAAAGGUUUAACAUCGUUAUAACGUGUUUUAUCGUCUUAUAAACCCUUAAUAUUAGACAUAGCACGUAUGACGCUUUAUAAAAUAUUAAUUUGGUGAACCAAAUAUUUGUAUAUAUUAAUUAAUAUAUUUUAAGCUCAUGUCUUGUUUUAUAAAGUAUAGAUCACACUUUUUUUUGAAAAGAAUAUCUUUUUUUAUUACAACCCUUGCGUGUAACGUUUUUGAAAAGCGAACGCUCUUUUCAUUAGGCUUUCUUUUAGCUUUACGUAUGGUGAAUGUUGUAUGUUAUUGAGUGGUGUUUGUUCUUCUUGUUUGUUUGUGUGAUAUUCAGUGGUUGAUCUAGUAAGUUGAGAAUCAAGAUAUAUUCCGUGGAAGAACCUCGAGUUUUCAAUAAGCAAGGCAAGUGGACUUCUCCCUCUGCAUACUCUGUUUGAUCCCAAACAAUACAUUUAAUAAAGUUUAUUCUUCGAUGAAUAUAUGCAUAAUUUGACGGGUUACCUAUUUAGAUAACCAUUCCAACCUUAUUCCUUGUUAACCUGGGAUUAUGAUCUAAGCAAGUAGCUAUGCUAUUGCUACAACUCUAAAUUUAUGCAGUCACUCCCGCUUAUGAUAUUGAUGUUCCAAAUGGUAAGUUUACUUUAUUGUUGUUAACCCGAUGGUUAAACAAGAUUAUUGCAUAUUAAUUGGAACAUGGAGUGACCACCCGGGAAAACAGUGCUACCAUGAGAACUAUCAUAGCUCUGGUCUUGGCUAAAUAACUAGGGAAGUCUUAUGUUGGGUGCUGGUCGUGGUCGACAGGAACGGGGGCAUCUGGCAAGCUCUUAUAGUUCCGGCUCAGGCAGAUUGGAUACGGGCAUAGUUCCCAAAGCUUUACCCUAUAGUCUGGACUAUAAGUUGGUCACGGUAGGUGUGCCUUAUGCAGUUUGAUCAUAUCCAGCAUUUGCGUAAUGAGGACUCUAGGGAGAAGCCUCGUAGUGAGACCCUGGCCAUUCACCUCGGAAGUGAAUACGGGUCUAGCUAACCCGGGCUAGAAGGGAAUCGCGACUCAUGGGUAAAGAUGCGCCACCUCUGCAGAGUGUAAAACUGAUAUAUCAGCCGUGCUCACGGUUAUGAGCGGCCUGGACUCCUCACAUGAUAAUUGAACUUGAAGAUGGAAAUAAAUCGAGAUCCGAUGAUCUGCCAAUGGUUUUGCUUAAGUGGUUUCACUUAAGUGUUUUUGAUAUAAUCUUGUAUCUUUGCUUAAUGGGAAUACUUGGGAUUCAUACUUAUUAGUAAGACAUGUGUUGUUAAUAAAAUGUUGACCAACUAAAAUGCUUACUGCUCAACCUUAGCCUCACCUUGUUAAACCUGCAUUAGUUUUUCCCCCACUUGCUGAGCCCCGACCAUAAGUGAGCUCACCCUUGCUUAAUUUUGAUCAGAAGUUUGCAGAUGAAGAUAUGAUGCUGAACUCCAUGGAUGCUAGUCUAGUGAUACCCCCAGUCAUCUUCCUGUGGAUGGAUGUCCAUGUUCGCUGUACUUUGAUGAAUAAAGGUUAAGACAUUAUGUCUGUUCGAAGUGUAAUAUGUUAAUAUAAGCAUUAUUUACGCUCUUAUGCAUUGUUCUUUUGAUAUAUUACACUUGUGACGUCAACAUAUGUGUGGAAAUAGAUCCUGGCACACAUAUGCUAUGCACCCGGCUCUGCCCUUAGAAACGGGUGUGACAGAAGUGGUAUCAAAGCAAUGUGACCGUAGGUCGCUAGAUUAGUUAGAAAUGGAAAGCCCAGUCAGUCGUUCAAAACUUGACUUAAUUGUCUUUAUAAAAAUUUACUUUAUAUCAAACUCGCCUCUUUUAUUUUCAACUCUUCUUAUCUGAUUCUUCGUCUAUCAGAAGGUUCUAAUGAGAAGCAUUGCAAGAUGAUCAAGCUAGGAUUUCAGAACUUGAAGCGAAGUUUGCCAGAAGAAACCCUUUCGAAGCUAUCGACGAUGCCCUAUUCUCUGUCUUAUCCCCACUCCGCAAGAAGUUUUGUUAUGGAUCCCCUGGAUCUAUUAUUUGACUUCUUGGUUAGGUUGAUAGGAUUGUUCUUUAGUAUUAAGAUUUUCGACUAGAUCGGUAAUGGCGAUAUUAUAUUAUAUUAUAAGAGGUUUUCUAAUCCUUAAUAUUGCUAUAUAACCCUUGACUUCUUAUACUUUUGUUGUCUUGCCAUUGUAUUGCCACCCUUGUGCAAUAUCUACCUUGAUAUAUUAAACUUUUGCCUCUCUACUUUUCUCCUUGAUAAUGCUUUCUCCCUAUUGAAUUCUUAUACUUUUGCUUUCAUGCCAUUGUAUUGCCGCCCUUGCGCAAUAUCUACCUUGAUGUAUGAAACCUUUGGCUCUCUACUCCUUGAUAAUGCCUUUAUAUUUUGUAUCCUUAAAAAAAACUUUCUCAUAUCCUUGGUUGUAUAAUUUAUUCUCGCUUCACGAGUUAGUGGUUAUCUUAUUUCACUCUUGGUCAUUAACAAUAAUGUUUUGAAUCUUGUCUAUCUCCUUGUUAUUUCUGAUCUGAUUCUUGGAUUUUAUAAUCUCUUUCUUAUUCCUAACCUUGUCCCGCCUUUAAAAAAACUGUAAGAAAUUGUUUUCUUAGGAAAGACUGCCUUUUGAUUGAAUGAAUGACAUCGAGUUACGUUGUGCUGAUAUGUUUCAGUUCAUGUUAGCUGUAUUUGUGACUAUGUUUGAUUUGCUUCUUUGUAGUGAUUGUUGUUGUAUUGUGUGACUUUUGUCCACAAUGACAACAGUUAGCUAAGUUAAACCUUAGAUAGAUGGGUUUUCUCUGCUCUCUAUAAUCUGUCUUUGCUCAACCCUUUCGUCCCUUCCAUUCCUCCAUACCCAUAUAGAUGUCAGACCUUGGAAUGUCAACUGCAAGUGAUAUCACUAAGUACAAAGAAUACAUUGUGUUGGCAACUCCUCCAGCUAAGGAUCAGAUGGAACAGUUCAAGAAGGCGCAUGCUCAGUUUCUACAAGCAACAUGUCAAGUGGUAGCUAGACUCCAACAAGUUGAUUUAGCAGAAUUUAUAGCACAUGAGCAGACUACCGAUAAUCAUAUGACAUCAACCACAACAUCACCCUCGAUAGUUGACUUAGAAAAGCUGUUACAUAAACAGGCUCUUGUAAUACAAAAUGUAUCUCAACUCACCUCCUCAUGCCAGCAAGUGUUGGCAAGUCGAAACGUCACUAGAAAUGAAACAGCCAAUCAACAGACACAAAAGGAUGCACACCAACAGACAAGUGAUCUUGGAACAUUUUGUUGUUGUGCGUACUAUGGAAUUCCUUGUCGCCAGAUCAGUACAAACGAAAGUGAAACUACAAAACAGAAGAACCGGAUUUUAUUUUCUAGCAUAAACAGACAGAUGUCUCCCCCUGAACAAAUAAUAGCAGAUUCUCUCAUACCUAAUGCACUGUCAGUUGAUGAAUUGCAAAGUAUUCCAAAAAGGAAACAUCACAAGGAUGCCCAGCCCCAAGAAGAAACACAGGAGUGUUACAUUGAUGGAUGGACUAUUACUUGUACACAGUUUCAGCCUCGUCGUCGCAUCAGGUCCAAGAAACAAAAAGGGAAAUGUGGAAAAAGUCAAGAAAUAACUUCAAGAAAAGCUUGCUAUCAAUGUGGACUUUUAGGUCAUUACUUCCGUAACUGUCCUGAGAAAAGUUCACUACAAAUCACCUCCGAGAUGAAGCUAUCUCAGUCUCCAGACAUGGAAUAUGAACAGAAAUGCACAGAAACCUCUACCAACAACGUAAAGACAACUCCACCAUGUAACUCAUCAAGUCGUGCUUGCUUUGGCUGUGGUGAUACCGGCCAUCUUGUUAAUGGUUGUCCUAAGAAGGAUGUGGAGAUCAAUAAGGUCCAAAAGAAAAGACAACACCCUCAAACUCAAGCAUCAACAAAGAAUAAACAACGGAAAGAGACCACAGGAAAGAUAAGUUAUGCAGUGACAGGAACCAUUCCAUAUGAUGAUGCAGUAAUUUUUGGAACACUAGUCAUUCACACAACCAUCGCCACCGUGUUGUAUGAUCCUUGUACAACACAUUCUCUUAUCAGUGCCCAGUUUGCAACAAAGUACGGUAUCUUUAAGUGCCCCUUGAGAUCAAGCAAGACCAUCAGUGCACCCGAAGGAAAAAUGCUAGUAAACUACAUAUGUCCAAAAGUAAGUGUUAAAAUCAACGGGAUAGAUUUUCCAGCUGAUCUCCUAGUGAUAGAAUCAAUGGAAAAGGAUGUGAUUCUUGGAAGGAAUUGGUUACAAAGAACUAAGGCAGUAAUCCAGCAUACUGAGAGAACCAUGUGUUUGGAAACCCCAUCUGGAGAAAGAAUAGUAGUUGAAGACAAUCGACCGCCAGCUCUGAAGAUUGGUGCAUCUGACUAGGAAGAAUAAUAUAUCAUUUAGCUAGAAGGAGUAUGUCUCACGAAGAAAAAAAAACGUCAAAGUGUUGCCCCUUUCAAGAUUUGUAAUUGUGCUAAGUGAUAUAUGAAUAAAUUUGGAGAAUCUCUCGCACCUAUUGUGUUUUGCCUCUUUAUAAAGAAAAUAAAGUAUGGUGUCAUCUACUUUAUGCAAACAAUGUGAUACUCUAGUUGCCCUAAAGUCCCACUCAAGGUUUUUUUUUCAAUUUGUGCUCAAAGAAAUAUUGUUGGAUCAGAAAGAUGAUUUGGAUAUCAAGCUCUGAAAUCUAUAAGGUUCAAAAAGAUCUUUGUUAAGGAAUAUAAGACCUGUAAACUCUCAAAGUAUGAUGGAACUAGUAGAAAUCUGAAACCAUCCCUGUUCCUUAACUAAUCUUAUAUUGGAAAUUAAAACGUUGUGUUAGCUCUUUAUCAUAAUGUCAUACAAGCCUCUUAUGCAGUCUAUCUCACUAACUCUUUUACCCUCUGACUAGAUGAUGAACCCCAAUGGAAAUGAAGUAAAUGAUGCCAACAACAAUAUUCCUACCUUAACAACUAUGAACGAGAAAAAUGAGUCACAGAGGUAUUCGAUGAAUGGAAUGAAGAACAACAAAAGGAAUAGAAAAAUGUUUGGAUACAUGAUUAGUCCACCUCAAGCGAAAGCCACGAAACAUAUGGAUACCCAAACAGAAGAAUCAAGUCAGGCUCAGCUACAUGAGAUACAGACACCCAAUGAACCCUCACCCCCUGUUGGUCAAGCAAAGUUGACUCGUAAAGAACUCAAAGCAAGAGGUGCUUGCUACUACUGCAAAAACGAAGGACAUCUUAUUCGCGAAUGCCCCAAGAAACGUCUAGACCGACUUGAGAAGAAAGCUGCCAAGCAUGACCUAAGCAAUAAUUCAGAAGACCCACCAUUUAUAAGUACGAUGAUGAAGAUCGCUUGAUUUGUAGUCAUUGCGGAGCGAAGAAACAAUAAGUUCCUUAAGUUUAGAAGAGUUAAAAUGUGAACCAAGAACCUACAAAUAACCAUGUGUCUUCUUUGUUUUCUUGCUAGCCUUUCUUAAUCUCGAGGACGAGAUUCUUUUUAAGAGGGGUAGAUUUGUAACACUAUGAAAGUCAUUAAAUAAAAAUAAUACCUUUAGUUAAUAAUGGUAUUUAUGAUAAUAAAUUUUCCAUUGAAGUGUUUGUUAUUUAUUUCAUUCGGAAUGAUUUUUGAUUGCUCAUAAGUAAUUUUGAAUAUUGAAUAUCAUUUCUUCUUAAAUUUAAAUUCACAUAAAUAGUAUAAUAAAUAUUAGUCCAAGAAUGAAUAUUUUAUUUAUAACUUUGGUUUAAUUAUUAUAAAUUUUAUGGAUAUUUAAAAGCUUAUUUUAAAUUAGAAAAGAAUUAGAAAAGAAAAAAACAAAACAAAACCUAACUAACCCUAACCUAAACCUUGGCCCAUUAGGCCCAAAACACUCCCAGCCGUCACUCUCCCUCAGGCCGCCGCCGCCCCUGGUAGCCGCCGUCUCUCCCUGCUCCUCUCUCCCAACCGGCUCUCUUCCAUUCCUCUCUCUCCCCUCGUUCUCUCUCCCAGGCGCGCUGCCGACCGACCCGCUCCAGCCGUCGAGCCACAGGCGCGACGCCCGCAGCCGCUGGACCGCGCCCGAGCAGCCCCGCCGAGGAGCCGAGCCCCAUGCCGCCUGACGCCCGCGACGCACAGGCCGAAGCCCGACCGCGCCGUGCCGUGCGAGCCGAGCGCCCUGCACGCCAGCCGGACCCGAAGCCGCGCCCGCUAGGAACCCGACGCGAAGCCCGACCGGUCGAGCGCCGCGCCCCUGCCACGUCCCUUCCCCGACCGCGCCCAGCUGCUCGCCGCGUCACCGACCGCAACUCCGACCCGAGCCGAGAACGGACGCCAGGAAGUCCGCCCGCGCGACGACCGUGCCAUGAAGCCGAGCCUUCCGUUCCUCUGCGUUAAGGAAUUUUACUGCGUCCGUUAAUCCCUCCCCAUUACUCUCCAUGAAAGAAACCGGCGACCAUUCAUGGCCGCCAUGAAGCAUACCGGCGACCUCUGCUCUCCCUCCCUCUCUCUAUAAAACCCCAACCGAGCCCUCUCCUUCUGCCUGCCCAAGCCUCUUCCCUUCUUCUCUCUCGCAACGCCGCCUCACCAGAACAGUAUGCCGUCGACCGCGCAGCUCGCCCAAGCCACCAGACGUUCGCUCCCGUGCCACGCGGCCAGGCCAGCGUGGUCGAGUUCUGUUGCCAGAGCUCGCCCGCGCAGCACCCCGUCGACCACGCCCAUGCCGCCGCUCUGCUCACGCGCACCCGCUGUUGAGCCCUGCUCGCGUCGUGCCCAGCUCGCUGUCGUGAAGCUCGUCGCCGGACCGUCCGCAUCCGUACGCCGUUCGCCAUCCCUGGAGCCUCGCCGGAGUUCGUACUCACCGUUCGCGUCCCUCGGCCGGAGCUCCGUCCGAACGCUCACCAACGAUCGCGUCGUUCCCUGCCCGUCGAACCCCGCUCGUCGAUGUUCAUCCCUGCGCAUGAACGAAAUCACAAGGUUGAAGACAAUCCUGAAAUAUUUAUUUUCUAAAUCAUGUUUUGAAUUUAUUGUGAAUUACUGUUGUAAUAUUGAGAUGAUGCGAUUUGGCGAAUCACGUGGAUGAUUUUAGAGAUGCGAUAUAUACGUGUAGCCACACGUUUAGCCAAAAUCGAACCCCGCGACAAUACUUUGAAGAUACGUAUGAUUUAUAAUUUAAAAAACAUGAACACAGUCACUAUUCGCUACUUUAGUGAUUUUCAUACUAGAAAUGUUUACGGAUUUGUUUUCACUUUUGUGGGUGGAGCGAUAAUUGUUAGUAGUAUGUUAAGUAUAAACUUAUUUGCAUAAAGAAAUAGAAGAAAUACUAGGCCACGUAUUUUCGGUCAAAUAAGGAUAUAGUUUACUAUUCAUAAUAAAUGAAUUCAUAAGUAUGGCACUUAAGUACUUAGAAUUAGUAUGAUAUUUAUUUAUGUCAUAAUAACCAUGAAUAGGUUAUUAAAAGUCCCAUUUAGCAAUUUACAAUUAAUUCUUAGUAUAUUAAUGUUAGAAGAAUUAAAUAAACAAUUUUUAGUUAUAUGUAUAAAUUCUAUUUAGAAAAGAAAGGAGAAAACUGAAAUAGUAGAAUUUAUAAUAGUGUUAAAAUGACUUAACUAGGCACUUAUACUUUCCUAAUAAAGAAAAUGAUAAUAUGUUGAUAAAUAUAGGUUUCUUACUAAAGAAGUAGAGAAUUUGUUUCUAACUGUAAAAUGACCUUUUUAAAAGAUAUCAUAUUUAACAAGGUUCGUUAUAAAUGUUUAAGUAUAACCGUAUUAAAUAGAAGCUUAAAAGAAUAUAUAAAUCGUUUGUUUUUUACUAGAAGAUAAAUAUAUGUCCCAUUAAUAAAUUAUUUCUUAAUUAAAAGAUAACUAAGGUCAUUGCUUUUAUAAACUAAAAUAAUAGUUAAUAACAUACCAAUGAAUAUAAUAUUCAUUUUAAAUAUUUAGGUCAUAUGUUUCUAAACUAAAUGUAAAGAUAAAUAAUAGAGUAAUUAUGUCCUCUCAUAACCUAGUUAAUUAGAUUUAUAUUGGUUUACAACGAGUUAUAUAGGCUUAAGUAAUCAUUUAAUUAAAAUUAGUUCACAUUAUUUAUAUAUGUGUCACUUAGUUUUUCCUAAAGAAUAAACUAAGGAAAUUAGUGUUCAUGUUCUUUAAUAAUAAUGUUAGUUUGUAUAUUGUUUUGUAUAUGGCUUUCUUAAUAAAAUAUAGGACAUGUACUUUAUAAUAAAAAUAAAAUAUAACUGUUUGUUUAUUGUCUUUUACAUAAAAGUUCAUUAAAGCAUAUAUCAUAACUUUCCAUAAAUAGGUGUUUAAUAAUAAUGAUCUUUUCACAUAAAACCUAUUUAGACUUAUAUCUUAAUUUGUCGUAAGUGAAGGUUUAACAAUGAUUUAUAAUAUGUUCCAUAAUGCUUCUAAAAUUAAUAACGUGUUUUGUAGGCCAUUAACCUUAGAUAUAUAAUAUUUAUCUUUUCUAAAAAGGUUUAACAUCGUUAUAACGUGUUUUAUCGUCUUAUAAACCCUUAAUAUUAGACAUAGCACGUAUGACGCUUUAUAAAAUAUUAAUUUGGUGAACCAAAUAUUUGUAUAUAUUAAUUAAUAUAUUUUAAGCUCAUGUCUUGUUUUAUAAAGUAUAGAUCACACUUUUUUUUGAAAAGAAUAUCUUUUUUUAUUAUAACCCUUGCGUGUAACGUUUUUGAAAAGCGAACGCUCUUUUCAUUAGGCUUUCUUUUAGCUUUACGUAUGGUGAAUGUUGUAUGUUAUUGAGUGGUGUUUGUUCUUCUUGUUUGUUUGUGUGAUAUUCAGUGGUUGAUCUAGUAAGUUGAGAAUCAAGAUAUAUUCCGUGGAAGAACCUCGAGUUUUCAAUAAGCAAGGCAAGUGGACUUCUCCCUCUGCAUACUCUGUUUGAUCCCAAACAAUACAUUUAAUAAAGUUUAUUCUUCGAUGAAUAUAUGCAUAAUUUGACGGGUUACCUAUUUAGAUAACCAUUCCAACCUUAUUCCUUGUUAACCUGGGAUUAUGAUCUAAGCAAGUAGCUAUGCUAUUGCUACAACUCUAAAUUUAUGCAGUCACUCCCGCUUAUGAUAUUGAUGUUCCAAAUGGUAAGUUUACUUUAUUGUUGUUAACCCGAUGGUUAAACAAGAUUAUUGCAUAUUAAUUGGAACAUUGAGUGACCACCCGGGAAAACAGUGCUACCAUGAGAACUAUCAUGGCUCUGGUCUUGGCUAAAUAACUAGGGAAGUCUUAUGUUGGGUGCUGGUCGUGGUCGACAGGAACGGGGGCAUCUGGCAAGCUCUUAUAGUUCCGGCUCAGGCAGAUUGGAUACGGGCAUAGUUCCCAAAGCUUUACCCUGUAGUCUGGACUAUAAGUUGGUCACGGUAGGUGUGCCUUAUGCAGUUUGAUCAUUUCCAGCAUUUGCGUAAUGAGGACUCUAGGGAGAAGCCUCGUAGUGAGACCCUGGCCAUUCACCUCGGAAGUGAAUACGGGUCUAGCUAACCCGGGCUAGAAGGGAAUCGCGACUCAUGGGUAAAGAUGCGCCACCUCUGCAGAGUGUAAAACUGAUAUAUCAGCCGUGCUCACGGUUAUGAGCGGCCUGGACUCCUCACAUGAUAAUUGAACUUGAAGAUGGAAAUAAAUCGAGAUCCAAUGAUCUGCCAAUGGUUUUGCUUAAGUGGUUUCACUUAAGUGUUUUUGAUAUAAUCUUGUAUCUUUGCUUAAUGGGAAUACUUGGGAUUCAUACUUAUUAGUAAGACAUGUGUUGUUAAUAAAAUGUUGACCAACUAAAAUGCUUACUGCUCAACCUUAGCCUCACCUUGUUAAACCUGCAUUAGUUUUUCCCCCACUUGCUGAGCCCCGACCAUAAGUGAGCUCACCCUUGCUUAAUUUUGAUCAGAAGUUUGCAGAUGAAGAUAUGAUGCUGAACUCCAUGGAUGCUAGUCUAGUGAUACCCCCAGUCAUCUUCCUGUGGAUGGAUGUCCAUGUUCGCUGUACUUUGAUGAAUAAAGGUUAAGACAUUAUGUCUGUUCGAAGUGUAAUAUGUUAAUAUAAUCAUUAUUUACGCUCUUAUGCAUUGUUCUUUUGAUAUAUUACACUUGUGACGUCAACAUAUGUGUGGAAAUAGAUCCUGGCACACAUAUGCUAUGCACCCGGCUCUACCCUUAGAAACGGGUGUGACAUUCGCUUAGCUGUUGUGCCAUCAAUGGGGCUCGGUGUAUGCGGCUCACUCUGCCAAGGUUGAUUUGUCCCUUGGGGAGGAGUGCAGUACAUUUAGGAAACCUAACGGGUGGCUACAACCCCGGGGAAUCUUUGUAAAGGCUACGUAGUGAUAUCCUGCUGGGUCACCUUGGUAGUGAUCAAUGGAGAGUCAUGAUCUCCGGGCAGAAAGGGAAAUCACGGCUUGUGGGUAAAGUGCACAACCUCUGUAGAGUGUUUGAAAACUGAUAUAUCAGCCGUGCUCGCGGUUAUGAGCGGCCAAGGGAGCUCCAGUGAUUAGUGGUACUUGAUCAGAGAUGUUCGCAUUGCAGGUGGCAAUGAGAUUGUUGGUUUUGGUAUUGACUCUGGUAAUGGUAAGUGGUACUUUUUCCGUUUGGAAAGGAGUACGUUUGGGUUAAUAACGUGGGCUAAAUCUAAAACUUGGCUUCCUCUACUAGCAAUAAUAAUAAUCUAACCAACUAAAAGCAACUGCUUGACUUAACCCCACAUAAAGCUAGUCCACUACAGCCAAACAGGAUGCUUGCUGAGUAUGUUGAUGUGUACUCACCCUUGCUCUACACACAAACCCCCCCUAGGUUGUCCGCAUUGCAACCACUGCUCAGGAGAAGAUGAAGCCGUGGAAGGAGACUUCCAGGAGUUCCAAGAAUACGACGAGUUCUAGGCGUGGGUUAGCGGCAACCCCUAGUCGGCUGCCUGUGAAGGCCGCUUUUAUCUAUGUUUCGUUUUCGCACUUUGAUUUAUUGUAAAGACUAUGUGGAUGUCUCAGACAUAUGAUGUAACCGACUAUUAUUUCCCUUUUAAUACUAUUUGAGCACUGUGUGAUGAUGUCCAUGUUAUGUAACUGCUGUGUACGUGAAUUGCUGAUCCUAGCACGUACAUGGUUCGCAUUCGGUUUGCCUUCUAAAACCGUGUGUGACAGGUACGUCCGUUACAUGGCCGAGGAUCGGGCUACACUCCCGAGGUACCCUAGGACAUUGCCGAGACCAGCGGGAACGAUUUGUAAUGGAAUCCCACCAAAGGGAGGCACCGAGCCCUCGGACCCUAUCGAAUGGGUCCGGGCCCAGCAAAUCACCUGCAGGUACUUUUGGAGCGCGCCUCUAGGCCACUAGCCGACCCUUAUCGAAUGGGGCUCGGGCGUCCACUCGGAUCACCCGUUAGCAACUCAGUGGAAACACCGUGUUCGGUGCCCCCCGGGGGUAACACGGCGCUUUCCCCCUUCCUCCUUGCGAAAAGGCGACGAAGGGGCAUACAAUAAAAGUCGAGACGGUCCUUGAUCGUCCUCUCGCUCCGUGUAGAGGCUCGGGGCUGCUCUCGCACCAGGCUAUGGCCAAACCGUUGACCACGUCAACAAACCAGCUUGAAAACUCGGAGCCUGACCGUGCACCCGGGCUGCAGCCAGGCCGCAUGAGGGAACAACAAGGCUGACCGAGGCAUCACAAAAAGGAUUAAGACCUCAGAGGAGUCAAACCACUCCUCCGAGGCCUCAUGGGCUACACUCGGCGGGUGCGCUCGCGCGCACCCACCGGAACAAAGCAUAACCGAGAAGGGCUGGUCCCCUUGCAAAAAAAUCCGGCAGAACCUCCAAGCGAGUACUUACACUCCCUUCGAGGCUCGGGGGCUACUGUCGGGGAUCGUAAUUAGGGGUACCCCCAAUGCACCUUAAUCCGACUGAAAAACAUCUUCAGAACAAACCAUAAAUGGCUGAUAAAGCGCAUGCCUCGUCUACCAAGGGACGCGACCUCAUCCGAGCCUAGCCUCGGGCAAGGACGGUAGUCCCGGACGGAUUCAUGCCUCGACCGAGGGUCCCCUCAGUCAGUAGACGCACCCUCGGCUCGCCCGAAGCCCAGUGCGGGCAGACUUUGUCGUGCAGCGACCUCGCCCAAAUCGCCUUACCAACCGACCGUAUCGCAUGCGCAUUUAAUGCAGGGAUCGCCUGAAACCUUAUCCUGACACGCGUGCCUCAGUCGGCAAGGUCGAAGUGACCGCAGUCACUUCGCCCCCUUCACUGACCGUUCUGACAGGAAAACAGCGCUGUUCACCCCGCUCCGACAACUGUGCCAGCCACCAGGGAAAGACUGACACCAGCAAGUCAUGACCUCCCCUAAGUCCGGCCUCGGGCGCAACAGGGAGCUCCGCCUCGCCCGACCCUGGGCCUCGGCCUCAACCUCGGCCUCGGAGAAGGACUCUGCCUCGCCCGACCCUGGGUCUCGGCCUCAACCUUGGCCUCGGGAGAAGGUCUCGACCUCGCUUGACCCUGGGCCUCGGCCUCAGCCUCGGCCUCGGAGGAGUCGCCGCCUCGCCCGACCUCGGCCCUGUAUCAACUACGUUGCUGGGGACCCAUCAUUACCCUACCCCUAGCUAGCCGCCUCAGGCUACGAAGGAACAAGACCGGUGUCCCAUCUAAGUUACUCCGGUAACAGGUAAUGAUGGUUCCCCACAUGCGCCCAUGACGUCGGGUGCUCUCAAACCCCCUACGGAAGCAAGGCAACGUCAGCAAGAUCCAUGUCGCACCGCCAGCAAUGCUUCUACAGGGCACAAGGCACUUCUCCGACAGCCACGUUGGUACAUCUACAGGGCUCAAGGCACUUCUCCGACGGCCACGUUAUUACAUCUACAGGGCUCAAGGCACUUCUCCGACGGCCAUGUUAUUACCUGUACAGGGCUCAAGGCACUUCCCUGCCAGCCACGUUAGCAUAUAGCUACACCCCAUUGUACAGCUGGGCAUCUCCUUGUAUCUAUAAAAGGGGAUGUCCAGGGCCUUCCUAAGGCACGUUGACACAUGUCGACGGGAAAGGGAGAGACGAACGCGCGACGUAUGAACACACAGACGCGCGACGCAGACGAGCGGAGGCAGGCAGAGUAGGAGAGACGCGGUAGAGGCAGCCUCAGAUAGCUCGCCUCAAGGCCGAACCCUCUCUUACUCUCUCUCUCUCUCUCAUUCUCGCUCUCCCGCAAUGCUUGUAACCCCUACUACGAGCACCCCAGGGCAAGAUAACAUAAGCCUUAUUUCCCUCUUGUGUUCCAUCUUGCAUCAACCCAUCUGGACAGGGACACGCAACAACAAAUUCACUAGUCGGUCCGGUUGAGGGUCCCCCGGGUCCGAAACACCGACAGGUAUGUUGUUGAACAACAUGACAAAAACAAACAGCUAGCUCAUCACAGUGACAAAAACAAACAGCUAGCUCCCAAGACAAAAACAAAAUGCUAUUGCGUUUCCUGUCAGUUAGGCACUCCCAGGAACAGCUCUAUUAAUUAAACAGACUCUUGAAAGUUAUAGAAAAGUAGCUAGGCUGUUAAUUAAAACUCGGUUGUAGUCUAGCAGCGCAAUCUGUUAAUUAAAAUCCUAAGUAAAAUGACAUGGCCAGAUCACAUUUAGCUAGGCUGCAGUCUAGCAGCGCAGUAUGUUAAUUAAAACUCGGCCACAUCUUAGAUGAGCACACACACCUUCAUAUAAACAUAAUGCACAAAAAUAAACAAAAUGCAGAAGUAUACACACGCACCUUCAUAUAGCCCUUCUAAACUGUAAAAAAGAGGGAAUGGUAUGUUGCGAAACUUUGAUACCUUUAGGUGAGCCUAUUAAAUGCAACAUGAAAUAUAUUAUUAGUAGCAAAAGUGAACAUAUUGAAUGCACAAAGAUAGAAUUGUACAAAGAAAGUUUGCUUACGCGAAUCAGCCUUGGCCAAACUUCUGGUUCAGGCAGUACCAUGCAUAGGGUGUCAUUCCAACCAACCCCGCUUUCUUUUCUUGAAUCCCUUAUAGCCUUGUAGUGUCCUUUAAGCUCUCUCUCCUUCUCUUGCAGUUGUUGUUUAGAGAAAUGAGCUAGAGGGAACUUUUCAUUGAACUUGGUAGUGAUACUGUUCCAUCCAUCACGAUUCCAACCAUUUUGACCUUUGAAUUUUGGAUUAUCUUUGUGAUCAUGCAUCACAUCGACUAAGCCUUUCUCGUACACAUUGUUCCAAAUCAUCCUUUAUUCAAAACUGAAAUUGUGGAAAUAAUAGUACAUAACUAAGCAACUUUAAGUUCAUAACUUGGCAACUAGCUACAUGACAAACUACAAACCAUAAAGACUCCAUAAGUAAUAAUAGUAGGCAGCCUACAUCUAGCUAUUGUAGGCAUCCUAUUAUAACAUCUAGCUAUUGUAGGCAGCCCACAUCUGAAGUGCGAUCUGAUCUCUUAGAGCACUUCCAUCACUUGAUUCUGUGUCAUUGACAUAGUUGAUAUCUCCCUCUGGAACAUCAACAUAUUGGCUUGGAGAGAUGUAAUCUAGUUGGUUGUCAAGCCAUCUUUCGUCUCCAUUUUGCCCUCUAAUUAUGUUGUGAAAUGCAACAGUUGCAGCUACGAUCUUAAUUUGGUUCUCUAUGGGAUGAAAUGUGCCUACUUUUAGAAUCGGGAACCUUUUCUUUAGAACACCGAUGGCCCUCUCUAUAUGGUUAUGGAGAAUUGCAUGGCGGUGGUUGAACAACUCUCUGUAGUUCGCAUAACCACUUUGUGAUGAACGACGCCUCCUAAACUCAUUGAGAUGGUAUCGAACCCCUCUAUAUGGUGCAAUGAAGGAUGAUGUAUUUGCAUAACCACCAUCUACUAGAUAAAACUUUCCUUCUAGCACACUAAAUCCUUUGCUAAUAGCAGAUCGAAGCACCCCUGCAUCUGAGGCUGACCCCUCCCAUCCACAUGAAACAAAUGUGAAAUUAAGGUCAAAGUCGUAGGCUACCAUAACAUUGUGUGAAAGAGUUCCUUUCCUGUUUCUAUAUGGAGGAGCCCUAUGUUCUGCUAUGGUGAUGGGUAUAUGUGUGCCGUCAAUUGCACCAAUGCAGUUCUGCAAGGAAAAGAAUAAGGAAAGAUAUUGAGGUCGUGUGGCAAAUUGGCAAUGAAAGGAAAACAAUUAAGCAAAUUGUGUGUUUGGAAUUGAUAGCACACCUGAAAAAAUGGCAUGAACCUAUAAUCUGUUGCAAUUUUGGUGUGAGUUUGGAUAGAGCUAGGAAGCUUCACAAAACGCUGAGUUAGUGUGGGAACAAUAUCAAAUACUUCAGAUAUUUUUCUAUGGAUAGUCUCUCCACUAUGUUGAAAAGCCUUCUGUAGCAUUUGGUUACUAGCAUUAUGGGAGAUCAUGUACAUGAUCAUCCCAAGCUGCUCCUCAACGGUAACUCCUCGUGUGUCUCGUAGUAAAUUCUCUCUUCUAAGAAAAUUUGUUGUGGUUCUGAAUAUUGCUGGCUCCAUUUGAAACUCAGAUUUGCACCAACUCUCAUGUCCUUCAAGGAUUUCUCUAACCUUUUUAGCACCAGUGAGUGAGGACGUGUGGAUGGGCUAUUUCUCUUCUGAGAGGUAUGGAAUUAUAGCAGGGAGAAUAACAAAGAACAACUCAUCGUCGUCUUCUUCCUCAUCUAACAAAAAUUGUCUAACUUGCUCCUCCCAAGAACCCAUAUCUAGAGAAGUGGAGACCAAUUGAACUUAUAAGGCAAGUUAUCCAAUUGAACUAAAAAUGAUACAACAAACAAUAAAAAAUCUAGGAAAAUAUUUAUGCAUGGUGACUCUCCUGGGAAAGAACAGAACAAAAGACUGAUGUUUAAUCAAGUUGAGGUUCAGAUUAUAAUAAAAAUAACCCAAUAUCCCAGGUAAUAGGUGUUUGAAGACAUAACUAAAUCAGUCAACAACUAGAGAAAGAACAAUCAGCAACCAAAGUUACAGAUAACUUUAGCUCUCAAUAUCUAGAUAUAAGUGCUCCACUAGCAGAAAGGAAUAAUAUCUAGGUCUAGGAUCGAAUCACUGUUUUAUAUAAGUUGUUGUAAAAACUGGACAUUUUUUAGUAUGCAAAGCAAACAAAACAAAUAAAUCAAAUUGUUAGGAUCCCCAGUUCUGGUUGAACAACAUGAGUGCGUUAAAACGUUACAAGAAAACAAUGUUAUUCUUCACAAUAGUUUAAACACAAACACUAUAGGAUAUAAGGAUAUAUCUUUCAUCGACACUACCAAGACCAAGACAUGAGACACACUAUCAUACCAGGCAGGCACCCAAUAGGAAAUUGUUGCAAAACAAAUAUGCAUAAUGUGUAUGCUGGCCGCGUGACGCACGAAAUCCGAAUGCUGACCACAUGACACAACAAGUACCCAACCACUCCUUGAUUCCCCUUUCCUCCCCUCUCGCAUUCGUCUCCACCAGCAGUCUCCACUAGCAGGUCGAACUUCUUGCGCUCCAAAAGCAAACUGUGCUCGCGUUACCACAUGCUGGUGGCUCCAAGGCAGAGGCAAGGCAGCGGCUGGCGGACGCUGCUACCGCGCGUGCGCUGCUUCUGGUGGCGAGGGGGCAGAGGCAAGGCAACGGCUGGCGGACGCUGCUAUCGCGCGCGAGCUACUUCUGGUGGCGAGGGGGCAAAGGCAAGGCAGCGGCAGGAACCUGAGAAUCUUGGGCGCUCGCGCUGUGUCGCUCGCGAUGUGUUUCCUGCUGGCGCUACAGGAGAUGUAGAUCUACAGGAGUUGACCUUGUGAGGGGAAGGAGAUGGCGUUGAAGACGACGAUGGUGUGGCGACAGAGGUGCUCACGGGGAUGGCGUCGAUGAGGCUAGGCCUAGCGUCGCGGGGAGCCGGGGCGAUGGGGGAGAUGCUCCAAGGCAAGGUUGGCGGCACCGUGGAAACGCCUGGCCUCCCGAUGCCAAGGUUUUUCCUGACCGGAAAAGAUGUUUCUCUGGAGGAAAGUGUGUCGAGUCUUUUGGCUUCCAAACACGCAGAAGUACAAACUCCAGGCAAAUGUCCGCGUGGGCUUUCUUCCUAGAGAAAAUGCCGGGAAACCCGUGGGUUUUUAUGGUACCAAACUAGCCCUAAGGGAUUUCUAUUUUCCCAAAGUAAAAUUGGGAACUCCAUUUUCCUAAGAGAUUUUUAUUUUUCUAAGGGAAAAUAAACUAAUUUCUCUUAGGAAAAUAGAAAUCCAUUGGAAAAUGUGGUUUCCAAACUAGUCCUUAUGGUAUGGAUAUGAGGAAUUUUGAUGCUUAUAUGUAUGUUAUUGGGUCAUUUUAUAUACCUAAUGGAUAUGGUGGGUGUGGGCAUCUUUGAAAAAAGUUUUGUUGGAUGAAUCUGUCAUGCUGGAUAAAAAAGAUACUCCCUCCGUUCCUAAAUCUCCCUCGUGUAAGCCAUGGGCACAAUGACCAAGGGAUUGCAAAGAACCGUGCUACUCCCUUCGUUGCUUUUAAUGGCCCGGCGUUAAUUCAUUUGCUCAGAACCUUGCGCUCGCGUACGUGGUCCCACCCGGCUGCUCACGUAGCUCACGUAUUUUCGCGCGCUCACGGACACACCCAGCGCAGCUUUGAUUUUUUGUUUGAUCUUCCUGAAGAAACAAAAUUUAGCCACCAAAAACAUCAAAUUUCCAUUGCCCGCCACUUCUCUCCCAUGGCGUAUAUAAAUCGCCCAGUAGGAUCGCCAUGCCCAGGUCAUUCCAGCGAACUCUUCCACAUUGAUGCUACCGCAAUGUUUGGAUUAGGGAUUGAUUCAAACCUACAACCCAUAGAUUGGGAUAGUGUUGCAGAGUUUGAUGGCCCUGCUCAUGAACUCGAUUUCAACAUGGUCUGGGAUGAUGGAAUAGAAGGUGUUCCUUCUUCAAUCACUUUACUCUACUAUUUUGACAUAUCCCCUUCUCGUUAUGGUUUCAUUCUUCCUCUUUUUUCUUUUGUUCCACAGAUCAUGAAAUUGUAGCAGAUGAAGUGCAAGGUAAUGGUGCAGCAUAUGGCAUUUAUGUUUCUUCAGAAACAAUAGUAGAUGGUGUUCAGGUUCCUGUGUAGGGAGAUUGAAAGUUCCCUUUGCCCGGGAACAGGAUCUGGAUGUCGCCUAGAGGGGGGUGAAUAGACGAAUAAUAAUUAUCACUUUAAAACCUUAAAUUCUUACUCUACUCGAAGGCUGGAUCACAGUGGAAUGAAAGACCCUUCAAGUAGGUUGCAGCGAAAUGGAAGAUCCUGUCUUAAGAUGCCCUGCACUUCAAAUAUAACUUGUACCACAGAUAAGUAUUGAAGUGCAGAUAUAAAGAGUAGGUGAAACAGAGAAUCAGCACACAACAUAGAGCAGAGCACACAGACGCCGGGAUUUAUCCCGAGGUUCGGUCAAGCCUGAAAUGCUUGCCUAGUCCUCGUUGGAGUUAGCCACACCUGGGCUUGGAGUCUAUUUCAACUCCUUCCUCCAUUUGCUCAGAUCUUAGAGCCUUCCACUAUGUUGAGAUUGGUUACAACAACGCCGUGGCUGCUUACAGUCUUCUUGACAGCACUCCGGCAGAGUAACAAUUCGCUCAAGACUUUGCUCUAUCUCUCAGCAGCACUUCUCCACUCUCUAAAGGCUUAUAGCUUUGCCUCCACACAAACUAGAGAGAUAUACAUGAGAGGGAGAGAGAGAAUUGAUCCAAAUGAUGUAUACAAUUGUUGGCUGCACUUGUGUCACUGUUGGAGGCGCCUAGGGGUCCCUUUUAUAGACCCAAGGGGCCUAGGAGCCGUUGGAAUUCAUUUUGGAAGGCAAUAUUAGCUUUCUGUCGAGUGGCACACCGGACAGUCCGGUGCACCACCGGACAGGUCCUGUAGCUUGUCCGGUGCGCGAUCUCCUUCCAUAUCGGGCUCAGCUGACCGUUGGAGGAACGGUCCCCUUGGCUCACCGGACACUGUCUGGUGCACAUCGGACAGUCCAGUGCGCCAACUAACCGUUGGCCCAGGCCACGCGUCGCCCACUGAUUGCGCUGCCGACUGUUGGUGCAGGCGCCGUUGGCUCACCGGACAGUCCGGUGAAUUUUAGCCACGAACCCCCGCAGAUUCCCGAGAGUUGGCAGUUCACUGCCGAGUCAGCCUGGGCCACCAGACACUGUUCGGUGCACCACCAGACAAUCCGGUGUGCCAGGCUGGUGCUGGUUUUGGCUAUACAAAGCCAUAUCUUCUCUAACUCUUUUCUUCUUUUCUUGGCACUAUUUCUAGCACUCAAAUAACCAUGUUAGUGAACAAAACAAUUCACUGAGCCCAGAAACAUACCUUGUUCACUUCUAGAGCUUGAUCUUGAGCUUUAUGACUUACACCACAUAAUUGUAGAUGUUACCCCAUUGGUUGUAAGUCAUGACAUCAUGUAGUGAUACUUGAUACACCAUAACUCUUCUUAACUUGAUCAACCUUGACUUUGCAAGUCUUCUUCUUCACCCCUGGCUUUGGGUUCCUGGUCUCCUUGACCUUCCCCCGUGCACUCGGUACCUCGAAGCUCUUCUUGCCUCCAUCCUUGGCUUGAUCGGUUGUCUCUGAGUUACACACAUCGGGUCUCACUUAAGCAAUGUCCAUCUUACUUGUGAUGUCCAUUGUCUAUAGAUAAUCUAGUCUUUGGACCAUCAUACUUGUUCACUUGUGUUGAACCCUGUUAGCUUUGCAUUAAGCACCUGCUCAACACUUAGCACACUUGUUAGUCCUUUAAUUGGGCUGUCAUCCAAACACCAAAACCCACAAGAGAGCUUUCAAUCUCCCCCUUUUCGGUGAUUGAUGGCAACACAAUUAAAGCUUACACAAGAAUAAGAUUUAAAGCACAAAUUUUGAAUUCUAAGUUUAUAGAAUGCUUCCCCUAAAUAUGUGCUAACAUUAAUAUCUCAACUUUGGCCUUAUAUGCCAAAAAUGCACAUACUUAGGCUAAUCGAAGCAUUGCUACACCUUAGCACCUGUGGGAUGCAUUGUCAAUAAUUGAACGUGAUGUGUAUAACACACAAAUGCACAGAAUCAGAGUUAAACACCAAUUGAAUGGAUAUACACAGGAAUAUCAACCUACCACUAUUCAUCAUUAAGAUACCUAUUGAAAGCAAUUUAAAGCACCAGAACCACAUGAAUAUCUAUUACAGGACAAACACAAUAGAUACAAUUGAUUCAUAUCAACAGAAGCACUAAUUAUGCAUUAUCACUAUAUAAUACAGCAAGAAGCAUAUGAUAAGUAUUAUCAACAAAACUAACACAUUCUUCCUUAAGAUCAAAGGAACUCAAGGAAACCCCUUUGAGUCCUUUAGCACAAAAAUAAUCUUCAUCCUACUCAAGGAAACCCCUUUGAGUCCUUUAGCACAAAAAUAAUCUUCAUCCUCUUCACACUUAAGAUAAGCUUUCCUCUCAGGUCGAGGUAAGCUUUAAUGCACAAAUUCUCCCCCUUUGACAUCAAACACCAAAACCAUAUUCAAGCAAGAACAUAGGAUGAUGUCAAGGGACAGCAGGGUAUUAAGCAGGUAAAAUGCAACACACUAACAUUACUUCCCCUUACAUAUUAAACAUAUGCAACACAAGCAUUGGAGAAAAAUUUAGAUAUAAAUACGCAAAAGGUCAAUACCUCCUUUUGUACCUUUACCAUGUUAUGGUGUACUUUCCAUCUAUGUAGGCAGUUCCUUUUGCCAUCAAUUUAAGAUUUCCAUCUUGAAAGUCUUAUCUCUAGGGAGCUCAUUCACACUUGUGCCUGAUCCUUCUUCCUGACUUUUUCUUGUUGCUAAGACACCAAACUUAGAACAAGUUAUAGUAUUGUGGCACAAGAUGAAGCUUCCAUUCUAGUGAUUACCAAAAGAUAUCAAUUAAAGCACACUACUAAGGCUACUAAUUGAAGGAUCAUCACUGUCACAUCUCCAUGAUAUUCAAAGAUAAGCAUCUAGGAUCAUCAACUAUUAUAGAGCAUGAGCAACUAAUUACUCGACUUGUGGAGGUACCCAAGUCCUGAUUGCUCCAUUUCUUGCUCAUGUUCCCUUUUUCACCUUGAGACUAUAUAGGAUCACUCAAGAAACAGUUAGUCUCAAAAGACACAAGUUAUGUGUGCUCCCCCUAAAGUUGUGCAUCAAGUAUUUGAAUGACUUGCACUUUGCACAUUCUAGCGUCCUUAGAACUAGAGGGGAUCACAACAUACCUUGAUCUAGGCAUAAUAUAUCAAUUGCAUCACAAAACGAUACCAAUUGAAUAGAUGACAUAAUACAACUUAUGACUAAUGGAAACAAUGCAUGCCUCAAGAUAUAUAACAUUUUAAAAGCAACCUAGGCACGCUUCACACAUGAUGAUCAUUGCAACACAUAUACCAAUUGAAAAAUGACAAGAUCAUGCAUAUAAAGCACAAUGUCUAAGCACACCAAGAUUAAGAAGUAUUUUCUUAGGUACACCAAGGGAAACAACAUUUUAAAGCAUAAGGCACCUAAGCCAAGAUACUACUAAUUGAAAGGCAAGAACAUAGCUAUGAUCACAAUCACCGGAACUUCAAGAUAUUCAAUGAAAUUGCAUAGUUCCAUUCUCCAUACCUUUGCCUUUUCCUGAAUUGCCAUGAGAGCACAUGUUGUCACCAAUUUUGGGCUCCUUUUGCUCAUGAACCUCAUUGCUCAAGAGGGUGCAUUAGAGGCACAACACGGAUUUCUUGUUUUGAUAUACACACAAUACUAAGACAAAGUAAUCAUGUGAAUAUGGACUAAACAAAACUAUCAUGCUUGCACAUAGGUUGAUACAUAAUCAUUAAAAAAUCACGCAACAUGAUUUACAAAAAGAUACAGGUUUAGCCACAUACACCAAGAGAGUUAAUCAUGGUAGAUAUUUCAAAUGAAAAGCUACCCAUUGGAUGAUUCAAGAGAUAUAACCUAUAAAGCACACAAUCAUAAUUGAGCAAGCAUCAAUAUGAUCUUGGAAAUCACAAAUCAUUAAUUGAAAGAUAUUCAACAUAGGCAAUAUCAAAAGCAUAACUACUCCAAGGAUAUGUAUAGCACGACAAUCCAACAUAAGAGCAAUACUGUUUUGAAAUAAUGCACUUAAGAUACACGAGUACCAUCCUUUGGAGAGGAAGUUGCAGAUUCUCAUCAAAGUCCUUUGCUUGAUUUACCAAUAAUGAUUAAGGACCUCAACAACUUAUUUGACUUGAGAUGAACAUGGGAUUAGUAUUGCACAAUAAUUCAACCUUGGGUCAAUAAAUAGACAAUAAAAAUUGACAGCUUAAGCAUAGAGUUUGAAUUAACCAUCUUAAGCUCUCCCAUGGUCUCCAGUCCAUCUCGAGGCACCUGCAUGGUCUAGUUGGCACAGUUUGGUACCCAUCUCGGGAUGGGUCCAUAACGAUCAUCCAAAAGAGCCUUUGGUACCCAAAUAGCAAUUGUGCUAGUUCUAGGUGAUCUCAUUACUGAUCUAGCACAAGUGUAUGGUUUGGGUCUCCUAAGCGAAUAAGAUUGAGAUAAAUUUACUUGCUUAGGAACCUUACCCUUUUUACAUACCUUGGAUAUAUGACCAUGCUCACCACACAUGUAGCAGAAGCGUCGCUUAACCUGACAUGACACUUGUUGUUUGUCUUCUUUCUUAGUAAGGGUCAUCCCGGAGAGCGCACGUGCUUGAUUUUUCAUGAGCGGACAUGAAGUGAUCAUAUGGUCCUUGUCAUUGCAUCCGAAACAUCUCCUCAUCCCUUCAUCCUUGUCGUUGUAUGGACACGACGCAAUGAGGUGGCCUAACUCAUUGCACUUAAAGCACCUCCUUUUCCUUUUCUCUUUUUGUUCUUGGAUAACAUAGAGAGAUGGUCAGUGCAAACAACAUGAUUGAUUGAAUCUUUACCUUUUUCCUUGUUCAUGUUGAUUUCUACAUUUUUUGCUUUAGGAACAUCCUUCUUAUGGAGUUUAACACUUGCUGCGGUUUCUCCCGUCUCAAGCUUCUUCACCACGCAUCCGUGGAUAUCUUGAGGAGGUUGAGCAAUGCAUCUUCUCCUUAGUUGCUUUGCUUUCUUGCUCCUUUCUUUAUUGAUGAGCAACUUUUCUUUUGAUCCUGCAGCUUGAUGCUCAAUCAAAAAUUGGCUUUCUUUUGAGCAGCAGGGGUUAGCACAUGGUGAUGUAUUAUCUAAAGACGCACGUGUGCAAGAAUGAGAUUCACAUGAAUUUAGGUUCGCAAUUACAACCUCAUGGGCAACAUCAAGCAUGAUAUGGCCAUCAACUAAUUCAUUAUGAGAAUAAGAUAGCAUAUCAUAUUUUUCACUUAGAGCAAGUUUUUCUAAAUUUAUCAUUUCUACUUGACUCUUAAGCAUAGAAUUCUCAGUUUUAAGUUGAGCAACAUCAGAUAAUACAUCAUGAUUAUUUCUCUGCUCAAAUAAAAUAGAUUCAUACCGUUGGACCAAACUAUCAUGAGAGCACUUUAGCUCCUCAUGAUCUUUGGUCAUCUCCAGGCUGUCAUUGGUUUUGAUGAGAGUCUCCUCUAGCCUGAGAAGCGUCUCGCCUUGUUCCUUGUUCCUUCUCAACAGCUUAACCAAGAGCACUUUGUCUUCUUUGUUGAGAUGGGUGUAGAAACGGCGAAUCUCCUCUUCUUCCACAUCGUCGGUCUCAUUUUCCCUGUCAUUAUUAUCAGUGGAAGCAAAACAGGAAAAUGUACCUUGUGGUGAUGUAGAUUCAUCCUUGCUAUCAUCCUCAUAUUCCUCCUCAUCAUCACUUUCAUCUCCACUCUCAUUGUUAGCAACAAGACAUGUAUAACUAGUGGGAGAUGAACCUGUCGGUGAGGUGGAUCCAUCGAUUGGUGUCCAUCGUUCUUGUUCUUCUCCCUUGGACAAGUUAGUAUCGCCAGCAAUAGAGGGAGCAGAAGCAGUGCAUAUGGACUUAAAAAAUUUCAACUUAAUUUUAGUCCAUAGAUCAUGAGCAUCAACAAAUAAAUCACUAUCACUACUCAUGAUGGCAAAAUAAGCACCUCGAGAAAGAGAGUCAACUAAGAUGUUGCAAGCAUGGUGAUUGAGAGAUAGACAUCUUAAUUCAUCAUUUGAAGGAUUUUUACUAAUAUCAGAGGGAAAAAUACUUCUACUAAAGAUCUAUCUUAAAUCAGGAUCAAUAUGCAUGAAAGCCUUGUAAAUAGAGACAGACCAAGAUUUAUAAUUAGAACCAUCGCCUAGAAGCAAUUCUAGAGUUACCUCUUAUGACGACAUCGUUAUCUCCGGACGGCUAAGCCCACACUGGAGAGGCCUAGCUCUGAUACCAAUUGAAAGUUCCCUUUGCUCGGGAACAGGAUCUGGAUGUCGCCUAGAGGGGGGUGAAUAGGCGAAUAAUAAUUAUCACUUUAAAACCUUAAAUUCUUACUCUACUCGAAGGCUGGAUCGCAGUGGAAUGAAAGACCCUUCGAGUAGGUUGCAGCGGAAUGGAAGAUCCUGCCUUAAGAUGCCCUACACUUCAAAUAUAACUUGUACCACAGAUAAGUAUUGAAGUGCAGAUAUAAAGAGUAGGUGAGACAGAGAAUCAGCACACAACACAGAGCAGAGCACAUAGACGCCGGGAUUUAUCCCGAGGUUCGGCCAAGCCUGAAAUGCUUGCCUAGUCCUCGUUGGAGUUAGCCACACCUGGGCUUGGAUUCUAUUUCAACUCCUUCCUCCAUUUGCUCAGAUCUGUUAGUAUGACAGAUAGAGCCUUCCACAAUGUUUAGAUUGGUUACAACAACGUCGUGGCUGCUUACAGUCUUCUUGACAGCACUCCGGUAGAGUAACAAUUUGCUCAAGACUUUGCUCUAUCUCUCAGCAGCACUUCUCCACUCUCUAAAGGCUUAUAGCUUUGCCUCCACACAAACUAGAGAGAUAUACAUGAGAGGGAGAGAGAGAGAGAAUUGAUCCAAAUGAUGAAUACAAUUGUUGGCUGCACUUGUGUCACUGUUGGAGGCGCCUAGGGGUCCCUUUUAUAGACCCAAGGGGCCUAGGAGUCAUUGGAAUUCAUUUUGGAAGGCAAUAUUAGCUUUCUGUUGGGUGGCGCACCGGACAGUCCGGUGCACCACCGAACAGGUCAUGUAGCUUGUCCGGUGCACGAUCUCCUUCCAUAUCAGGCUCAGCUGACCGUUGGAGCAACGGUCCCCUUGGCUCACCGGACACUGUGAGGUGCACAUCGGACAGUCCGAUGCGCCAACUAACCGUUGGCCCAGGCCACGCGUCACCCGCUGAUUGCGCUACCGACCGUUGGCGUGGGCGCCGUUUGCUCACCGGACAGUCUGGUGCACCACCGAACAGUCUGAUGAAUUUUAGCCACGAACCCCCACAGAUUCCCGAGAGUUGGCAGUUCACCGCCGAGUCAGCCUCGGCCACCGGACACUGUCCGGUGCACCAUCAGACAGUCCAGUGUGCCAGGCUGGUGCUGGUUUUGGCUAUAUAAAAUCAUAUCUUCUCCAGCUCUUUUCUUCUUUUGUUGGCACUGUUUCUAGCACUCAGAUAACAAUGUUAGUGAACAAAACAAUUCACUGAGUCCAGAAACAUACCUUGUUCACUUCUAGAGCUUGAUCUUGAGCUUUAUGACUUACACCACAUAAUUGUAGAUGUUACCCCAUUGGUUGUAAGUCAUGACAUCAUGUAGUGAUACUUGAUACACCAUAACUCUUCUUAACUCGAUCAACCUUGACUUUGCAAGUCUUCUUCUUCACCCCUGGCUUUGGGUUCCUGGUCUCCUUGACCUUCCCCCGUGCACUCGGUACCUCGAAGCUCUUCUUGCCUCCAUCUUUGGCUUGAUCGGUUGUCUCUGAGUUACGCACAUCGGGUCUCACUUAAGCAAUGUCCAUCUUACUUGUGAUGUCCAUUGUCUAUAGAUAAUCUAGUCUUUGGACCAUCAUACUUGUUCACUUGUGUUGAACCCUGUUAGCUUUGCAUUAAGCACCUGUUCAACACUUAGCACACUUGUUAGUCCUUUAAUUUGGGCUGUCAUCUAAACACCAAAACCCACAAGAGAGCUUUCAGAGACGCAACAGCAUCAGACGGUAAGUUCAAGCUUCUUUUCCUUUCAUUGUAUGAGCGUCCAGUUCAUUUCAGUUUAGAUAUUGCUUCAUAAAAAAGUCUAAUACAACCAUUUCUAGAUGUGGUUACGUACAAGGACUAGUUUUAAGUUUCAGCGUUAUGUUUGCAGGUUCUAAUGACAAGAAAAGGAAGUUCUAUCCUGAUGACCUAAAGAUUGCCAUUUACCUUGACUUGCCAAAAAUUGUUCCACCUAUUCUUGGCCAUGGAGUUUCAAAAUCGGUUUCUGAAAAAUUUGGAGUGCCUUUAAGAGUUGUACAGUCCAUUUUGAAAAAUGGACAGCUGAAGAAAGAGGGAUGCCAAUCUUCAUCCAACAAUACAAUGCUAGGACUCACAUUGGUGUAGAUGAUUGUAACGCCUUGAAUUUGGGGGUAGAAUUUUUUCUUCUUUUCUCUCACCAAAUUCAGGCAUUACCCUUUCCUUUUCCCUUUUUCUCCUCGCUAAGCCUUGAUUUUUUUCCAAAAGUUAUAGCGAGAAUUAGCUCGACAUCUUGUGUAAGCAAAACCUAGAACUUUUUUGGUUGUUGCAUCAUGCCGGAUUAUGCACUCUUUUUGUUUGUGGUUGGGUGAGUUGGAGAAUUAGGCAUAUAAGAAAUAGGGGUUAUAGAAAAUGGAAAAUAGGAAAAAGAAACUUUUUCUUUUUCUCUCUCCCCCUUUCUCCCCUUUUGGCCCAGCCGCCCCCCCCCUUCGCGCCGGCCCAGCCGCCCCCCUUCCCUCCCCCGCCGUGGCCCGUCCCAGCCCAACCGCGCCCGCCCCCUCCCCCCCUUUGGGCCCAAGCGGCCCAGCCGCCCCCUCCCCCCUUUUUUCCCAAAAAUUCCCUCCUCGCGGGCCCCGCCCGUCAUCCUCCCUCCCUCUCUCCCUCUCCCUAACCCUAACCGCCGCCGCCGCCGCCGCCCCUUCCCCAGCACCGCCGCCGGCCGCCCCCGCCUCGGUGAGGCCCCCCUCCCCUCCCUUCCCCAUUCCCCGCCCGCCGGCGCCGCUCCCUGGCGCGCCACCCCAGGCCCGCGCCCGCCCCUCGCCGUGGCAAGGCCGCCCCGCCCCGUCCGCUCGGCGGCCCGGCUCGGCCGCCUCUCCGGCGAGCCGCCCCCCCCCCCCCCCGGCGAGCUCGGCCCCGCCCCCGUCCCCGACCUCGGCCGCCCCGUGCUCGGCCCCCUCCGGCGAGCCGCCCCGCCCCUUCCCCGCCCUCGCCUCGGCCGCGUCCAGCGAGCCGCCCCCGACCUCGGCCGCCCCCAGCGAGCCCGCCCCGUGCCCCGGCUCGACCGCCCCCCGGCGACCCGCCCGCCCCCGUGCUCGGCCGCCCCGCCCGCCCACGUGCCCGGCUCGGCCCCCCCCCCCCCCCCCCCCGUGCGAGCUCCGCCCGUCCCCGGCCAUGGCGCCCGCGCCCGGCUCGGCCGCCCCCGCCGCGCCCGUCCCCGGCGAGCCCCGCGCCCGGCCCGGUCGCCCUCACCGUCGCCCGUGUUCGCCCGCCCGCCCCCGCUGCGCCUGUCCCCGGCAAGCCCCGCGCCCGGCCCGGCCGCCCUCGCCGUCGCCCGUGUUCGCCCGCCCGCCACGGCGUGGCGCCGGCGUGCCUUGCUCGUGUCGUGAUGGCCCCGACGCGGCAUCGAGCUCGGCCCAGCGUGCCUUGGCGCGCGGCCUCGAGCUCGGCCAGCGCACGGCCCCGACGCGUGCGCGACUCGUUCGCGGCACGUUAAGCGUGGCUUUGCGCGUGCGCGUGCCCGCGAUGCGACGCAUAGCGCCCUGUCGCGUCCGCGACACGAUCGUCUACCCCGAGCCACCCGUCUAACCCCCCCCCCCCCCGUGCAUUCCGUGCGUAGUGAUCAUGUUACAUAAUCAAUAAAUGGAAACCCAAAUUAGAAAUUGUUUACGUUAGUUAAUUUGUAUAGCUAAUCGUCUAUCUUAUUCAAUGUUAAUCUACUAAAAGUGGUCACGUUUACAUUAGUGCAUGUAGCUAAUUCUUAUCAUUGAAGCUAAGUAGAACUAGAGCACGUAGCCUGUAGUUAUUCGUCUACCCGUAGUGCGCCUCGAGCAUAAGCCUUAACCCCUGCGAGACCGUUCCCCGUUUCUUUCUAACCAUGGUAAAUUCAUUAUCGUAUGUGAUAUUCUAUGCGUAUUUACUUUAUUUGUUCUUUUGUAUGGUGUACUGUUUGUUUCCUAAUUUGAAUGGAUGGAUGUAUGUAUGCUUGCAAUCGCAUAGAGAACGAUUCGGUCGAGGAGCCCGAAGAACUCGCAGGAGAAGUCCCUGAGCAGCAGUCGGUUGGUGGAGGCAAGUGUCCCUUGACCUAUCUCUGUCCUAUUCAUUCUUUAAUUCACCUCCUGCAUUACACAUUUAUACCUAAGGAUUGACUAGCUUUUGUUAUCCAUGUCCUUGUUUACCUAUUUGGGUUGGAUUAUUAUUGCUUAGUCUUAUGCUAUUGCUCAACUCUAAUCAAUGAACAUGAUGAGAAUGUUCAAUGAUACGCUGUUUUUCCCCUUCUUAUUAUGAUGUUAUACUUGUGGCCUUUAAGGGGGCUCGAGCGGUUUCUCGAGUGCCUCUCCGUAAGGACCUGUUCUUUGGAUGACCACCCGGGAAAACAGUGCAACCAUGAGGGUGGAGUGGGACGCCCUUAGCUGAAUAAUUAGAGGAACCGGGGUGUAGUUCGCUUAGCCGUUGUGCCGUCAAUGGGGCUCGGUGUAUGCGGCUCGCUCUGCCAAGGUUGAUUUGUCCCUUGGGGAGGAGUGUGGUACAUUUAGGAAACCUAACGGGCGGCUACAGCCCCGGGGAAUCUUUGUAAAGGCUACGUAGUGAUGCCCUGCUGGGUCACCUUGGUAGUGAUCAAUGGAGAGUCAUGAUCUCCGGGCAGAAAGGGAAUCACGGCUUGUGGGUAAAGUGCACAACCUCUGCAGAGUGUUUGAAAACUGAUAUAUCAGCCGUGCUCGCGGUUAUGAGCGGCCAAGGGAGCUCCAGUGAUUAGUGGUACAUGAUCAGAGACACUUUGGUUUGCAGGUGGCAAUGAGACUGAUGGUUUUGGUUAUGACUAUGGUAAUGGUAAGUGGUAUUCUUUCCGUUUGGAAAGAGUACGUUUGGGUUAAUAAUGUGGGUUAACUCUAAAACUUGGCUUUCUCUACUAGUAAUAACAAAUCUGACCAACUAAAAGCAACUGCUUGACUUACCCCCACAUAAAGCUAGUCCACUACAGCCAAACAGGAUACUUGCUGAGUAUGUUGAUGUGUACUCACCGUUGCUCUACACACCAAACCCCCCCAGGUUGUCAGCAUUGCAACCACUGCUCAGGAGAAGAUAAAGCCGUGGAAGGAGACUUCCAGGAGUUCCAAGACUACGACGAGUUCUAGGCGUGGGUUAGCGGCAAACCCCCAGUCGGCUGCCUGUGAAGGCCGCGUUUAUCUACGUUUCUUUUCCGCACUUUGAUUAUUGUAAAGACUAUGUGGAUGUCUCAGACAUAUGAUGUAAUCGACUAUUACUUCCCUUUUUAAUACUAUUUGAGCACUGUGUGAUGAUGUCCAUGUUAUGUAACUGAUGUGUACGUGAAUUGCUGAUCCUGGCACGUACAUGGUUCACAUUCGGUUUACCUUCUAAAACCGGGUGUGACAUAAGGUGGAAUCAAAGCCGUGCUGACUGUAGGACCGCUAACCUAGAGUAGAAUGGUCGUUCUAAGGAUUAUAGACCUUUGUCCUUGCCUUGACUUUGGUAUCCCUUCAAAAGUUGGUCAUAUCGACCAAAAUUAUGUUCUACUAUAUAUUAUACCUUGCCGAAAUUUGUGUUUUAUUCUAAUCCUUCAUUUAUUUAUGAUUUAUUACUUGCUGGUCAUAUUAAUUCUGUUCUCACUCUUUUACUUGCGGUGUCUUUUGUAGAUGGCUCGUCUUAGACACACUGCACGGAAGUCUGUCAUCCCCUUCUUACCCUCCCGCUUGAUGAGCGUCCGCUUCGCCGUCCCGUGGCCGGACAGUCCAGCCACUUGGAGAGGUUGCACCACCGCCUGCAUGAGGAGCAGGAGCGUCGACGACAGGAGCAGCAGGGCUCUUCUUUCUCGCUCCAGCAGGAGAUAGAGUCUGUAAGGAGCUGCUCCCCUGUGCUCCCCCUGGAGGCGCCCCCUGCACCACCACUGAGCGCCCCAGUCCCUGGAGUAGCUACUGGAGGAGACCCAGACGACGGAGGAGGCGACGACAGCUCGAGCCACGACACCGACUUCUCUGCUGACCAGGAGCCGAAAGGAUGGGUUGCUCGACCCAUCACUCGCGACGCUGCUCGCAGGUGUCACUUCCAUGAUGCGCUCGACACCCUGCUACGUCGGGCACUUAACCGGCGUACUUGGUCCAUCGAGUAUCGCUGUGUGGUCUACCAGCAUAGUCGCGGGGUCUACCCGGACUGCUGGGAGGCGACCUGCUUGGUGCGCCGUCCGGAGAACAGUCUCCAGGGCGCGGAGGCCUGCUCAGAGCACUAUUCCAUCUCUGAGCGGGACUCAGCUGAGGCGGUCAUGCAAGAUGUCGCACGGUGUGCGCUUUCGCACUACUGCUCGGUUCUCGGUGGGGUAGCUGACGGUCUCGACCUGAAGUAUUACCCCCGUCGUCCAUCUGGCAGCACAGGAGGCGUGAUUGUCUCACCUGUUGGUGAGGACAAUCCUAGGUUGAGCAGCACAGUCAACCUAGCCGUCGUGCUAAACACGGAGCUGGACCAUGCGCUAGACGAGCUGAGUAGGGCUCGUGCUGAGGUCGCCCUGCUGCGGGCCGAGCGUGCGGAGCGUCAUCACCUGGACGAUGGUUCCCCCGCUCCCGUCGGGACUCAGCACCCGUACCGCUCACCUCGGCGUGGAUACCAGUCUUAUGGCAACCCCGACUGCAAGACCAAGAUAAAUUCAGAACCAUAGAUCGUCAGAGUCGGACCUUGUAAUUAAUACGAAAUAUAUAUAUAUAGAAGCUAUAAUCUUAGCAUUAGUCUCGCUUUUAGUUAGUCUUAGUUAGACAGGGUAGUUUGCUAUACCCUGUGCAUUUGUGUUUGUCAUGAUGAACUAUGUUUGAUUUGGAUCUUUGUAAUGACUGUCACCAGAAUGUGGGUGUCCCCUGCAUUUUGGUUUACCUGUUAUAUGUUAAUGGAGUUAGCUAUUUAGUUGGGAAGCCUUUUAUUCCACUUUCCACUUUAUCUGAGAAGCUGUGUUGGCCUGUGUUGGAGAUCAGUGAAGAUGCUCAUCUGUUUAGCGUUGUGGAGAAUUCUAUACUCUUUUCUUAUGCUGCAAGAUUUGCAAGAUCAGUUCUGAUGUGUGGUUGCGUUCUGCAGAUGUCAGAAAAUAGACGCAGAGGGGGAAGGCGUGCUCAGCCGGAGCAGGCAGCUCCGCAAGAUGAAGUGCCCCAGCAACAGCAUCUACCGCCCCCGCCCCCGAUGUCCAUCGAGCAGAUGUUUCUGAUGCAGACUCAGGCAGUUCAAGCCAUCGGUCAGACUCUGGCCACCAUUCAGCAGCAGCAGCAACAACAACAGCAGCAGGCACCACCUCAGCCUCAGAUGCCUCAGAUGCCCAGGGACAAGCGUGCUGAAUUCAUGAGAGGUCAUCCCCCAACGUUCGCUCAUUCUUCUGACCCCAUGGAUGCUGAAGACUGGCUGCACACUGUGGAGCGGGAGUUGCAUACCGCUCAGUGUGACGACAGAGAGAAAGUCUUGUAUGGUCCUCGUCUGUUGAGAGGAGCAGCCCAGUCAUGGUGGGAGUCUUAUCUCGCCACCCAUGCCAACCCCGACGCCAUCACUUGGGAAGAGUUCAGAGGUAGCUUUCGUUAGUAUCAUGUUCCUGCAGGUCUGAUGACAGUGAAGAAGGAGGAGUUCCUGGCCCUUAAGCAAGGGUCGAUGUCAGUCAGUGAGUAUCGAGACAGGUUUCUGCAAUUGUCUCGCUAUGCUCCUGAAGAUGUCAACACCGACGCCAAGAGACAAUACCGUUUCCUGAAAGGCUUGGUUGACCCUCUGCACUAUCAGCUGAUGAAUCAUACCUUUCUGACGUUCCAGCACUUGAUUGACAGAGCAAUCAUGACAGAGAGGAAGCGUAAGGAGAUGGAGGAUCGUAAGCGAAAGAUCAGUGGACCCCAGCCUAGAAGCAGCAAUCGUCCUCGUUUCUCAGGCAACCAACCUCAGCAGUUCAGGCAGAACCAGCGUCCACCUCAGCAGCGUUAGCAGUUCCAAAGGCAGUAUCCUCAGCACCAGUAUCAGAACCGUCAGAGCAAUCAGUCAGGAGGAGGUCAGUUUCAGAGGUAGAAUCAGCAGGCACCACGUCUUCCUGCCCCAGCAGCCCAGCAGAACAGUCAGGCAGCACCAGCUCAGGUUGGAAAUAGGGCAUGUUUCCACUGUGGGGAGCAAGGCCAUUGGGUGAUGCAAUGUCCGAAGAAGGCAGCCCAGCAGCAAUCAGGCCCCAAUGCCCCAGCGAAGCAGAACGUGUCUCAGCCUGGAGCAGGCAACCGCUCUCAGCCGCGUUAUAAUCAUGGGAGACUGAACCACUUGGAGGCUGAAGCAGUUCAGGAGACCCCCGGCAUGAUAGUAGGUAUGUUCCCAGUCGACUCCCAUAUUGCAGAAGUGUUAUUUGAUAUUGGAGCAACGCAUUCUUUCAUUACUGCAUCAUGGGUAGAAGCACAUAAUCUUCCAAUAACUACAAUGUCAAACCCCAUUCAAAUUGACUCAGCCGGUGGUAGAAUUCGAGCCGAUAGCAUUUGUUUGAAUGUAAGUGUGGAAAUAAGGGGGAUAGCGUUUCCCGCCAACCUCAUAGUAAUGGGUACUCAGGGAAUAGAUGUCAUCCUAUGGGUGAAUUGGCUAGACAAGUAUCAGGCAGUUAUCAGUUGUGAUAAAAGGACAAUCAAGUUGGUGUCCCCACUAGGAGAGGAAGUGGUGACCAAGUUAGUCCCGCCUGAGCCAGAGAAGGGAAGUUGUUAUCAGAUGGUCGUUGAUAGCAGUGAAGCAGACCCAAUUGAGAGUAUCAAGGUUGUGUCCGAGUUCCCAGAUGUGUUUCCAAAGGACUUACCAGGAAUGCCACCAGAGCAGAAAGUUGAGUUUGCCAUAGAGCUUCUUCCUGGAACCGCCCCCAUCUUCAAGAGAGCUUACAGAAUAUCCGGACCAGAGUUAGUUGAACUUAAAAAGCAGAUUGAUGAGCUGUCAGAGAAAGGUUACAUUCGGCCAAGCACCUCACCUUGGGCUGCCCCUGUCCUAUUCGUGGAGAAGAAAGAUGGCACCAAAAGGAUGUGUAUCGAUUAUCGAGCUCUGAAUGAAGUCACAAUCAAGAACAAGUACCCUUUGCCCAGAAUAGAAGAUCUGUUCGACCAGUUGAGAGGAGCCAGUGUGUUCUCCAAGAUUGAUCUGAGGUCAGGUUAUCAUCAGCUCAGGAUUCGACCUUCAGACAUUCCGAAGACGGCAUUCAUUACCAAGUAUGGGUUGUAUGAAUUCACUGUGAUGUCUUUCGGUCUAACAAAUGCACCGUCCUUCUUUAUGAAUCUGAUGAAUAGUGUAUUCAUGGACUAUCUUGAUAAGUUUGUGGUGGUAUUUAUUGAUGACAUUCUGAUUUAUUCUCAAAGCGAAGAAGAGCAUGCAAAUCAUUUGAAGAUGGUAUUGCAGAGAUUGCGAGAACACCAGCUGUAUGCAAAGUUAAGCAAGUGUGAAUUCUGGAUCAAUGAAGUCCGGUUCUUGGGUCACAUAAUCAAUAAAGAAGGAUUGGCUGUGGAUCCGAAGAAAGUGGCAGACAUUCUGAACUGGAAAGCGCCAACAGAUGCUCGAGGAAUCAAGAGCUUCAUUGGAAUGGCCGGAUAUUAUCGGCAAUUCAUUGAAGGGUUUUCGAAGAUUGUGAAACCAAUGACAGCGUUGCUAGGCAACAAGGUCGAGUUCAAGUGGACCCAGAAAUGUCAAGAGGCCUUUGAAGCGCUGAAAGAGAAGUUGACUACGGCGCCUGUCUUAGUCUUGCCUGAUGUGCACAAGCCCUUCUCGGUGUAUUGCGAUGCUUGUUACACUGGUUUAGGAUGUGUGUUGAUGCAAGAGGGAAGAGUUGUGGCUUACUCGUCCCGACAGUUGAAGGUUCACGAGAAGAAUUACCCAAUCCAUGAUCUAGAGUUGGCAGCAGUGGUUCACGCACUGAAGGCAUGGAGGCAUUAUCUGUAUGGACAGAAAUGCGAUGUUUACACAGACCACAAGAGUCUGAAGUACAUAUUCACUCAGUCAAAGCUGAAUAUGAGGCAACGAAGAUGGUUGGAGCUGAUCAAAGACUACGAGUUGGAGAUUCAUUACCAUCCAGGCAAAGCGAACGUAGUGGCAGAUGCUUUGAGCAGGAAGAGUCAGGUCAAUCUGAUGGUCGCUCGUCCGAUGCCUUAUGAGUUGGCCAAAGAGUUUGACAGGUUGAGUCUCGGGUUUCUAAAUAAUUCGCGAGGAGUCACAGUCGAGUUGGAACCUACAUUGGAGCGAGAAAUCAAAGAAGCGCAAAAGAAUGAUGAGAAGAUCAGUGAGAUCCGGUGACUGAUUCUAAAUGGCAGAGGCAAAGAUUUUCGGAAAGAUGCAGAAGGUGUGAUAUGGUUCAAAUACCGCUUGUGUGUUCCCAAUGUCCAGUCUAUUCGGGAGUUGAUUCUUAAGGAAGCUCAUGAGACAGCCUAUUCGAUUCACCCUGGCAGUGAGAUGAUGUAUCAGGAUCUGAAGAAGAAAUUCUGGUGGUACGGAAUGAAGAGGGAAAUCCCAGAGCAUGUGGCAAUGUGUGAUAGUUGUCGGCGGAUCAAGGCAGAGCACCAGAGACCAGCUGGAUUGUUGCAACCGUUGCAAAUUCCUCAGUGGAAAUGGGAUGAAAUCGGCAUGGACUUCAUAGUCGGAUUGCCUCGCACUCGAGCCGGCUAUGAUUCCAUUUGGGUAGUAGUGGACCGCUUGACCAAGUCAGCCCACUUCAUACCUGUCAAGACCAACUACAGCAGUGCAGUAUUGGCGGAGCUGUACAUGUCUCGGAUCGUUUGUCUUCACGGUGUGCCAAAGAAGAUAGUGUCAGACAGAGGAACUCAAUUCACCUCUCAUUUGUGGCAGCAGUUGCAUGAAGCCUUGGGCACGCAUCUGAAUUUUAGUUCAGCCUAUCAUCCGCAGACAGACGGUCAGACUGAAAGGACCAAUCAAAUUCUUGAAGACAUGUUGAGAGCCUGUGCGUUGCAAGAUCAUUUUGGAUGGGAUAAGAAGUUGCCUUAUGCAGAGUUCUCCUAUAACAACAGUUACCAGGCCAGCUUGAAGAUGUCACCAUUUCAGGCGCUUUAUGGGAGGAGUUGUAGAACUCCGUUGCAAUAAGAUCAGCCUGGAGAAAAGCAAGUGUUUGGGCCAGACAUUUUGCUUGAAGCUAAAGAGAACAUCAAGAUGGUUCGAGAGAACCUGAAGAUAGCGCAAUCAAGGCAGCGAAGCUAUGCAGACACAAGAAGAAGAGAGCUGAGUUUCGAAGUCGGAGACUUCGUCUAUCUGAAAGUGUCACUGAUCAGAGGAGUCAGAAGGUUCGGAGUCAAAGGCAAGCUAGCACCCCACUACAUUGGUCCGUACCAAAUUCUCUCAAGGCGUGGAGAAGUGGCCUAUCAGCUCAGUUUGCCAAAAGAUUUGUCUGUCGUGCAUGAUGUUUUUCAUGUGUCUUAGUUGAAAAAGUGUCUGCGAGUGCCAGAAGAGCAGUUGCCAGUUGAAGGUCUUGAAGUCCAGGAGGACUUGACCUACACAGAGAAACCAGCGCAAAUCCUUGAGAUGGCAGACAGAGUCACUCGAAGGAAGACCAUCAGAAUGUGCAAAGUCAGAUGGAACCAUCACUCUGAGGAAGAAGCAACCUGGGAGCGUGAAGAUGAUCUGCUGGCCAAAUACCCUGAGCUCUUUGCUAGCCAACCCUGAAUCUCGAGGGCGAGAUUCUUUUAAGGGGGAUAGGUUUGUAACGCCCUGAAUUUGGGGGUAGAAUUUUUUCUUCUUUUCUCUCACCAAAUUCAGGCGUUACCCUUUCCUUUUCCCUUUUUCUCCUCGCUAAGCCUUGAUUUUUUUUCCAAAAGUUAUAGCGAGAAUUAGCUCGACAUCUUGUGUAAGCAAAACCUAGAACUUUUUUGGUUGUUGCAUCAUGCCGGAUUAUGCCCUCUUUUUGUUUGUGGUUGGGUGAGUUGGAGAAUUAGGCAUAUAAGAAAUAGGGGUUAUAGAAAAUGGAAAAUAGGAAAAAGAAAAACCUUUUCUUUUUCUCUCUCCCCCCUUUCUCCCCUUUUGGCCCAGCCGCCCCCCCCCCUCGCGCUGCCCCCCCCCCCUUCCCCCCUUCCCUCCCCGCCGUGGGCCGUCCCGGCCCAACCGCGCCCGCCCCCUCCCCCCUUUGGGCCCAAGCGGCCCAGCCGCCCCCUCCCCCCCUUUCCCAAAAUUUCCCUCCCCGUGGGCCCCGCCCGUCAUCUUCCCUCCCUCUCUCCCUCUCCCUAACCCUAACCACUGCCGCCGCCCUAGCGCCGCCGCCGGCCGCCCCCGCCUCGAUGAGGCCCCCUCCCCUCCCUUCCCCCUUCCCCGCCCGCCGGCGCCGCUCCCCGGCGCGCCACCCCGGCCCGCCCCGCCCCUCGCCGCGGCAAGGCCGCCCCCGGCUCGGCGCCCCGCUCGGCCGCCCCUCCGGCAAGCCGCCCCCCCGGCGAGCUUGGCCCGCCCCCGUCCCUGACCUCGGCGCCCCGUGCUCGGCCCCCUCCGGCGAGUCGCCCCGCCCCUUCCCCGCCCUCGCCUCGGCCGCGUCCGGCGAGCCGCCCCCGUCCCCGACCUCGGCCGCCCCCGCGGCCCGCCGCGCCCCGGCUCGGCCGCCCCCGGCGAGCCCGCCCCGUGCCCCGGCUCGCCGCCCCCGGCGACCCGCCCGCCCCCGUGCUCGGCCGCCCCGCCGCCCCCGUGCCCGGCUCGGCCCCCCCCCCCCCCGCGCGAGCCCCGCCUGUCCCCGGCCAUGGCGCCCACGCCCGGCUCGGCCGCCCUCGCCGUCGCCCGUGUUCGCCCGCCCGCCCCGGCGUGCCUUGCUCGUGUCGUGAUGGCCCCGGCGCGGCCUCCGAGCUCGGCCAGCGCACGGCCCCGACGCGUGCGCGACUCGUUCGCGGCACGUUAAGCGUGGCUUUGCGCGUGCGCGUGCCCGCGCAGCGCCUUGGCGUAGCUCAUCGUGCCCGCGACGCGAAGCAUAGCGCCCUGUCGCGUCCGCGACACGAUCGUCUACCCCGAGCUGCCCGUCUACCCCCCCCCCCCCGGUGCAUUCCGUGUGUAGUGAUCAUGUUAUGUAAUCAAUAAAUGGAAACCCAAAUUAGAAAUUGUUUACGUUAGUUAAUUUGUAUAGCUAAUCGUCUAUCUUAUUCAAUGUUAAUCUACUAAAAGUGGUCACGUUUACAUUAGUGCAUGUAGCUAAUUCUUAUCAUUGAAGCUAAGUAGAACUAGAGCACGUAGCGUGUAGUUAUUCGUCUACCCGUAGUGCGCCUCGAGCAUAAGCCUUAACCCCUGCGAGACGUUCCCCGUUUCUUUCUAACCAUGGUAAAUUCAUUAUCGUAUGUGAUAUUCUAUGCGUAUUUACUUUAUUUGUUCUUUUGUAUGGUGUACUGUUUGUUUCCUAAUUUGAAUGGAUGGAUGUAUGUAUGCUUGCAAUCGCAUAGAGAACGAUUCGGACGAGAGCCCGAAGAACUCGCAGGAGAAGUCCCUGAGCAGCAGUCGGUUGGUGGAGGCAAGUGUCCCUUGACCUAUCUCUGUCCUAUUCAUUCUUUAAUUCACCUCCCGCAUUACACAUUUAUACCUAAGGAUUGACUAGCUUUUGUUAUCCAUGUCCUUGUUUACCUAUUGGGUUGGAUUAUUAUUGCUUAGUCUUAUGCUAUUGCUCAACUCUAAUCAAUGAACAUGAUGAGAAUGAUCAUGAUACCUGUUUUCCCCCUUUUAUUAUGAUGUUAUACUUGUGCCUUUAAGGGGGCUCGAGCGGUUUCUCGAGUGCCUCUCCGUAAGGACCUGUUCUUGGAUGACCGCCCAGGAAAACAGUGCAACCAUGAGGGUGGAGUGGGACGCCCUUAGCUGAAUAAUUAGAGGAACCGGGGUGUAGUUCGCUUAGCCGUUGUGCCAUCAAUGGGGCUCGGUGUAUGCGGCUCGCUCUGCCAAGGUUGAUUUGUCCCUUGGGGAGGAGUGUGGUACAUUUAGGAAACCUAACGGGCGGCUACAGCCCCGGGGAAUCUUUGUAAAGGCUACGUAAUGAUGCCCUGCUGGGUCACCUUGGUAGUGAUCAAUGGAGAGUCAUGAUCUCCGGGCAGAAAGGGAAUCACGGCUUGUGGGUAAAGUGCACAACCUCUACAGAGUGUUUGAAAACUGAUAUAUUAGCCGUGCUCGCGGUUAUGAGCGGCCAAGGGAGCUCCAGUGAUUAGUGGUACAUGAUCAGAGACACUUGGUUUGCAGGUGGCAAUGAGACUGAUGGUUUUCGUUAUGACUAUGGUAAUGGUAAGUGGUAUUCUUUCCGUUUGGAAAGAGUACGUUUGGGUUAAUAAUGUGGGUUAACUCUAAAAGUUGGCUUUCUCUACUAGUAAUAACAAAUCUGACCAACUAAAAGCAACUGCUUGACUUAUCCCCACAUAAAGCUAGUCCACUACAGCCAAACAGGAUACUUGCUGAGUAUGUUGAUGUGUACUCACCCUUGCUCUACACACCAAACCCCCCCAGGUUGUUAGCAUUGCAACCACUGCUCAGGAGAAGAUGAAGCCGUGGAAGGAGACUUCCAGGAGUUCCAAGACUACGACGAGUUCUAGGCGUGGGUUAGCGGCAAACCCCCAGUCGGCUGCCUGUGAAGGCCUCGUUUAUCUACGUUUCUUUUUCGCACUUUGAUUAUUGUAAAGACUAUGUGGAUGUCUCAGACAUAUGAUGUAAUCGACUAUUACUUCCCUUUUUAAUACUAUUUGAGCACUAUGUGAUGAUGUCCAUGUUAUGUAACUGCUGUGUACGUGAAUUGCUGAUCCUGGCACGUACAUGGUUCGCAUUCGGUUUACCUUCUAAAACCGGGUGUGACAAUGAUCCAUCGUUUGUGACAGCCGCCAAAGAAGAUGGUUGGGACAUUAGGCUAACAUGUCCUAAUUCACCUGAUCUGAAUGUUUUGGAUCUUGGAUUUUUUGCUGCAAUCCAAUCUUUGUUUGAGAAAGGUACACCAAACAACAUUAGCGAAAUUCUCAGAAAGGUUGAUGAGUCAUAUCAGAAUUAUCAUGUGGAUAGAUCAAACCGAAUUUUCCUAACCCAGCAGGGUUGUAUGAUGGAGAUCAUGAAGCAAAAUGGUGGCCAGCACUACAACAUUCCUCACAUGAAGAAGAAGACCCUGGAGUUGCAAGGAUGACUUCCCGUUACUCUGAAGUGCCCUUUGCAGCUUCAUAAUCAAGCCAUGCAAUUCGUCGGUACUUAGAAUUGUUUUAGUCCAGAUACAGUUAGCAUGUGUCGGUUUUUGUUAGUGAUAUCAGGUUCAUUAGCUCGAAUGCAAACUGCAUGCAAAAUAAAAAAUUCAAGAUUUCACCUGCAACUCAUGAUAAACUUGUUUACACUGUUCAGAUUACAUCCAACAUAAAAAAUCAAGGAAAAAACUAAACAAAGGCAUACCCAUGAACAAGGCCACGUCCAAUCCAAAACAAAGUUACAGAGGCAUCGUAAACUUGUUGUUCAUGUUGUCCAUACAAAAGAGGAAGAUAGACAGGGAGCAGCAAGGUAGCACAAUCUUCUUUUUCCUUGUCAGAUUGAAACUUGGUUACCUCUGUUGAUGCAAGUUGCAUUAGAGCAUGAACAUCAACGUCAUCUUCUUCGGCAGCAAUAUUCUCCUGUUGAUCCUUGUCUUCUUCGUCGCUUGAAUCUGGCACCCAGUUGACACCACGAAUGAGCUUCUCUGGUACAGACGAUUCUAGUUGAUCCUCCAUGGCAAGCACCAGUGUGACUACAUGAAGUGCGCGCGCGAUAGCACAACAGUGUGGAGUGGAGCGGCAGCACACGUUGAUGCUCCAUAAAGAAGCUAACGGGAUGGUGAGCUAGCAGCGCAUUAAUGACGCCACUGUAGAAACGAAACGAUGGAUAUAGGAAACAAAGCGCCUGCUACUGAGCAAACCAAGAACGGAGCUAAUACGACGGAGAUUUGUAGAAAAACGCAAAACGCUCAUGCGACGGAGAUUUAGGAACAGAGGAAGUAAUACACUAUUCUACAAUCUUUCAUUAUUAAUAAGGUUUGGGCUUUUAUAUUUUGCAUACUUUGUAUUUGGUUCUUAUUAUUGUGAUUAAAAUAAGCAUGUACUAAAAUGUUAGUGGGUGUUAGUGGGUGUUGAUACUCGAUGGAUAUGUGUUAGGUGCGGAUACUCGAUGGAUAUCUGUUAUCCAUGUGAGUGGUGUAUAUGGAGUAAUUUUAUACCCAUCUUUACUAUAUUAAAGUUCUAGUUUUAACGGUCACCUCGCGCCAUUCUUUUAUAAAAAACCCCCUUUUAUUUGUUUGAAAUCAACUUGCGACUCUCUGCCUCAGCUAGAGGAAUAGACAGAUGGAUAGCCUAUAGAACACACACCCUCCCUUUCUCUCUCUACUAUCUACGGCUCCAAUCUCCCCCAACCUAUUCGUCGCCCCUCUCUCAUGCCCCUCCCCCACUGUUGCCCCAUGGCCGAUGCGCUGCCUUCGUCUCUCUUCCCCACUGCCAUGACAGGCAGAUUAUCGGAUCCGCACUGGUAAGGGAGAUUUGGAUUGUCAGGUGGCAUCUAGGCUGGCCUGAUGCCAUCCAAACCGUCUCGGUGGCAUUAUCCGGGUAGGUCCCGUAGAGGGAUCACUGAUUUUGGACUUGGGAGAUGGAGUUUCUCCGCUCUAGAUUGAGCCCGGGGAGAGGUCGUGUUGUGGACCUGCCUCCUCGGCGGCCGGCACGUGUCGCCUCCUGACUCACCCCCUCGGCAUGUGUAGGUCUUCAUGGUCAUGGCGCCACCCACGCCUCCUGUCCUUUCUAUCUGCUGGUGAGGCCUCUCCUGGUAGGUCAGCUAGAAAAUUUAUUAACCGUGUGAUCGCUACGUAGCCUAUCCCCACUGGUUAUCCUCAAUCACUUGGCUUGGCGUGUAGAUGCAAGGUAUGAGCUACGUCAUGCUGUCAUGCCUGUGGUUUGGUUGCAAGAUCUCCAGAUCAUGUGCGGAUGUAUUGCGGGUCUCAUGUAUUUCUAAGGAUACUCAACAUGCGAUCUGGUGCAGGGGUACUUUAGCAGUAGAUUUUGUGUGUGUCUCUCAUCAUGGGGUUUAAUUAUGGUCUGGUAGGUCUACUAGAGUGGAGUUUGAAAUGACACUAACCAACAUUGUUAUAGUGUUUUCCAUUAUUUGUUAUACCUUUUGUAGUUAUAACAAUCAGUCCAUCCUAUGUUAUGCUCGUUAGAGGUUAAUUUAGGAACUAUAGGAUUAAGGUAAAUUAUUGCCCUAAAUUAUUCAUUUAUUGUCACAAGUAGCUUUGUGUAGUCACCUGUAAGGAAAAUGGACCCUGGGUCAUUUGGCUCAAUAGAUUUUGGUGUUUGAUGAACAACAUAACCUGUGGACUAAUGUGUUUGCUAGUGUUUAUGUUUGUAGUCUAUAAGAUGCUAAAGUUACUUGGACUAAGGCAUUGGGGAAAGCAACACCUCAAAAGAAGACAUUAUGAAGAUCACAAGUGAAGGUCAACAAGUAUCAAGCAAAGUCCAAGAAACGAAGAAUAGUGGUGCCACACGCCGGACUGUUCCGUGCACUAGGGAACUGUAGCCCAACGACUAGUUUCAGGUGGCACUGGUGGAGAGAAGGCACCGGGCUAUCCGGUGCGACGUCCGGACUGUCCGAUGUGAAAGCCUGCAGCGCCAAUGGUCAUCUGCGGUAAUAGAUCCAACAGCUAGGCGCAUCGGAUAGGGGCACCGGACUGUCCGGUGUGCCGCAGAGAGCAGCAGCUUUUCUCCAACGGCUAGAAUUGUGUUGGGGCCUAUAAAUACCACCUCAACCGAGCAUUUCAAGGUGUGGGAGCCCAAGCAACAUACCAAGGCAUAAUUUGCCCCUCUUAAUAUCAAAUCCAAGUUCCUGUCUCUUACAAGUAUUCAAAACUUGUAUACACACUUUUAGGGGGAGGUUACUCUAUAAUCUAAGUCUUUGAGACUAAUACAUGUUUUUAAGUCUAUUUCAUAUAGUAGUCUCAUCGUAAGAAAAAAGGAGUUCCCAGAGAUAGACAAUAAGCUUCCACUGCAAAUCUACAAAAAUUCUUAUAUCUCACAAGCCUACCAUUGGCCUUCAAUUGAUUUUCAAUUCGAGAAUUCUUAUAUCUCACAAGCCAACGCCUUGAUCUAGUGUCCCUGCGAAUUUCUUGUCAAGGAUCAUCUAGCAUAGCUUCUUCUCAACAUGGUUCGUUUGCAGCUCAAUCAUCUAUACUACGUGGGUAAUCUCUACCCUUGAGUAGGGCUCAAUCAACCUGUAGACUUUCUGCUCCAUGGGAGUAUCAGAAAGAGAGGAAAGUUGCCUAUGGACAAUAGGAUCGUCUAGCUGGGCUUUGUACAUAGAGCAGUUUCAAAGUACUUCAAAGACCUUUUGGAGUAGGCAUCAGCCACAGCUUUCAUAGCAUUAAUGUCAGGACCCAGAUACUUGAGGCCAUCAUUCGGUGAGAUGAUUCCUGCAACAUCAUCAGCUUGGUUGACUAUUAUCUUGCACAAAAGCAUGUACUUCAAGUAAAUUAAAAGCUUCAAAUGCUUCGAAGAAGUAGUUGUAAAAUAACAGCAGGCCAAAUAAAAAUAAUAGCUGCACAAACCAGCAGGCAAAAUAACAGGUCCACAGAGCGCUAGGCCAAAUAAUAGCAGAGGGGGUCGACGCCCUACCCAUCGCAGUCGACAAAGGCGGAGCAGCCGUUGACGUUUCUGUCUGAGUCACAGUGCAGGUCUGUGGCGAAGUGGUAGACGACGAGGUAGUUGGUGACAAGUGCCUGGGCGAGCACGACUUGGAGGUGGUCGAGGAGAUGAGGAGACGGGCGGUGGAGAUGUAGGAUUACGGGGAGGCUACGCUAGCGCAAAACAAAAUUUUCAUCCCCAUAAUACCAAGAACUACUGCGGUUAUAGGUCAUGGAAUUACCACUAGACGCGCAGAGCAGCGGAAGACGUCUCGAUGUAGACGAACGCGUCGAGCAGUGCCGUGCAGUCGCCGGCGUCCUUCACGUCCUCGCACAGUUCGUCCAAGUGCUCCAGAUGCAGCACCUCCGAGAUAUCCACACGUACAGGGAGGAAGCGCCGCGUACCGAACUGCUAGGUUCGCGACGGCGGCUUGGCGAGGGCGAGAGGUGGGCGGCGGCUGUUAGUCCGCUGGUGGCGAAUUAGGUUAUCUUUUAACCGCGCCCCUGCCCCUCAUUAUAUAGGCGUUAUGGUGGGCUUCUGACGCCGAGGCCCAUCAUUAACCCUAAAGCCCAGUCUAAUUUCGGAUCUAAUCCGAAUUAGGCUUCCUUCCCCUUAAGUGUGUGACCCUAUAGGUUCACGUACAAAUAGACAUAGCCCGAGUACUCUUACUUGGCCCAAUAAUUGACAGCGGCCUCUAGCAAGACAUGUCAACUCCUAUGUGUACGUAAAGAUCAUAUCAGACGAACCAUUGCGACAUUAAGUACAUGUUGUUCCCUUUGUCUCACGAUAUUUGGUCUGGCUCUAAGCUGACCUCUCUUUCUCGAUACUGUGAAUUGGAAUCCUUUCAAUGGUUAACUCUUAACCCUAGCACGGCCAUGCAUUUCUUGAUCCAAUCACUCGAGGGGCCCAGAGAUAUCUCUCUCACAAAGAGAGGGACAAAUUCCAUCUUGACUGACCAUGCCUCAUAGCAUGCUUCCUGACAAACCCAAAACUACCUUUAUAACUACCCAGUUACGGGAUAGCGUUUGAUAGUCCCUAAGUAAGUCAAUUCACAUCUUGAGAACAUGCGACAAUCUCAGGUCUAAGGAUACAGUAUUCAUGUUGCAAGAAGAGAACUAUAUUACAAUAUCUCACGUUGGGUCGGUCCAGCCUCAUGUCAUACAUGCGCCCACAUUAUUAAUUUAACAUCUCCAUGUUCAUGACUUGUGAAAUGUAGUCAUCAACUAAUACAUGUGCUAGUCAUCGACUCUGACUAGGGACAUCAUUUAGAAUAACCAUAUAAGUAAAGAAUCUCACAAACAAUUCACAUAAUUGCUAAUCAAUACAAGGUGCCUUCCAUGGAUAUUCAAUUAAGCAAUAUAUAUAUCAUGGAUACAAAGAAAUAUGCUCAUCUCUAUGAUUAUCUCUAGGGCAUAUUUCUAACAGUCUCCCACUUGCACUAGAGUUAAUCUAGAAGAUAUCUAAUACCCAUAGAUCUCACGUGUGCCUCAUGCUUAGGUUGUGGAAGAGGUUUUGUCAAAGGAUCAGCAACAUUCAAAUCCGUAUGUAUUUUGCAUAUCUUUAUCUCACCCCGCCUAAUGAAUUCCCGUAUGAGGUGAAACUUCCGCAGUACGUGUUUGUUUUUCUGGUGGUUCCUUGGCUCCUUAGCUUGCGCAAUAGCCCCAUUGUUGUCACAGUAGAGGUUCAAUGGGCUAGAUGCAUUAGGAAACACACCAAGCUCGAUGAGGAACUUCCUUAUCCAAACACCUUCCUUCGCAGAUUCAGAAGCUGCAAUGUACUCGGCUUCUGUUGUAGAAUCAGUCACAGUCUCCUGUUUGGAACUCUUCCAACUAACAACACCACCAUUUAUUGUGAACACAAAACCUUAUUGCGAUUUUAACUCGUCUGGGUCAGUUUGGAAGCUAGCAUCGGUGUAACCAGUUACAACGAGCUCCUCCUUACCCCCAUAUACCAGGAACAUAUCUUUAGUCCUUCUUAAGUACUUAAGAAUGCCUUUUACCGCUGUCCAGUGAUCCUCACCUAGAUCAGCCUGGUAUCUACUCGUAGCACUUAUAGCGUAUGAAACAUCUGGGCGUGUACUUAUCAUGGCAUACAUGAUUGAUCCAAUCGCUGAGGCGUAUGGUACCUUACUCAUGCGCUCUCGCUCAUUAGCUGUCGCAGGACAUUGCAUCUGGCUAAGGUGUUUACCAUGUGACAUAGGUAUGAAACCUUUCUUGGACUGUUCCAUGUUGAACCGUUUCAAAACCUUGUCAAUGUACGUAUCUUGACUUAAUCCUAUAAGCCUCUUCGACCUAUCUCUAUAGAUCCUUAUGCCCAAAAUAUAUGCUGCUUCCCCUAAGUCCUUCAUAGAAAAACUCUUUUUCAGUGAAGCCUUGACGGACUCCAGCAUAGGAAUGUCAUUCCCAAUCAAUAAUAUGUCAUCCACAUACAAGAUUAGAAAUACAACAGCGCUCCCACUUUCCUUCUUGUAAACACAAGCUUCUUCUUCAUUCUGAUGAAAACCAAGCCCUUUGAUCACUUCAUCAAAACGAAUGUUCCAACUCCGAGAUGCUUGCUUCAACCCAUAAAUGGAUUUCUGAAGUUUGCAUAUCUUUCCAGCAUUGAUCGGAUCGACAAAACCCUCGGGCUGUAUCAUAUACACGUCCUCAUCUAGGUUUCCAUUAAGGAAAGCUGUUUUGACAUCCAUCUGCCAAAUCUCAUAAUCAAAAUAUGCGGCAAUAGCUAGAAUGAUCCGAAUAGAUUUAAGCAUCGCUACUGGCGAGAAUGUCUUGUCAUAGUCAACUCCUUGAACUUGUCGAAAACCCUUUGCAACAAGUCGAGCCUUAUAGAUGUGAAUAUUUCCAUCCAUGUCUUUCUUCUUCUUAUAGAUCCAUUUGCAUUCUAUAGGUCUAACACCAUCAGGCGGGUCAACCAAGUUCCAAACUUGAUUUUCUCCCAUGGAAUCUAUCUCGGAUCUCAUGGCGACAUGCCAUUUCUCGGAAUCUGGGUCCAUCAUCGCUUCUGAAUAUGUUGCAGGUUCGUCGUUGUCUAACAACAACACUUCCCCAUUGCCCAACAAUAGCACUUCUCCUCGUGCCUCGCGAAGCCUUGCUGACCUUCGUGGUUGUGGUGGUGAUUCUCUUGCCAUAGACGUCUCAACUUGUUCUGCUACAUUAGCAUCGCUUGUUGAAUCUUGUCCCACUGGCUCAUCCUGAACUUCUUCAAGAUACACCUUUUGUUUACUUUUCUCUCUUUUGAGAAACUCUUUCUCUAAGAACACACCGUUCCGGGCGACAAACACUUUGCCCUCUGACCGGUGGUAAAAGUAAUACCCUAAAGUUUCCUUUGGAUAUCCCACGAACAUGCACUUGUCCGAUUUUGGAGUGAGUUUAUCCGACUGUAGUCGCUUGACGUAAACCUCACAACCCCAAAUCUUCAGAAAAGACAAGCUGGGAGUCUUCCCAGUCCACAUCUCAUAUGGUGUCUUAACUACGGACUUAGACGGUACCCUAUUUAGUGUGAAAGCUGCUGUUUCUAGAGCGUAUCCCCAAAACGACAAAGGUAGGUCCGACUGGCUCAUCAUUGAUCGAACCAUAUCCAAUAAAGUCCGAUUACGUCGCUCAGACACGCCAUUCCUCUGAGGCGUUCCAGGCGGCGUAAGCUGUGGAACAAUUCCACAACUCUUUAGAUGAUUGCUAAACUCAUGACUCAAAUAUUCACCACCACGAUCUGAUCGCAGUGCUUUAAUUUUCUUGCCACGCUGAUUUUCUACUUCAUUCUGAAACUCUUUGAACUUUUCUAAGGAUUCAGACUUGUGUUUCAUUAAGUAGACAUACCCAUAUCUACUAAAAUCAUCAGUGAAGGUUAUGAAGUAUUGGAAUCCUCCCCUAGCUGUCGUACUCAUUGGUCCGCACACAUCAGUAUGUAUGAGUUCCAAUAAAUCUAACGUCCUCUCCGGUAAACCCGUGAAGGGCGCCUUGGUCAUCUUACCAAGUAAGCAAGCUUCACAUGUCUCGUAUGAUUCAAAAUCAAACGGAGUUAAAAGCCCAUCAGAAUGAAGCUUCUUCAUGCGAUUCUCACUUAUAUGACCCAAACGACAGUGCCACAUGUAGGUAGGACUUAAAUCAUUAGGCCGAUGCCUUUUAGCACUAAUAUUACAGAUAGGUGCAUCAUCAAGAUUUAAAAUGAAUAACUCAUUCAUAAUGGAUGCAAAAGCCACAAACAUGCCAUUCUUAGAGAUCACACAACCAUUGUUUUCACUCGCAAAUGAAUAACCAUCCUUCAUCAAACAUGAAGGAGACAUAAUGUUUCGACUCAUACUAGGAACUAGAUAACAAUUAUUUAACUCCAAAAUAAAUCCUGAUGGGAGGUGGAGUUGCAUCGUCCCGACGGUCAACGCAGCAACUCUUGCAUUAUUGCCUACCCAGAAAUCAACUUCUCCUCUUUUCACGCUUCUACUUCUUAUCAUUCCCUGCAUCGAAUUGCAAAUAUGGGCAACCGAUCCGGUAUCAAAUACCCAAGAAUUAAUAUAAGAAUCAGCAAGAAAAAUUUCUGUAAUGUGAAUAGCAAGUGUACCUGCUGCGGCUGUACCCUUACCGCCGCGAUCCUUAAUAGAGGCCAAGUACUGCUUGCAAUUCCUUUUCCAGUGACCAAGUUCUUUGCAAUAAAAGCACUCUGCAUCUGCAGCUGGUCCAGCCUUGGGCUUUUGAUUUGGCUUGGAUACUGUAUCCUUUGCCUUGCCCUUCUUCUUUUGAGACUUACCCUUCUUCUUAAAGUUGGGUUUGUUUUGGACCGCCAUCACAUGGCCGCUGCUGCCAGCGCUUUUCUUUAUGUCCCCCUCUGCUGUUUUCAGCAUGCCACAUAGUUCAUUGAGGCCCCUCUCCGCCCCAUGCAUAUGGUAGUUCGUGAUGAAGUUUCCAUAGCUGGGCGGAAGAGAUGCCAAAAUGAAGUCAGUGGCCAACUCUUGGCUUAUUGGGAAGCCUAGUUUCUCCAACCUCUGACUGUAACCAACCAUUUUGAUUACAUGUGGCCCAACUGCUGCGCCUUCUGCUAGCUUGCAUUCCAAAAAGGCUUUGGACACAUUGAACCUUUCAGUCCUAGCCUGAGUCUGGAACAUAUCCUUGAGCGCCACGAUCAUAUCGUACACCUCAUGGUUUGUCUCAAACUGCAUCUGGAGCUCAGGCUCCAUGCAAGCAAGCAUUAGGCAACUCACUUCAAGAUUAGCAUCCAUUGCUUUCUUGUAAGCGGUUUUAGCUGCAGCAGUUGCAUUUUCACCAGGAUCCUCUGGCAGUGGGGUGUCUAGAACGUCUUCCUUUUUUCAGCCCUGAGAACAAUUCUCAGGUUACGGAUCCAAUCCGUAUAGUUUGUUCCAUUUAACUUAUCCUUUUCAAGAAUUGAUCGCAAAGUAAAUGUUGGUGUGCUAGGUGCCAUCUACAACAAAAUAAUGCAAAAUACUAAGACAAAAAUAUCCAUGACAGAGUAAAUCAUAUUAAACAUUUAAUAGUCUACUCCCACUAAAAUCAAUAUCCCUCGAUUGAUACUUAGUGAUUCAGAACCCACAACUAACAAGUCUACUAGUGAGCUUUAGCAUCACCGCUAGAAGACAAGGUAGAUCGGUAAGCAACUCCUUGCUAAUCAUAUCAUAUAUAUGACUCCUGUUGUUGGGUGACAUCUCUAUGUCUCGGCUCCCAACCUUAUGCCUCAAAGUCCUUAACCAUUAAGCUGACUUUGUUUAAGUUAACCAACCCUUUCUGCAGUUCGUAUCCGAUACAAACCUAUCUAGUCAAGGAAAACUGGUGGCACCCUAAUUUCAUAGACCCACCACCAAUUGUACAAGACUUAUGAUAGUGCAAGGUUUGGAGAGGCAUUAAAGCUUAAACAUUUAUGAGGGAUCGUCCUACUUAUAACAUCGCACGCAAGGACAUAUAUGCAAUAUAAACAAGUAGAACAAUAAGAAUGGCAUUCACACAACAGUUGUGAUUCGGUAUGGCUUGUUGUCACAUGGUGAUCCCCAUCUCCAAUAAUCUGUCCAUCACGAUGAUCUCCAUCUCCAUGAUAUAGGUAUGCCAUCCUCCAGGUGAUGAGUCCUUCAAGACCUAUCUAACGUAUGCUGGUAAACAAAUUACAUAUACGCUUUGGAUCAUCACAUGUUGACACGCAGGUCAUUACAUUAAAUUUGGACAAUACAUGUGGCUCCAGCCGUAUUGCCCUGGUCACGACACGCAGGUCAUGAAUAAUUUAUUAACAUGCAUCACAUACACAUAAUAGCCAUACCGAUCACAUGUCCUGCAAAAACAGGUUAGACAAACACGUUUCUAUACGUUCGCCACUACAGCAGAUAGCCACCGCGGGUCUCAGGGCAGCGCCCUGAAAACCUCACAGGAUUCCAUGCAUCGUAUGUAUGGAAAUUCCACUGGAAAUCUCAUGCGGUUGAUCAAAUCAACCCAAAUCCGAGACUUUCGACCCGAAGAGGAUUACACUCAUGACGUUGAUCUGUUACAUCAAUCUGCUAGUUGUGUACGCAGUUAGCCCCGAUGGUGAUUCCAGCCGGUAGGGGCAAGUCGCGCACAUAACAGAGAAGGACGAACUGAUCUCUCCAGUCAUAUCCGAUGUAAUCGACUUCAACCCUUUAUAACCAAUUGAUCUAAUCAAACCGUGCAUCAAGUAGAUCCAUCUCAUGAACCUAGAUCCAGACCUAAAACUACGCAGAACCUGCUUUGAUACCACUGUAGGAUUACGGGGAGGCUACUGUAACGCCCUGAAUUUGGGGGUAGAUUUUUUCUUCUUUUCUCUCACCAAAUUCAGGCGUUACUCUUUCCUUUUCCCUUUUCUUCUCGCUAAGCCUUGAUCUUUUCAAAGUCGCAGCGGGUUUUGGCUUUAGACCUCGUGUAAAGCAAAACCUUAAAACACUUUAUUUCGUAUGAUGCACCAUGCCGAACCGUGCAUUUUUUUGAUUGAUUAAAAUGUGAAAGCAUUCGUCCUAAGAAAAUUAGAUUUUAGAAAAAGAAAAUCCUUUCUUUUUCUCUCCCUCCCUCCCUUUCCCAUUUCGGCCCAAGCCGCCCCCUCUCCCCCCUUCGGCCGGCCCAGCUGGCGGCCCAGCCGCCCCCUCCCCUCUCCCCUCCCGCGUGGGCCUCCCGGCCGGCCCAGCCGCGCCCCCCCCCCUUCCCCCACUUUGGGCCCAUCCGGCCCAGCCGCCCCCCCCCCUUUUUCUUUUUUUCCAAAAAUCCUCCCCGCGGGCCCCGCCCGUCAUCUCUCUCUCUCUCUCUCUCUCUCUCUCACCCCAACCCUAACCCUAGCCGCCGCCGCCGCCGCUCCCCCGCGCCGCCGCCGCUCCCCCGCGCCGCCGCCGCCCCCGCCCCCCGGCGCCGCCGCCGCCGCUCCCCUCCGGUGAGACCCCUUCUCCUCCCUCACCCCCCCCCCCCCUCUCCUCCCUCUCCCCCCGGCGCCCUUCCCCCACCCACGCCAUGGGCGCCGCCCGUUCCCGCGCCCCGGCGUCCCGCGCCCGUCCCCGCCCGCGCCGGCCGCCCUCGCUCGGCCCCGGCCCGGCCGCCGCUCCCCCGCGGCCUCCCGCGCCCGGCCGCCCUCGCCCUCGUCCGCCCCGGCCCCGGCGACCCCGGCCGCUCGGCUCGGCCGCUCCGGCGAGCCCGCCCUCGCCUCGCCCCGGCGCGCCUCGCGCCGCCGCGCCUCGCGCCGCCGCGCCCGGCCGCCUCCGGCGAGCCGCCCGGCCCGUCCUCCCCCAGCUCGGCCCCGCCCCGCCGCCCCGGCCGCCCUCACUCGACCCCGCCCCCGGCUUGGCCGCCCUCGGCUGCCUCGCCCCCGGCGAGCCCCGCGCCCGCGUCGGCCCCGCCUCGCCGCCCUCCGGCGAGCCGCCCUCGCCCGGCCCCGCUCGGCCCCGCCCUCGCGCCCGCCUCCCGGCAAGCUCGGCGCCCCCCGGUUCAACCGCCCCCGUGCCCCGGCUCGACCGCCCGUCCCCGUGCUCGGCCUCGUCCGGUCGCGCCCUCGCUCGCUGGCCCCGGCGUGCUUGCCCGCUCGCCCCGCCGUGCCUUGCUCGCGUCGUGUCGGCCCCUGCGUGGCCUCGAGCUUGGCCCAGCGUGCUUAUGGCGCGCGGCUUAGAGCUCGGCUAGCGCACGGCCCCGACGUGCGUACGGUUAGUCCGUAGCGUGUGCGUGCGACCUCGCGUGCGUGCCCGCGUAGUGCGCGUGCCUUGGCACGACUCGUCGUGCCUCGUCUACCCCCUAACCCCUCGUCUACCCCCCCCCCUUCUCCUAUAUGCGCUAAUCACGUCGUUUAUAUUAGUAAGAUAGGAGUCUCGAUUUGGAAAUUGAUUACGUUAGUUAAUUCGUAUAACUAAUCAUCUAUCUCGUUCAAUGUUAAUCUACUAAAAGUGGUUGCGAUUACAUUAGUGCAUGUAGCUAAUUCUUUUGUUGGAACUAAUUAAAACUAGAGCACGUGACGUCUAGUCUUUCGUUUACCCGUAGUGUCCCUCGAGCAUAAGCCUCAACCCUUGCGAGACUUUCCCUCGUUUCUUUCUAACCAAGGUAAAUUCAUUAUCGUAUGUGGUAUUCUAUGCAUAUUUGCUUUACUUGUUCUCUUGUAUGGUGUACUGUUGGUUUCCUAAUUUCAAUGGAUGGAUGUAUGUAUGUUUGCGCCCGCUUAGAGAACGAUCCGGUUGAAGAGCCCGAGGAACUCGCAGGAGAAGCCCCUGAGCAGCAGUCGGUUGGUGGAGGCAAGUGUCCCUUGACCUAUCUCUGUCCUAUUCAUUCUUUAAUUCACCUCCCGCUUUACAUAUUUAUGCCUAAGGUUUGACUAGCUUUUGUUAUCCCCAUCCUUGCUUACCUAUUUGGGUUGGAUUAUUACUGUUUAGCUUUAUGCUAUUGCUCAACUCUAAUUAAUGAACAUGAUGAGAUUAUCUAUGAUACGCUGUUUUCCCUUCUCUUAUGAUGAUGUUGUACUUGUGACCUUCAAGGGGCUCGAGCGGUUUCUCGAGUGCCUCUCCGUAAGGACCUGUUCUAUGGAUGACCGCCCGGGAAAACAGUGCAACCAUGAGGGUGGAAUGGGAUGCCCUUAGCUGAAUAAUUAGAGGAUCCGGGGUGUAGUUCACUUAGCCGUCGUGCCGUCAAUGGGGCUCGGUGUAUGCGGCUCGCUCUGCCAAGGUUGAUUUGUCCCUUGGGGAGGAGUGCGGUACAUUUAGGAAACCUAACGGGUGGCUACAGCCUCGGGGAAUCUUUGUAAAGGCUACGUAGUGAUGCCCUGCUAGGCCACCUAGGUAGUGGUCAAUGGGGAGUAGCUCUCUCCGGGCAGAAUGGGAAUCACGGCUUGUGGGUAAAGUGCACAACCUCUGCAGAGUGUUUAAAAACUGAUAUAUCAGCCGUGCUCACGGUUAUGAGUGGCCAAGGGAGCUCCAGUGAUUAGUGGUACUUGAUCAGAGAUACUUUGGUACAGGUGACAAUGAGAUUGAUGGUUCUGAUUACGAUUAUGGUAUUGGUAAGUGGUAUUCUUUCCGUUUGGAAAGGAUACAUUGGGCUAAUAACUUGGGUUAAUGUUAAAACCUGGCUUUCUACUAGUAAGUAAUAACCUGACCAACUAAAAGCAACUGCUUGACUUAUCCCCACAUAAAGCUAGUCCACUACAGCCAAACAGGAUACUUGCUGAGUAUGUUGAUGUGUACUCACCCUUGCUCUACACACCAAACCCCCCCCCCAGGUUGUCAGCAUUGCAACCACUGCUCAGGCGAAGAUGAAGCUGUGGAAGGAGACUUCCAGGAGUUCCAAGAUUACGACGAGUUCUAGGUGUGGGUUAGCGGCAACCCCCAGUCGGCUGCCUGUGAAGGCCGCGGUUAUCUACGUUUCUUUUCCGCACUUUGAUUUAUUGUAAGGACUAUAUGGACGUCUCAGACGUAUGAUGUAAUCGACUAUUUCCCUUAUUAAUACUAUUUUGAGCACUGUGUGAUGAUGUCCAUAUUAUGUAACUGCUGUGUACGUGAAUAACUGAUCCUGGCACGUACAUGGUUCGCAUUCGGUUUGCCUUUUAAAACCGGAUGUGACAUAAGUGGUAUCAAAGCCGUGCUGACUGUAGGACCGCUAACCUAGAGUAGAAUGGUCGUUCUAAGGACUAUAGACCUCUGUCUCUGCCUUGACUUUGAUAUCCCUUCAAAAGUUGGUCAUACCGACCAAACCUAUGUUCUACUAUAUAAUAUACCUUGCUGAAAAUCAUGUUUUAUUCUAAUCCUUCAUUCACUUAUGAUUCAUUAUUUGCUGGUCAUAUUAAUUCUGUUCUCACCCUUUUGCUUGCGAUGUCUUCUGUAGAUGGCUCGACUUAGACACACUGCACGAAAGUCAGUCAUCCCCUUCUUACCCUCCCGCCUUGCUGAGCGUCCGCUUCGCCGUCCCGUGGCCGGACAGUCCAGCCACUUGGAGAGACUACACCACCGCCUGCGUGAGGAGCAGGAACGUCGACGACAGGAGCAGCAGGGCUCUUCUUUCUCGCUCCACCAGGAGAUAGAGUCUGUGAGGAGCUGCUCCCCUGUGCUUCCUUUGGAGCCGCCCCCUGCACCACCACUGGGCGCCCCAGCUUCUGGAGUAGCUGCUGGAGGAGACCCAGACGACGGAGAUGGCGACGACAGCUCGAGCCACGACACCGACUUCUCUGCUAACCCUGAGCCGGAAGGAUGGGUUGCUCGGCCCAUCACUCGCGACGCUGCUCGCGGGUGUCACUUCCACGAUGCGCUCGACACCCUGCUACGUCGGGCAUUUGACCGGCAUACUUGGUCCGUCGAGUAUCGCUGUGUGGUCUACCAGCAUAGUCGCGGGGUCCACCCGGACCGCUGGGAGGCAACCUGCUUGGUGCGCUGUCCGGAGAACAGUCUCCAGGGUGCUGAGGUCUGCUCAGAGCACUAUUCUAUCUCUGAGCGGGACUCAGCUGAGGCAGCCAUGCAAGAUGCUGCACGGCGUGCGCUUUCGCACUACUGCUCGGUUUUCGGUGGGGCAGCUGACGGUCUUGACCUGAAGUAUUACCCCCGCCGUCCAUCUGGCAGCACAGGAGGCGUGAUUGUCUCACCCGUCGGUGAGGGCAAUCCUAGGUUGAGCAGCACAGUCAACCUAGCCGCCGUGCUAAACACGGAGCUGGACCAUGCAUUAGACGAGCUGAGUAGGGCUCGUGCUGAGAUCGCCCUGCUGCGGGCUGAGCGCGCGGAACGUCGUCACUUGGAUGGUGGUUCCCCCGCUCCCGUCGGGACUCAGCACCCGUACCGCUCACCUCAGCGUGGACACCAGUCUUAUGGCAAUCCCGACUGCAAGACCAAGAUAACUCUAGAACCAUAGAUCGUUAGAGUUGGAUCUUGUAAUUAAUACGAAAUAUAUGCAUAGAAGCUUCAGUCUUAGCGUUAGUCUCGGUCUUAGUUAGUCUUAGUUAGACAGGGUAGUUUGCUAUAUCCUGUGCAUUUAUGUUUGUCAUGAUGAACUAUGUUUGGUUUGGAUCUUUGUAAUGAUUGUCACCAGAGUGUGGGUAUCCCCUGCAUUUUGGUUUACCUAUUAUGGUAAUAAAGUUAGUUAUAUAGUUGGGAAACCUUUUAUUCCACUUUCCUCUUUAUCUGAGAAGCUGUGUGGUCUGUGUUGGAGAUCAGUGAAGAUGCUCAUCUGUUCAGUGCUGUUGAAGAAUUCUAUUCUCUUUCCUUAUGCUGCAAGAUUUGCCAGAUCAGUUCUGAUGUGUGGUUGCAUUCUGCAGAUGUCAGAGAACAGGCGCAGAGGAGGAAGGCGUGCUCAGCAGGAGCGAGCCGCUCAACAAGAUGAGGUGCCUCAGCAGCAGCACCUGCCGCCCCCGCCCCCGAUGUCCAUCGAGCAGAUGUUUCUGAUGCAGACUCAGGCAGUUCAAGCCAUCGGUCAGACUUUGGCCGCCAUUCAGCAGCAGCAGCAGCAGCAGGCUCCACCUCAGCCUCAGAUGCCUAGAGACAAGCGUGCUGAAUUCAUGAGAGGUCAUCCACCAACGUUCGCUCACUCUUCUGACCCUAUGGAUGCUGAAGAUUGGCUGCGCACUGUGGAGCGGGAGUUGCAUACCGCUCAGUGCGAUGACAGGGAGAAAGUUCUGUAUGGUCCCCGUCUGUUGAGAGGAGCAGCCCAGUCAUGGUGGGAGUCUUAUCUCGCCACCCAUGCCCACCCUGACGCCAUCACCUGGGAAGAGUUCAGAAGUAGCUUUCGUCAGUACCAUGUUCCUGCAGGUCUGAUGACAGUGAAGAAAGAGGAGUUCCUGGCUCUCAAGCAAGGGCCGUUGUCUGUCAGUGAGUAUCGAGACAGGUUUCUGCAAUUGUCUCGCUAUGCUCCUGAAGAUGUCAACACCGACGCCAAGCGGCAGUACCGUUUCCUGAGAGGCUUGGUUGACCCUCUGCAGUACCAACUGAUGAAUCACACCUUUCCGACAUUCCAGCACCUGAUUGACAGAGCAAUCAUGACAGAGAGAAAGCGCAAGGAGAUGGAAGAUCGUAAGCGCAAGAUCAGUGGACCUCAGCCUGGAAGCAGCAGCCGUCCUCGUUUCUCAGGCAAUCAACCUCAGCAGUUCAGGCAGAACCAGCGUCCACCUCAGCAGCAUCAGCAGUUUCAAAGGCAGUACCCUCAGCAUCAGUACCAGAACCGUCAGAGCAAUCAGUCAGGAGGUCAGUUUCAAAGGCAGAAUCAGCAGGCACCUCGUCUUCCUGCCCCAGCAAAUCAGCAGAACAGUCAGGCAGCACCAGCUCAGGUUGGAAACAGAGCAUGUUUCCACUGUGGAGAGCAAGGCCACUGGGUGAUGCAAUGUCCGAAGAAGGCAGCCCAGCAGCAGUCAGGCCCCAAUGCCCCAGCGAAGCAGAAUGUGCCUCAGCCUGGAGCAGGCAAUCGCCCUCAGCCGCGCUAUAAUCAUGGAAGGCUGAACCACUUGGAGGCGGAAGCAGUUCAAGAGACCCCCGGCAUGAUAGUAGGUAUGUUCCCAGUCGACUCCCAUAUUGCAGAAGUGUUAUUUGAUACUGGAGCAACGCAUUCUUUCAUUACUGCAUCAUGGGUAGAAGCACAUAAUCUUCCAAUUACUACCAUGUCAACCCCCAUUCAAAUUGACUCAGCCGGUGGUAGAAUUCGAGCCGAUAGCAUUUGUUUGAAUAUAAGUGUGAAAAUAAGGGGGAUAGCGUUUCCCGCCAACCUUAUAGUAAUGGGUACUCAGGGAAUAGAUGUCAUCCUAGGGAUGAAUUGGCUAGAUAAGUAUCAGGCAGUUAUCAGUUGUGAUAAAAGGACCAUCAAGUUGGUGUCUCCACUAGGAGAGGAAGUGGUGACCGAGUUAGUCCCACCUGAGCCGAAGAAAGGAAGUUGUUAUCAGAUGGCUGUCGAUAGCAGUGAAGCAGAUCCAAUUGAGAGUAUCAAGGUUGUAUCUGAAUUCCCAGAUGUGUUUCCAAAGGAUUUACCGGGUAUGCCACCAGAGCGGAAAGUUGAGUUUGCCAUAGAGCUUCUUCCCGGAACCGCCCCUAUCUCUAAGAGAGCUUAUAGAAUAUCCGGACCAGAGUUGGUUGAACUUAAGAAGCAGAUUGAUGAGCUGUCAGAGAAAGGUUACAUUCGGCCAAGCACCUCGCCUUGGGCCGCCCCUGUCCUAUUUGUGGAGAAGAAAGAUGGCACCAAGAGGAUGUGUAUCGAUUAUCGAGCUUUGAAUGAGGUCACGAUCAAGAACAAGUAUCCCUUGCCCAGAAUAGAAGAUCUGUUCGACCAGUUGAGAGGAGCCAGUGUGUUCUCCAAGAUUGAUCUGAGGUCAGGUUAUCAUCAGCUCAGGAUCCGACCUUCGGACAUUCCGAAGACGGUAUUCAUUACCAAGUAUGGUUUGUAUGAGUUCACGGUGAUGUCAUUUGGUUUGACCAAUGCGCCAGCGUUCUUCAUGAACUUGAUGAACAGUGUAUUCAUGGAUUAUCUCGAUAAGUUUGUGGUGGUAUUCAUUGAUGACAUUCUGGUUUAUUCUCAAAGCAAAGAAAAGCAUGCAGAUCAUUUGAGGAUGGUGUUGCAGAGAUUGCGAGAGCACCAGUUGUAUGCAAAGUUGAGCAAGUGUGAGUUCUGGAUCAGUGAAGUCCUGUUCUUGGGUCAUAUAAUCAACAAAGAAGGAUUGGCCGUGGAUCCGAAGAAAGUGGCAGACAUUCUGAACUAGAAAGCGCCAACAGAUGCUCGAGGAAUCAAGAGUUUCAUUGGAAUGGCCGGAUAUUAUCGGCGAUUCAUUGAAGGGUUUUCGAAGAUUGUGAAACCUAUGACAGCGUUGCUAGGCAACAAAGUUGAGUUCAAGUGGACCCAGAAAUGUCAAGAGGCCUUUGAAGCGCUGAAAGAGAAAUUGACUACAACGCCUGUCCUAGUCUUGCCUGAUGUGCACAAGCCCUUCUCGGUGUAUUGUGAUGCUUGCUACACAGGUUUGGGAUGUGUGUUGAUGCAAGAGGGAAGAGUUGUGGCUUACUCGUCCCGACAGUUGAAGGUUCAUGAGAAGAACUACCCAAUCCAUGAUCUAGAGUUGGCAGCAGUGGUUCACGCACUGAAGACAUGGAGGCACUAUCUGUAUGGACAGAAAUGUGAUGUUUACACAGAUCACAAGAGUCUGAAGUACAUAUUCACUCAGUCAGAGUUGAAUAUGAGGCAGCGAAGAUGGUUAGAGUUGAUCAAAGACUAUGAGUUGGAGAUCCAUUACCAUCCAGGCAAAGCAAACGUAGUGGCAGAUGCUUUGAGCAGAAAGAGUCAAGUCAAUCUGAUGGUUGCUCGUCCGAUGCCUUAUGAGUUGGCCAAGGAGUUUGACAGGUUGAGUCUCGGAUUUCUGAACAAUUCGCGAGGAGUCACAGUCGAGUUGGAACCUACCUUGGAGCGCGAAAUCAAAGAAGCGCAGAAGAAUGAUGAGAAGAUCAGUGAGAUCCGGCGACUGAUUCUAGAAGGCAAAGGCAAAGAUUUUCGAGAAGAUGCAGAAGGCGCGAUAUGGUUCAAAGACCGCUUGUGUGUUCCCAAUGUCCAGUCCAUUCGGGAGUUGAUUCUCAAGGAAGCUCAUGAGACAGCCUAUUCGAUUCACCCUGGCAGUGAGAAGAUGUAUCAGGACCUGAAGAAGAAAUUUUGGUGGUACGGAAUGAAGAGGGAAAUCGCAGAGCAUGUGGCUAUGUGCGAUAGUUGCCGAAGAAUUAAGGCAGAACACCAGAGACCUGCUGGAUUGUUGCAACCGUUGCAGAUCCCUCAGUGGAAAUGGGAUGAAAUUGGUAUGGAUUUCAUAGUCGGAUUGCCUCGCACUCGAGCCGGCUACGAUUCCAUCUGGGUAGUAGUGGACCGCUUGACCAAGUCAGCCCACUUCAUACCUGUCAAGACCAACUACAGCAGUGCAGUGUUGGCAGAAUUGUAUAUGUCUCGGAUCGUUUGUCUUCAUGGUGUGCCAAAGAAGAUAGUGUCAGACAGAGGAACGCAGUUCACCUCUCAUUUCUGGCAGCAGUUGCAUGAAGCUUUGGGCACGCAUCUGAAUUUCAGUUCAGCUUAUCAUCCGCAGACAGAUGGCCAGACCGAAAGAACCAACCAAAUUCUCGAAGACAUGUUGAGAGCCUGUGCGUUGCAAGAUCAGUCCGGAUGGGACAAGAGAUUGCCUUAUGCGGAGUUUUCCUAUAACAACAGUUACCAGGCCAGUUUGAAGAUGUCACCAUUUCAGGCGCUCUAUGGAAGGAGUUGUAGAACUCCGUUGCAAUGGGAUCAGCCUGGAGAAAAGCAAGUGUUUGGGCCAGACAUUUUGCUUGAAGCCGAAGAGAACAUCAAGAUGGUCCGAGAGAAUCUGAAGAUAGCACAAUCGAGGCAGCAAAGCUAUGCAGACACAAGAAGAAGAGAGCUGAAUUUCGAAGUCGGAGACUUUGUCUAUCUGAAAGUGUCACCGAUCAGAGGAGUCAGAAGAUUCGGAGUGAAAGGCAAGCUAGCACCCCGCUACAUUGGUCCGUAUCAGAUUCUUGCAAGACGUGGAGAAGUGGCCUACCAGCUCAGUUUGCCAGAGAAUUUGUCUGCUGUGCAUAAUGUCUUUCAUGUGUCUCAGUUGAAGAAGUGCUUGCGUGUGCCAGAAGAGCAGUUGCCAGUGGAAGGUCUUGAAGUCCAGGAGGACUUGACCUACGUUGAGAAGCCAGUGCAAAUCCUUGAGGUUGCAGACCGAGUCACCCGAAGGAAGACCCUCAGAAUGUGCAAAGUCAGAUGGGACCACCACUCUGAGGAAGAAGCAACCUGGGAGCGUGAAGAUGAUCUGAUGGCCAAGUACCCUGAGCUCUUUGCUAGCUAACCCUGAAUCUCGAGGGCGAGAUUCUUUUAAGGGGGAUAGGUUUGUAACGCCCUGAAUUUGGGGGUAGAUUUUUUUCUUCUUUUCUCUCACCAAAUUCAGGCGUUACUCUUUCCUUUUCCCUUUUCUUCUCGCUAAGCCUUGAUCUUUUCAAAGUCGCAGCGGGUUUUGGCUUUAGACCUCGUGUAAAGCAAAACCUUAAAACACUUUAUUUCGUAUGAUGCACCAUGCCGAAUCGUGCAUUUUUUUGAUUGAUUAAAAUGUGAAAGCAUUCGUCCUAAGAAAAUUAGAUUUUAGAAAAAGAAAAUCCUUUCUUUUUCUCUCCCUCCCUCCCUUUCCCAUUUCGGCCCAAGCCGCCCCCCCCCCUCUCCCCCCUUCGGCCGGCCCAGCUGGCGGCCCAGCCGCCCCCUCCCCUCUCCCCUCCCGCGUGGGCCUCCCGGCCGGCCCAGCCGCGCCCCCCUUCCCCCCACUUUGGGCCCAUCCGGCCCAGCCGCCCCCCCCCCUUUUUCUUUUUUUUCCAAAAAUCCCCCCGCGGGCCCCGCCCGUCAUCUCUCUCUCUCUCUCUCUCUCUCUCUCUCUCUCUCACCCCAACCCUAACCCUAGCCGCCGCCGCCGCCGCUCCCCCGCGCCGCCGCCGCUCCCCUCCGGUGAGACCCCUUCUCCUCCCUCACCCCCCCUCUCCUCCCUCUCCCCCCGGCGCCCUUCCCCCACCCGCGCCAUGGGCGCCGCCCGUUCCCGCGCCCCGGCGUCCCGCGCCCGUCCCCGCCCGCGCCGGCCGCCCUCGCUCGGCCCCGGCCCGGCCGCCGCUCCCCCGCGGCCUCCCGCGCCCGGCCGCCCUCGCCCUCGUCCGCCCCGGCCCCGGCGACCCCGGCCGCUCGGCUCGGCCGCUCCGGCGAGCCCGCCCUCGCCUCGCCCCGGCGCGCCUCGCGCCGCCGCGCCCGGCCGCCUCCGGCGAGCCGCCCGGCCCGUCCUCCCCCAGCUCGGCCCCGCCCCGUCGCCCCGGCCGCCCUCAAUCGACCCCGCCCCCGGCUUGGCCGCCCUCGGCUGCCUCGCCCCCGGCGAGCCCCGCGCCCGCGUCGGCCCCGCCUCGCCGCCCUCCGGCGAGCCGCCCUCGCCCGGCCCCGCUCGGCCCCGCCCUCGCGCCCGCCUCCCGGCAAGCUCGGCGCCCCCCGGUUCAACCGCCCCCGUGCCCCGGCUCGACCGCCCGUCCCCGCGCUCGGCCUCGUCCGGUCGCGCCCUCGCUCGCUCGCGCUCGCUGGCCCCAGCGUGCUUGCCCGCUCGCCCCGCCGUGCCUUGCUCGCGUCGUGUCGGCCCCUGCGUGGCCUCGAGCUUGGCCCAGCGUGCUUAUGGCGCGCGGCUUAGAGCUCGGCUAGCGCACGGCCCCGACGUGCGUACGGUUAGUCCGUAGCGUGUGCGUGCGACCUCGCGUGCGUGCCCGCGUAGUGCGCGUGCCUUGGCACGACUCGUCGUGCCUCGUCUACCCCCUAACCCCUCGUCUACCCCCCCCCCCUUCUCCUAUAUGCGCUAAUCACGUCGUUUAUAUUAGUAAGAUAGGAGUCUCGAUUUGGAAAUUGAUUACGUUAGUUAAUUCGUAUAACUAAUCAUCUAUCUCGUUCAAUGUUAAUCUACUAAAAGUGGUUGCGAUUACAUUAGUGCAUGUAGCUAAUUCUUUUGUUGGAACUAAUUAAAACUAGAGCACGUGACGUCUAGUCUUUCGUUUACCCGUAGUGUCCCUCGAGCAUAAGCCUCAACCCUUGCGAGACUUUCCCUCGUUUCUUUCUAACCAAGGUAAAUUCAUUAUCGUAUGUGGUAUUCUAUGCAUAUUUGCUUUACUUGUUCUCUUGUAUGGUGUACUGUUGGUUUCCUAAUUUCAAUGGAUGGAUGUAUGUAUGUUUGCGCUCGCUUAGAGAACGAUCCGGUUGAAGAGCCCGAGGAACUCGCAGGAGAAGCCCCUGAGCAGCAGUCGGUUGGUGGAGGCAAGUGUCCCUUGACCUAUCUCUGUCCUAUUCAUUCUUUAAUUCACCUCCCGCUUUACAUAUUUAUGCCUAAGGUUUGACUAGCUUUUGUUAUCCCCAUCCUUGCUUACCUAUUUGGGUUGGAUUAUUACUGUUUAGCUUUAUGCUAUUGCUCAACUCUAAUUAAUGAACAUGAUGAGAUUAUCUAUGAUACGCUGUUUUCCCUUCUCUUAUGAUGAUGUUGUACUUGUGACCUUCAAGGGGGCUCGAGCGGUUUCUCGAGUGCCUCUCCGUAAGGACCUGUUCUAUGGAUGACCGCCCGGGAAAACAGUGCAACCAUGAGGGUGGAAUGGGAUGCCCUUAGCUGAAUAAUUAGAGGAUCCGGGGUGUAGUUCACUUAGCCGUCGUGCCGUCAAUGGGGCUCGGUGUAUGCGGCUCGCUCUGCCAAGGUUGAUUUGUCCCUUGGGGAGGAGUGCGGUACAUUUAGGAAACCUAACGGGUGGCUACAGCCUCGGGGAAUCUUUGUAAAGGCUACGUAGUGAUGCCCUGCUAGGCCACCUAGGUAGUGGUCAAUGGGGAGUAGCUCUCUCCGGGCAGAAUGGGAAUCACGGCUUGUGGGUAAAGUGCACAACCUCUGCAGAGUGUUUAUAAACUGAUAUAUCAGCCGUGCUCACGGUUAUGAGCGGCCAAGGGAGCUCCAGUGAUUAGUGGUACUUGAUCAGAGAUACUUUGGUACAGGUGACAAUGAGAUUGAUGGUUCUGAUUACGAUUAUGGUAUUGGUAAGUGGUAUUCUUUCCGUUUGGAAAGGAUACAUUGGGCUAAUAACUUGGGUUAAUGUUAAAACCUGGCUUUCUACUAGUAAGUAAUAACCUGACCAACUAAAAGCAACUGCUUGACUUAUCCCCACAUAAAGCUAGUCCACUACAGCCAAACAGGAUACUUGCUGAGUAUGUUGAUGUGUACUCACCCUUGCUCUACACACCAAACCCCCCCAGGUUGUCAGCAUUGCAACCACUGCUCAGGCGAAGAUGAAGCUGUGGAAGGAGACUUCCAGGAGUUCCAAGAUUACGACGAGUUCUAGGUGUGGGUUAGCGGCAACCCCCAGUCGGCUGCCUGUGAAGGCCGCGGUUAUCUACGUUUCUUUUCCGCACUUUGAUUUAUUGUAAGGACUAUAUGGACGUCUCAGACGUAUGAUGUAAUCGACUAUUUCCCUUAUUAAUACUAUUUUGAGCACUGUGUGAUGAUGUCCAUAUUAUGUAACUGCUGUGUACGUGAAUAACUGAUCCUGGCACGUACAUGGUUCGCAUUCGGUUUGCCUUUUAAAACCGGGUGUGACAGCUACGCUAGCGCAAAACAAAAUUUUCAUCCCCAUAAUACCAAGAACUACUGCGGUUAUAGGUCAUGGAAUUACCACUAGACGCGCAGAGCAGCGGAAGACGUCUCGAUGUAGAAGAACGCGUCGAGCAGUGCCGUGCAGUCGCCGGCGUCCUUCACGUCCUCGCACAGUUCGUCCAAGUGCUCCAGAUGCAGCACCUUCGAGGUAUCCACACGUACAGGGAGGAAGCGCCGCGUACCGAACUGCUAGGUUCGCGACGGCGGCUUGGCGAGGGCGAGAGGUGGGCGGCGGCUGUUAGUCCGCUGGUGGCGAAUUAGGUUAUCUUUUAACCGCGCCCCCGCCCCUCAUUAUAUAGGCGUUAUGGUGGGCUUCUGACGCCGAGGCCCAUCAUUAACCCUAAAGCCCAGUCUAAUUUCGGAUCUAAUCCGAAUUAGGCUUCCUUCCCCUUAAGUGUGUGACCCUAUAGGUUCACGUACAAAUAGACAUAGCCCGAGUACUCUUACUUGGCCCAAUAAUUGACAGCGGCCUCUAGCAAGACAUGUCAACUCCUAUGUGUACGUAAAGAUCAUAUCAGACGAACCAUUGCGACAUUAAGUACAUGCUGUUCCCUUUGUCUCACGAUAUUUGGUCUGGCUCUAAGCUGACCUCUCUUUCUCGAUACUGUGAAUUGGAAUCCUUUCAAUGGUUAACUCUUAACCCUAGCACGGCCAUGCAUUUCUUGAUCCAAUCACUCGAGGGGCCCAGAGAUAUCUCUCUCACAAAGAGAGGGACAAAUUCCAUCUUGACUGACCAUGCCUCAUAGCAUGCUUCCUGACAAACCCAAAACUACCUUUAUAACUAUCCAGUUACGGGAUAGCGUUUGAUAGUCCCUAAGUAAGUCAAUUCACAUCUUGAGAACAUGCGACAAUCUCAGGUCUAAGGAUACAGUAUUCAUGUUGCAAGAAGAGAACUAUAUUACAAUAUCUCACGUUGGGUCGGUCCAGCCUCAUGUCAUACAUGCACCCACAUUAUUAAUUUAACAUCUCCAUGUUCAUGACUUGUGAAAUGUAGUCAUCAACUAAUACAUGUGCUAGUCAUCGACUCUGACUAGGGACAUCAUUUAGAAUAACCAUAUAAGUAAAGAAUCUCACAAACAAUUCACAUAAUUGCUAAUCAAUACAAUGUGCCUUCCAUGGAUAUUCAAUUAAGCAAUAUAUAUAUCAUGGAUACAAAGAAAUAUGCUCAUCUCUAUGAUUAUCUCUAGGGCAUAUUUCUAACAGGAGAAUGAUGCAAAGAAAGAGAGAGAUUGUGAAAUUCACAUGCGAAGUGAAGAACUAUCCUUAGGCAGUCGCAAUGUCAUAACUCGUUGGUGAUAGAGCACCGCCAAACACCGUGAGUAGCAACAGAUCUGAUGGAAGCAAGCUUCCUGGUGCUAGAACCCUGGUAAGUUUCUAGGAGAACAGGUAUGUGGUUCUGGUAACUUUCUGUAAUUUCAUUUUAUGUCCGUACAUUAGAGUUACAAUGUAUUUUUAUAUCUGACUAGCACACGACCUAGAUCCCCUUCUCUUCUAUACUUCUAAUGACAGCUAAAUGCUAGCUAAUGACAGCUUACAGAUUUGUCAGGUUGUUAAAUCUGGUACAGACCCAAUAUCAGAAUACAGCUGGCUUAAUAUUGAAUCAGUACUACUUACCUAGGCACUAUCCACGAUCCUGACACGCAGAUGUCUCAGGCGGCUGAGGAGAAUGGCGCAGUCGGUGGUCCGAAAACCCUAGGUAGUUGGGGAUGAGCGCCUGGGCGAGCGGACACCGUCGCACCGAGGGGGGGAGUUCGAUGGGCCUCAUCGGUGGAGGAAGCCAGCACGGGUGGAGAGCUUCUCGAGGACAGGAGGUGUAGUGGGGGCUUGGCCACGUUUAAGGGGAGGGACGGGCAUGGAACUCCUAAAGCUUCGUGGUGCGUUCGAUAGAAGGAUGGGACGUGUAGUGGCCAUCAUAGGCCACUGAUCCUAGAUCGAACAGUGAAGGUAAAAAAUGACGUGGAUACUAGACAGAAGCCAUUUCAAAUCGGCUUUAAAGUAUAUUAAAAGUAUAGGAAAAGGAAAUGAUUCUCUUAUCUGUCCAGCUACCAGCUUCCGGCAUGAGAGCCACUGUCCUCUAAGGGCUAGUUUGGCAAUAAAUGGACAAAAAACCUAGGGAAGUAAUCCACCAAGGGGAUUUUAAAUGACACAUUAAUUCCCUGGAGGAUUUUUUCACUCGGAUGUAUUUCCCUGCCACUAUUUGGCAACCAAGGGGCUAAAAACCCCUUUUGAGACAAAUUACUUCAGAAAAAUCACAAAAAACCAAAGAAAAAUAGGAAAUAUUUAGAUAAAUCAAAAAUACAAUGAAACAUCACUACAAAUCUAAAAACAUGCACCGGACUUGAUAAUCUAAUAUCCAACAAAGUUUAACUUAAAUAUCAUCUAAUAUCCAACAAAGUUAAUCUAUCCAUCAUCAUAUCACAUAAGAUCAUCUCCAUUCACACUACAAAUAGACAAUAUAACAUAUAAACAGAGUAAAAGUCCCUUCAUUAUAAACUUUGACACUAGAAUAAAUUAUGAGUUUAACUCCUUUUUAUAAGCUCAUGUGGACUGUCGUUCCAUUUUCCUUCUUCACGUCAGCUUAUAUGUUGCUUCCACUUAGCACUAUGCAAGUACCAGCUCUCAUGCCCUUCAAGAAUUUAUUUAACCUUUUUAGCACUGGUGAGGAAGGAUGUGUGGAUGGACCUUUUCUCUUCCGAGAGGUAUAGGAUUAUAGCAGGAAGAAUAACAAAGAAUAGUUCUUCGUCAUCUUCCUCCUCCAACAAAAAUUGCCUAACGUGCUCCUCCCAAGAACCCAUUAUCUAGAAACAUAAUAAAUUUUAAUCAUGCACUUAUAUAGUUGUGCUACCUCUCAUAUAAUAUAGCAAUGUUGAACAAUAUAAUUGUUAAUAGUUACUUCAAUACCAUAUAAUUGUUAUCCUAUUUCAAGAUUAAAUUAAAGCAUCAAUUUGUUAACAGUUACUUCAAGUAAAGUAAAUAGCACCAGAAAAGAAGCAAUAUAUUAGACAUUUAGUAGAAGAUUAAAUUAAAUCACAAUUUGUUAACAGUUACUUCCACUUCCACCCAAGAAGCUCUUUCUUUCUUUUUUUGAAUAAACCAACAGAUGAAUUAAAUAAUUCAAGCCAUCAAACACAAACCAAACAUGAGAAAUAAUCAACCAAUUCCAAGGGUGAAGGAACACUUAUUUACCUUAAGUUAGCCUAUCUAUUCAAGGAUGACAAACUGAAUUAAGCUGGACCAACAAUCUGUCACACUCUGCAAAUGACACCAACUAUACGUUUAAUGCAGUGAGCAUAGUAGGGUUAAUGCAGUAAUCAAACAAUGUAGUAGGCUAAACUAGCAAGUGACCACUGCAUUUAGCAUGUAAUUUUAACUUUAAAAUAAACUAAGUGAUAAUCUUCAGAACAACCAAAGACAUCGUAAGCUCGAGCUCAGCUUCUACUUACAACAAGACAGAGAAGUGGUGAACAUGACGUGCAAGCAAUAAUGUGUAAUUUUAACUAUAAAAUAUUAGAUAAGAAUGUAAGGCCCAAAAUCUGUAUAAAAAAUAUAAAUAAUAAAAUAAAUAUAUGAUGAGAUAAAAUCAUAAAUUCAGAUAUCUCAAAUUAUACUUGAGUGUUGAAAAAUUGAGAACAGAAUUUUGAAAACCAAGAAUUAUAUUAGGAAAGCUAGUGGAAGACUACCUUACCCGAAAUAAAGGGGCAAGGGCAGUAGGGUAGUUGCAUGCAAGGAGGUUCUCAGGUUGAUUUUGUUGCGAUGGCGGUCAGACGAGGGAUUCUUGCAAGUGCUCUUCCCAUAGACUGUAGCAGGUUUUCGGAAGCUAGUGGAACUUUGUAAAGGCCUCGUAGUGAAUCCCUAGCCAUUCACCUCGGUAGUGUCUAAGGGUCUAGCUAACCCUGGUGACAUGGGAAACACGACUUGUGGGUAAAGGGUACAACCUCUGCAGAGUGUAAAACUGGUAUACUAGCCGAGCUCACGGUCAUGAGCAGCUUAGGACUCUCUGAUGAUUAAUCUAUGGAACUUAAAUUCAAUUUGUCAUUUGCAUUGCAUGAGAUUUGUUAUUAAUUUUGUUCUAUUAUUUUAUUAUGGUUUGGUAUUCACUUACACUUAGUAACUACUAAUAAAAUUUUGACCAGCUUAUAAAAGCAAUGCUCAGCUUUAACCUCUAUUGUUGAUCAGCCUUACACUUCAUGAACUCCCACCUUUGGUGAGUUCAUGUCACAUUAUUCCCCACAACUUGUUGAGCGAUGAACAUAUGUGAGCUCACCCUUGCUGUCUCACACCCUCCCACAGGUCAAGAACAGGUACCACUGGAUGAGGCGCAUGGUGGAUGUUGCGCUGUGUUCGUGAGAGGUCUAGGUCGUCGUCUCUCAGUUGACUCUCUGGCGCCAAGGAUGGAUUUUAGUUCGAUCCAUAUCUAUCAUUUAUUUUGUAAGUCUUCUGCUAUGUAAUAAGUACUCUGAUUAUAUUGUGACAUUUAUCCCUAUACACUCUGUUAUUAUAUAUGUUGUCUUCUUUGGCGCAUGUAUGAGAUGCACCCGACUUUGUCCCUUAAAACCAAGUGUGACAGAAGUGGUAUCAGAGGAAAUGUUGAUUGUAGGACGAAACCUAGAUAGAAAUGGACAAAAUCCUUACCUACUUACCUUACUCUGAUUCUUUUGUACUUAUCUUGAUCCUGUCUCACCUUCUACUGUUCUAUUCUGAUCAUUCUUAUCUUUUCUAUUCUAAGACAAGAUGGAUUUCACACUUUGGAAUCCUACAUUUAUGACUUUUCUAAGAGAUAGGAGGCCUAAGACAAAAAUCAAAAUUAUUUUCUCUAUUUAAAAAUGUUGGUUGAUUGUUCUGAUGAUAAAUGUCUGAUUUGCUUCUUUGAUUGAUUGAAACAUUAUAGUUGGGCAUCUUAGCAUGUACCACCAUAAGGUAAUAUAUUAGCUUUAGUGGAUAACACACUAAUCUACUUAGCUAAUAAAUCCCCCGCAGUAACAUUUCUCGUAAUUACUCGCCUUGUCUACAAUUCCUCCUUUCUUACCCUAUAUUUCUAACCCCGAUGGGCUACCCCUAUAGUGUUAGAAGAGAGCACCAUAGAUGUGAUCCUUGGUAUGUCAUGGUUAAGAAAGGCAAAGACAGUUUAUACACUGUGCUAAGGGAACCGUAGAACUCACCAUUUCCAAAAGAGAAAGAUUUGAAGGUGAAAUUACAGUAACUACCACACCAGACGUGUGGCAUUCUUCAUAGAUGAGGAGUUUGUUGGUAACAACAUCCGGGUGGUUAGAGAUUUUUCGGAUGUCCUUCCAGAGGAGUUACCAGGGAUGCCACUAGAUAUGGAAGUUGAGUUGGUCAUUGAUCUCUUACCUGGGACUGCUUUUAUUUCUAAAUGGCCAUAUAGGAUGUCCGUAGAAGAACUAAAGGAACUUAAGAAGCAAUUAACAGAGUUACAAGAGGCUGGGUACAUUCAUUCGAGUUCCUCACCUUGGGGGAGCGCCAGUUCUAUUUAUACAGAAGAAAGAUGGAUCACAAGGGAUGAGCGUGGAUUAUAGGUCCCUUAACGAUGCCACUGUGAAGAACAAGUGUCCAUUACCCCGCAUUGAGGAUUUAUUUAAUCAGAUGAGAGGUGCUAGGGUAUUCUCGAAGAUUGAUCUCCGAUCAAGAUACCAUCAAAUGAAGAUUAGGCCAUCGGACAUUCCUAAGACGGCUUUCUCGACUCGAUAUAGUUUAUAUGAGUUCACUGUUAUGUCAUUUGGACUAACUAAUGCACCAGCCUAUUUUAUGGAUCUGAAGAAUAAGGUGUUCAUGUUCUGGACAGAUUCGUUGUGGUUUUCAUCGACGAUAUUUUUAUUUAUUCCAAGAGUGAUAGUGAUCAUGAGGAACAUCUGAGAUUGGUACUAUAGAAGCUACGAGACAAUCAACUCUACGCCAAGUAUAGUAAAUGAGAGUUUUGGAUUGGCAAGGUGCCCUUUCUUGGACAUAUCAUUUCUAAUGGAGGGAUUUCAGUGGAUCCUGCUAAGGUCAAGGAGAUUAUGGCGUGGAGCAUACCCAAUAUAGUUACUGAGGUCCGGAGUUUCUUAGGACUUGCAAGAUAUUAUCAGAGAUUUAUUGAAGGAUUUUCUAAGAUUGCUAAGCCUAUGAUCUCGCUUCUGGAGAAGGGAAGAGAGUUUAAGUGGGAUGAGAAGUGUCAAGAUAGCUUUGAUCAAUUAAAGAAGAGGUUGAUGUCGCCACCAGUGUUGGUUAUGCCAGAUUUACAGAAGGGAUUUGAUAUUUAUUGUGAUGCAUGUGGCUAAGGCUUGGGAUGUGUGCUCAUGCAAGAAGAACAUGUGAUUUCCUACGCUUCUCGUCAAUUGCGGAAACAUGAGUUGAACUACCCCACUCAUGACUUAGAGCUGGCAGUCGUUGCGCAUGCACUUAAGAUUUGGAGACAUUAUAUCAUGGGGACCAAGUGCCAACUGUACACGGAUCAUAAGAGUUUGAAGUAUAUAUUCACACAGAAGGAUCUCAACCUUAGGCAAUGUCGUUGGUUGGAGCUUAUUAAGGGUUAUGAUUUGGAAAUUCACUAUCACCCGGGCAAGGCGAAUUUGGUUGCAGAUGCCUUGAGUCGAAAGGAACACGUUCAUUCAGCUAUUGUUGCCUAGCUACCCGAUGAGAUUGAUGAGGAUUUCAGGAGACUUAACCUGGGGAUAGUUGCUCACACUGAAGGAGUUACUAUUGAUGUGGAAUCUACUUUGGAGCAAGAAAUCCACAAAGGACAAAUUGGUGAUGCUAAAAUACAAGAGAUUAAGGAUCUAAUUACUGAAGGUCGAGGUCCAGAAUUCACGGAGGAUGAGCAAGGCACCGUAUGGUUCAAGGACAGGAUAUGUGUUCCUGAUAUUGAAAGCCUUCGUGAGACUAUAUUGAAGGAAGCCCAUGACUCAAAUUAUUCUAUUCAUCCUUGUAGUACCAAGAUGUAUUAGGAUUUGAAGCGGAAGUAUUGGUGGUAUGGAUUGAAGAGAGAUGCGGCUGCACAUGUGGUUAUGUGCGAUGUGUGUCAAAAAGUUAAGGCUGAACACCAGAGGCCAACUGGACUACUGCAUCCAUUAAAGAUACCCGAAUGGAAGUGGGACGAGAUUGGUAUGGACUUCAUUAUUGGAUUGUCUCGCACCCUGAAAGGAUAUGAUUCGAUAUGAGUUAUUGUGGAUAGACUGGCCAAAGUGGCUCAUUUCAUUCCGGUCAAGACUACUUAUAAGGUAUCUCAAUUAGCUGAGUUAUAUAUGGCCCGGAUUGUGUCUCAACACGGUGUAUCGAAGAAGAUCAUUUUUGAUAGAGGAUCACAGUUUACCUCCAGAUUUUGGAGAAGCUCAUGAGAAUAUGAAUACGAAGUUGAACUUCAGUACAGCUUAUCACCCUCAGACGGAUGGAUAGACCGAAAGGACUAAUCAAGUAUUGGAAGACAUGUUGAGAGCUUGUGCCCUUCAGCAUGGUAGUAGUUGGGAGAAGAGUCUACCAUAUGCUGAGUUCUCACAUAAUAAUAGUUACCAGACCAGUCUGAAGAUGUCACCGUUCGAGGCUUUAUAUGGCAGGAAAUGCAGGACUCCUCUAUUUUGGACCAGACUAGAGGAAAACAGAUCUUUGGACCUGAACUUAUUCAAGAGGCAGAAGAAUAAGUCUGUAUAAUCAGGGAGAACUUGACGGUAGCUCAGACCAGGCAAAAGAGCUACGCUGAUAAUAGAAGAAGACCACUAGAAUUUGAGGAAGUUGAUUAUGUGUACCCAAGGUGUCACCACUCCAUGGAAUGAGGAGAUUCAAAGUCAAGGACAAAUUGUCCCCUCGCUUUAUUGGACCCUUCAGAGUUUUUUAGGCGAGUUGGAGAGAUAGCCUAUCAACUCGAGCUACCCGAUAAUCUAUUCGAUGUGCAUAAUGUAUUCCACGUAUCUCAACUUAAGAAGUGUCUUCGUAUCCCUGAGGAACAGUUACCAAUGGAAGAGCUCAGUGUUCAGGGUGAUUUGACUUGCACGGAGUAUCCUAUCAAGAUUCUUUAUACAUUGACUCGAGUUACAAGAAAUAAGGUGAUAAAGAUGUGCAAAGUACAAUGGAGCCAUCAUGGAGAAGAUGAAGCUACUUGGGAGAGAAAAGAACUCCGCAUAGAUUUUCCCCAUCUUUUCACUAGACCUUCCUAAAUCUCGAGGACAAGAUUCUUUUUAAGGGGGUAGGAUUUGUAAGGCCCAAAAUCUGUAUAAAAAAUAUAAAUAAUAAAAUAAAUAUAUGAUGAGAUAAAAUCAUAAAUUCAGAUAUCUCAAAUUAUACUUGAGUGUUGAAAAAUUGAGAACGAAUUUUUGAAAACCAACAAUUAUAUUAGAGAAGAAGUAGUAGAAAGGCUUUCAAUUCAACUAAAUGACUAUUUAUUUCAUUAAAUGAAGCACUAUAGGCAUCCUAUACUUAUGAAUAUGUGGUGGAACAUGUUGAUAGAGAGUCAUAAUCUAAACUUGGGACCUCAAGGUAUACAUGAAAAUAAAAUAGAAAAUAGGAAAGGGGAUUUAAUAGAACUAUUUAUUCCUUUUCAUAAAUAAAUAAUGGAGAAAUGAAUAAAUAAUAAUAUUAUAAACAGUAGAACAUAUAUUCACAUUAAGUUUAUAUUUGAGAAUGGGAAUUUGGAAAAGGAAAACUAAAACAAGAAAAAGAAUAAAACCCUGCUGGGCCUGCUACCUCAUUUUAGGCCCAUUCCCAACCUCCACCGCGCGGCCUAGCUCAUUUCUCUUCCAUGGUGUCACCUACGUGUGGGGCCGCGUGGUCAGUCGCUCACUGGAGUAUGUGUGCUGUUGUGCAAUCACUGCCGUGUAGACCAUCCUUGUCAGCUCGUUCCCUUUCUCGAAACAGAACGCGAGAAUUUCUCUGUGCGCACCGUGGGAAUCGCGGGUCUUCCACCGGCCGCCACAAUCAUGUGCCCUCACCCCUAUUUAACCAGCCGGGGCCUCGUGUUCUCUCCUCUCUCCUCCCUCCUCUCUCCCAUCUCCUCUCAUCUUCUUGUGCCGCACAUAAGCAUCAGGGCCACCGCGGUCACAAGAACAGAGGAGAGUGAGAGAGAUGUGCGCCGCCGUGGAUCCCCGCUUGCGCCGUGGCUAGGGCAGGUACAUGUGGCUUGGGUGCUUCAACGAGUUCCUGGGAGGAGAUCAUGGCUGCGCCUGGGAGUACUGUCAUCCUGGCGAGGCGGAAUUCCUCGUCGGGGCAAGGUCAGCGCCGCCUUGGGUGGGAUGGAAUGCCGUAGUCGUCGUGCGUGCGCUUCAUCGCCUAUCCAGACCUUGGAGUCGGUUUGGGUGGAGGGAUUGGUGCUCGAGGAUGGUUAGACCGACGACAAUUUCUUGAUGAGAUCCCUCGUCCACCGCGAACCUGCCUGAUGUCGAGGACAGCUUCGCUCCGCCACCCAACCCUCGGUAAUGCUUAGUUUUCUGUUUCGCCAUGCGCCUAGGUCCGCGUUGCACCGGUUCAAUUUGGAUUUGGAGCUCGGGUGGUCCAGUUGGGUGUCGCGCCGGCCAUGGCUCCGCCGUGCUGGCCCUGCGCCACCGUGUUGGUGCGGCCAGUGGGGAAGAGGUUGUUUGCGCCGUCCGUCUCUUGAUGAACGGCGUAGAUUAGAGCAGAUCGCAACCCUUCGCGGGAUAGAAUCUGGGCUGUCGACCUUACUGCGGAUGGUUGAGAUUAGUGAUUGGCGUGGGCUGGCGCUGAUCGUUAGAUCUAGAUCUGAAGGUCGGCGUUGCGUACCAGGUUGGUGAAAGUUGCCUAGAGGGGGGGGGGUGAAUAGGCAAGUUAAAACUUUUUCAACAAAAACUAGAAGCAAACUGGGUAAAACUGAAUUGAUCUCGAAAUUCACCCAGUUAACUUUGGAAAUGAGAUGUUCUAAAUGAUCCACAGGGUUCAAAGUAGUAGAUCUGAGAAGGGCACUUCUCAAAAUCCACACACCAAAAAGAUAUAAACAAUCUUCCACGGAAUGGUGAGAGAACGAAGAACAUGAACAAACACAAUGAGCAAGAACGCAAGAGACACAAGAUUUAUCCCGAGGUUCGGUCACACCACAAAAGGUGCCCUACUUCCUCGUUGAGGCGCCCACAAAGAGCCGGGUCUCUUUCAACCCUAAUCCUCCCUUUGCCGACCACAAAGGUCAAGCCCACACAAUAAUCUUUGCUCAAACGAGCGGGUAAUACAAACUUUCUUGUGGUCUUCCACAAGAUUUGGAGACUCACAAGAGACACCUAGUCGUCUAGGAGCUAGAAGCUCCAAGAGUAAUGAAUCCACAAAGAACUCGAUGUAGUACCAAAGCUCGAAUGAAGAAGAAGAGCAAGAGAGAUUUAGAGAUGAAGCACAAAACCGCAGCUCUCAAGCUCACUCAAAGAUUUCUCUCCAAAGAUUUGAAAUGGGAGAGGCAAGAGAUGUGUGUGAGAGAGAGGGAGGUGUUUCUUGGGUUAGAAAUGGAGUUCAAAUCGUGCUCACUGCUUUGGGGAGAGAGGUAGGAGGUAGUAUAUAUAGGUGGAGUUCAAAACUAGCCGUUGGGCAGAUUUUUCUGCCUGAGACCGGUUGAACCUCCCCCUAGGGCGGUUGAACCUCCCCUGGCAGGCCUGGCAGCCUGUCUGCCAGUCUGACUGGCAGACUGACGCGCAGACUGACCUGCAGACUGGUCAGGGUUGACCAGACCGGUUGAACCUCCCCCUAGGGCGGUUGAACCGCCCCUGACACCUCUGGCGACCUGUUUGCCAGUCUGACUUGCAGACUGUUGGUCAGAGGUCAGAGGGGUCAGAGACCAGCUAAACUGCCCCUCAGGACCAGUUCAACUGGUCUUGACCAGAGAGUUUAGGAGAGAAAACCCCAGCUCAACUGCCCAGAGGCAAGUUCAGCUGGUGUAUGGUCAAAGAGGUUCACAGCUGAAGUUGAGUUCAGCUGAAGUUGAGAAAGCUCAACUCAGCUGAAGUUCAGCUCAGCUGAAAAGCUCAGCUGCAGCUGAAGAAGCUCAACUCAGCUGAAGUCAAGUUCAGCUGGAAAGCUCAGCUGCAGUUGAAGAAGUUCAGCUGCUUUUCAGCAAGAACACUCUAGGUUUCUCAAUCCUAACCACGGUCAACCAUAGAACGUUAAAGAGAUUUUUUCUUUUCAAAAAUAGCUUUUGAAUAGAGAGGUUUGAGCUUUGGCAAACACCAACCUUCUUUUUGGAUCCCCCUUUAUAGUACGACGAUUCCUAUACUCAAGUUAAAUAAAAUAUAAUGAAGUAAACUCCUUGAGUCAUUGGUGUCUCAUGUGUGAUUUCUCCAUGGCAUUGCUUCAUAAGGAUCACAAACAUCUUUGUCUCACCUUUUGAAGCAAACUCAAAUCAAACCCAGUGACUUGUACCAUAUCACCUUAUAUGAGUUCAAAUCAUGGCUUCAAGUCACCUUACUGAUGCAUCAACAUGUUAUAACUCUUCAUAGCUGAUUAGUUCAUCGACUUAGUGCAAGUACUCUCUUCUUCACCUUAGCCAUGGUACCUCGGUCUACAAGCCGUCGCUUGACCUUCACCUUCGCUUAGUUCCUCGAAGCCCUUUCCUUGCUAUCUUCACCCUAUCAAGCCAUUCUUGAGUCACAUCAAAUUGAGCAUCCAUUGAGAGAAUCAUUUCUUCAAUAUUGUGAACCUUGCUUGAAUGUCUUCUAGAUAUAAUUGUCAAGGUCAAUCAAGCUCUAGUUUGAUUCUCAUAGAAGCAUAUAUGGACUGACAGUAAUAUGGUCAAGCCAAUUCAUGAUUCCUCAUAUCUUAUUCUCUUUGGCUUGACCAAUCCUCUAAAUCACUUUGUCCUCUAUUCUGGUCAUAUGUAUGUAGUGAUUUCUCAGGUCUUGUCCAUAUAUUCAAACCAAUAUAGGGAUCAUAUUAUAUCCAUUUGCAUUGUCUCAUUGGUUAUUUAACCUCGUGUUGAACCUUUGUUCACUGAUCAUUAUACACUAUUCAAGUAUGUUCAUCAUACUGAAUUUCCUGUUCAACACUUAGCAAACUCGUUAGACCUUUAAAUGUGUUGUUAUCCAAAUCACCAAAACUCACAAAAGGGAUGAAUACACUUUCAAUCUCCCCCUUUUUGGUGAUUGAUGACAACACAUUUAAAGCUUACAUAAGAUUUGAUAAAUAAGAUUUUAAAUCCUAUGAUAUAGUUUCCUCCCCCUAAAUAUGUGCAUUUCAGAAAAUAACACUUUUGUACUCAAAUGCCAAAAGCACAUAUUUAGGUCAAAGUAUAGACAACUUAUAUCAUACUAUUCAUAGGGUGCAGUGUGUCAUAAAAUAAACGUGAUGCUCAUGACAUGGAAUGCACUUAUCAACUUUCUUCAUCUUAUGUUUUUCUUAUGACUUCCCCUUUUUGUUAAUUAUUUCUCCCCUUUUUAAAAGUCUUCUAACACUUAGUUACAUAAGACUAAAGGUAAGCUUUAAUGCACAAUUUCUCCCCCUUUGUCAUAAAUCUCCAAAAAGGAUACAAAGAAUAUAAAGGAUAGAAAUUAUGAUUAAGCGAGAUGUGAACACACUAUCAUGAAAGGGAUCCUUAGAUGGCACAAAGGUAAUGGAUAAGUGUCAUAAGUGAUGUACCUUUGUGUUUUACCUUUUCAAGGGGUUUCCAGACUUGUGUUGGAUUUAGAAUUCAUUUGCAAGCUCUUGUUGGCAUAAUUGUGACAUAGGUCCAAGAUAGCAAAUGAAGAUUGUCAUACUAACUGAAAGAUAAAUCUUGAUACCUGGAGUCUAGAUGUCACCUAGCAUUUUCUUAUCACAACAAGAGGCAACAUGAAAAUUGCACAAGUAUGGAUUAUGCAACUAGUGAUCAUGUAUGAAAAAUAUCAAUUGAAAAACACCAAUUGAUACAAUUUGAUAGAUAAAUAGAUCACUAAUAGCAUAUUACACUAAGUUCUCCUCAAGUUUUAGUGCACACAUAUAUAUAUGAAUUCAAUUGAUAUAUGUUGAGAGUACUUAUUUGAAAUUUAAAGUACCAUUAGCAUAAAAGGAGUAUCAACUGAACAUAAUCAUGCAACAUAAGGAACAUGUGCACUAUUUAAUCAAUUAAGUUCUAGACAGGAGAAUCUAUAAGCUAUGCUACUUCAGAUAUUUGUAAUCCAAAAAGAUGUGAUACAUAUUUACCAAUUUUAGAUGACGUUGGAGUAGCAUAUACAAGAGAAACUCAUUCUCUUAUGAAAUGUAUAGAAGUUACAUUUAUUGGAGCAAAGAAUCUUUGAUACUCAUCAAAAUUUGCAGUGGAAGCGAUUGUCUUUGCUUGAGGAUUCCUUUCUAAUUUGAGACUACACACAUAAUAGACUUGAAAAUGAAGUUAGUCUCAAAAAUGCAAGGGCAGUAGGGGAGUUGCAUGUAAGGAGGUUCUCGGGUUGAUUUUGCUGCGAUGGCGGUCAGACGAGGGAUUCUUGCAAGUGCUCUUCCCAUAAACUGUAGCAGGUUUUCGAAAGCUAGUGGAACUUUGUAAAGGCCUCGUAGUGGAUCCCUAGCCAUUCACCUCGUUAGUGUCUAAGGGUCUAGCUAACCCUGGUGACAUGGGAAACACGACUUGUGGGUAAAGGGUACAACCUCUGCAGAGUGUAAAACUGGUAUACUAGCCGAGCUCACGGUCAUGAGCAGCUCAGGACUCUCUGAUGAUUAAUCUAUAGAACUUAAAUUCAAUUUAUCAUUUGCAUUGCAUGAGAUUUGUUAUUAAUUUUGUUCUAUUAUUUUAUUAUGGUUUGAUAUUCACUUACACUUAGUAACUGCUAAUAAAAUUUUGACCAACUUAUAAAAGCAAUGCUCAGCUUUAACCUCUAUUGUUGAUCAGCCUUACACUUCAUGAACUCCCACCUUUGGUGAGUUCAUGUCACAUUAUUCCCCACAACUUGUUGAGCGAUGAACAUAUGUGAGCUCACCCUUGCUGUCUCACACCCCCACAGGUCAAGAACAGGUACCACUAGAUGAGGCGCAUGGUGGAUGUUGCACUGUGUUCGUGAGAGAUCUAGGUCGUCGUCUCCCAGUUGACUCUCUGGCGCCAAGGAUGGAUUUUAGUGAUCCAUAUCUAUCAUUUAUUUUGUAAGUCUUCCGCUAUGUAAUAAGUACUCUGAUUAUAUUGUGACAUUUAUCUCUAUACACUCUGUUAUUAUAUAUGUUGUCUUCUUUGGCGCAUGUAUGAGAUGCACCCGACUUUGUCCCUUAAAACCGGGUGUGACAAAGAAUUAGCUUAAAUAAAUCAAACACAAGAGCAGAAACACAAAAGCUAAUUCGUGAGGUGUUAUCAUUAGAACGAUGACAACUUUGUGAAGCAACUGUUCCUUUUGGUACACAGAGAGAGCGAUCUGGACGGCAUAGAUGGACACAGAGGGGUCAUCAGACUUUUUAGCAUUGACAAAUUUGGUCCGGGAUGUGUAAGAUAUACCUCAUGAGCAUAUUGUCGAAUAAACUCUGUGCAGUUCCUAAGUCGACAUCAACUGCUGCAUCGGAGGUGAGGAUGACAUGAUGGCAGCCAAUCAAGGUUGCAAAGACUGGCAAAAGGAAAGGAGACUCAUCCCCACGCCCCCAACAUUCAAGCAUUCUAGAUCUACACAGGGUAUAAUGAACUGAUCUAGAUCUGCACCUAGUGGAUAUGGACAAAGGACAGAGAGAGCUGUUCACACCCACGAGAGAGAAUAAAAGCGGUCGCGUCAGAUCCUACCAUGCUUCUAGCCUGCGUUCGUCACUGUCCAAGAAGCAGCAAGAAUAGAAAAAAGAAAUCCUAGCAAGAAGAAGGUGCGGAAGAGGAGCUAGAUUUACCCGACAAAAUCACUGGGGGAGGGGUGUGCGGCGACUGGCGAAGUGGUGGCGGCGUGUCCGUGUAGGGAUGGCAACGGGUACAUACCCGUCGGGUAGUGUCGUUCCAUACCUAUACCUAUCAAAAAAAUUUCUACCCGUCAGGUUACCCAUAUAUGCUCGUGGGUAUAAAAUCCUACCCAUACCCGUACCCGUGCGGGUAAUUUUACCCGUCGGAUAACCCGUACCCGCUAGGAAAGUCUUAAAUUCUAAUAUAUCAAUCACUCAAAACAUUAAAUAAACAUAAAAAACAAGUCAAACUUUACAUAUAACAAAUCAUAUGAUUACAUAACUUGGUAGCUAGACAAAUGAUAGCUAGAGAAGAUUUUUAUUUUAGCUAAGAUGGACUAUAUUAGAUGAUUAUAGUGGUAUUGUUGCAGGUAUAUUCUAUCCAUGAGUAGAUAGGUAUGGGUAGUACCAACUCGUACCCGUACCCGUUUAUCCAACGGGUGGAGGAUCUUGCCCAUUAACAUACCUACGGAUAGAGAAAUCAUCUUAUACCCGCCUUUAUAUCGAGUAAAACCUGUCGGGUAGUCGGGCUUCAGGUAUCCAUUGCCAUCUCUACGGCCGUGAUAGAGGAGGCGAGAGGAAGAGACGAUUCGGGGAUAGCCGCCCGACGUCUAAAGGUCGGACGAGUUUCCACGCGUAAGUUGCGCUCAGAAUGGGCCAGUAUACCUUCGAGGCCGGUUUCCAAACAGGAUGGAGUGAUGGUCGGUGAAAAUUUAGCGUAUGGAUUAGCGACACAGGGAAAACACCGGGUUCCGGGCGGGAAAAGCGGCUGCCAAAUCAGCCCUGAGUGGGCCCGCUUCCAUUUGGGCUGCUUGAAUCGUCGGCUAAGGAGGUUGGGCCGAGACAUCCCAUCGCCGGUUCCGUCAAGCCCACGCAUCAUCACUCGCGCGCGGGGCCGUCCGACCGGGCUCUCCUCCCUCGUUUUACCCGCACCCGCCGCAACGCCGAGAAGACGCGAGAGGGAGGGAGGAGGUGAGCCACCGGAAGCGGAGACGUGAGCAGUCGACCAACCCCGUCGAUCCGGCUGCGGCCCGGCGUGCUAGAUCGCUACCGAUCAUGGUGGUGGAGGAGAUCGCCGAGGGGGUGAAGAACCUCACCGUUACCGGAGACGCGGCGGCUUCAGGCGGAGAGGGGCAGAGGAGGGGCGGCGGCGGCAGCAGCAACCGCAUCCAGGUGUCCAACACC